rnacentral:lncRNA from 1 species
CUUGGAGUAGGUGCUGGAGAAUCAACCUCAGGUGUCUCUGUUUCAGGUGUAAGUUUUGGAACAUUACUAUCCGAGGCAUUGUCUUCAUCACCUGGUCCAGGAGCCGGAGCUGGAGCUGGAGCUGGAGGGGUUGCACCACUCAUGGGAGAUGGACUUGGAGCCAUUGCAGCAUCCAUAGGAGAUGGAGCAGGAGCUGGAGCUAAAGGAACGGGUGGUGGUGGAGGUGGGAGAACUGCUAAGCUGAGUCCAGGAGCCACAAUGGGCAUGCUAAUCUGUAUUAUAGACAGGUUAAAAGGGUUGUGAUACAACGUGGUAACAUACUCAGCGUUUAGUGGUGAGCCCUUUACUCCGGAUCCAAAGUAAACUUUUCCUUUAGAUUUGGUACAAUUGAGGAAACCAUUCAUCUCUUCACCUAAACCGGUUGUUUGGUACAAGGUAGUGAGCAUUAUGCUCUUCUCCUUCAUCCCCUUAAGCUUGAGCUCGUCGUAGUAGUCAAGAAUGACAUGAGUCAUGAGGAUGUUUUUGAGCUCAAUGGCGGAUUUGUUUGUGAUAGAGCUGAUGUUGUUGUUGUUAACAGCGAGUAGGGUUAUGGUUUGGUAUUUGCUUAUGAGUGUAGUGAGCUUGGUUUUGGUGAAGAGCUCACUCAUGGUGCUGAAAUUGGAGUAUUUCUCAAACGCAUGUGUGAUGUUAUCGGCUGUAACGAUGGGAGAGAAGAGGAGUAAAAGGGUUAGGGAGAGGAGAGAAAAGGAGGCGUUGAGAUUCAUCUUGUGUGCUGAAAAGCUAAACCUCAAUGGCUUCACAUGUUUGGUAUUUAUGCAGAAGAAGUGAGGAAGUUGUAGAAUGAACUAGUCUUUAUGGUGUGCUAAGUCUACUCUCCUAUUUUUAGUGUGUAAUAAGACUUGGCCACUAGAUGAAUUUAAUUAUUUGAAGACUAAUUUUUUAGUUUAUUUAGGGUUUAGCAUGUGUGUUUUUAGAAAGAAUGAUUAAAAUAAUAUAUUUGUUUCCAUGCUUAUGUAUUCAUUUACUAAUUAUAACUUUUAAAAAAGGGGUAAACAUUUCCUAAAAGAAUAGAAUGUGAAAAGCUCUGGUAAUCACGCGCAGUGUUUAUUUAGGUUGGCAGCGAAUUCGAACUCGAGUUUAUUAGAGAUCCACAAAACGUAUUGUACUAUCCGACCACGGACGCCAUGCAAAGAAAACAUUGGUUUAACAAAAAACUUAAAGUUUAAUUAUAACUUAAAGAAAACUAAAGUUAUAUAUACUGAGAAGCCAUGCAAAGCAAUAGUUACGUCAAAUGAUAUAUAUUUGGUUUUAAAAACAUUUAGUCGGUGGAUUACGUCAAAGAGGUUGGCAGACUUUAUUCCCCAUGUAUAAUUAGGCACUUAGGUUAUUAGGUAUAUUAUCAUUAUCCAAAAACAUGGAACAUUUUAUAUUCUUAUUUCUUAGUAUUCUUACAUUAAAUAACACGUUUUAUUUGUCGAACCUAUGUUCUAAGUUUUUUUUUUUUUUUGUCAUCUGAAAGAUUAUAUUAUCACAGGUGAAAUACAGUCGAAACACACCUAAGCCGGCAAGAAACAUUUUUCUUCCGGAGCCAUAAGCCGGCAAAGAUCGAAAUCUUUCCAGAGCCAUAAGAGAAAACUACUAGACAACUAAAAACGAUUUACAAGAAACUCUAAUACAUAAGCCAAAAUCCAAAACAUAAGCGAAGGAGAAGCGUUGAUGAUUGCAGUCCAAAACGCAGAGCACAUCGAUCUCCAAACGAAGGAUAGAGACAGGUCCAAGAGACUUCAUAGAGAGGGGUAGGGAACCUGAAAAAGAUUCCUAUCCAAAGAGCCAAAACAUAAGGGUGGAGGAUCCUCAAAGUUCCCGCAGCAACGAUCCGGUACUUACAUCAGUCCGUCCAUAUAGUAACAUAGGUGAGCCCAAAUGGAUCUUCAAGGGAGACACGAAUACUGAAGCACUCCAAAGAAACCUAUGUUCUAAGUUAGAUGGUCUUUUACACAAUACUCAUAAAAAUAUAUAUAUAAACACGAAUAUUAAAAAGUUUCUGCUUUGUACCUAUUAUUCGAAUUUGCAACUCGGAGAGAGAUCGUAUUCUCUUUGUUAACCUACGAACACAACAUCUCAUAAUUGAGCGCGUUUACUGCAUUGUGUGCUGCCAAAAGUGUAAUACUAUUCAUUAUCGUAGUACUUUUUCAAUUCUUUUGAAAUUUCGGCAGCUGAGCUAAAUUGACCUUAACUAAUAUCAACGUGAUACGUCAUGCUAAUUAGUUUACACUGCAACUAGUAUCAUACUCUCGAGCUAUAUAUCAUCACUAUUAGUGUAAAGUUCAACUAGUAUUAUUCACAUGUAAAUUAUAAUCCGAAGAAGAAACAAAUAGUUAUUUUCUUGACAUAUAAAAACUAAGCAUCGGCUGAUCCACUAAAGAGAUAGGGGUCACUUGGUCCCGGUAAGAUAAUAAAACCAAUUUAUACAAAUUCUUAUGAGUCAAUAGUUCAGUUGGUAUAUUUCUGGUAGUGACACUCAUAAAUCUAAGUUCAGUUCACCAUAUGAUCUCUUGGCAGUUCUUUUUUCCUCUUACCCUCUUAGAAUUUUGGGCAUAUUAUAUUUCUUUUUUUAUCUACGCGUAUUAUAUUUCCUUUAUAUUUUAUUAUGAUGAUAACAGUAUAAAUUGAUAAUAACUAUAUUUGUUUAUUUAUGUAAAUAUUAUUACCUUGCCAUAUAAAAUAAUUAAAGUAUUUCGAUUUAAUUUUAUGGGAACUUUAAUUAGUAUUUCAUGCAAGUUCGAUAAAAAUGGCGUAGGUAUACCUAAAUUUCCUAAAUAAUCAUAAAUUUUUGAAUCAUUAAUUCAAUUGUAAUUGAUCUGAUUAUACGUGCAUUGUAAAAGUAUCGUCUUAUCCCGCGUUAGAGAUUUGAAUUUGAGAUGUUGUAGUUACCUUUGCCAACCAAUUAGAUUGUAAGAUUAUAGAAUUAGAAAAAAAUGAUAUAUAUAUAUAUAUAUAUAUAUAUAUAUAUAUAUAUAUAUAUGAACCCAUAAAAUGGCUACAUGCCUACGCUAAUUGUUAUUCUUAAAUCAUUCAUAGUACAAAAUUAUUCUAAGAUGCCCUAACUAUAUAUAAUUUUAAAAUUACCUAUAAAGAAAAAAAUAGAUCAUGAUAUAGAGCGAUUCACUAGAUUGGAAUCAAAUUCAAUGUAUAGUCUAAUGAUAUAUAAUAAAAUAUAAAACCAAUACUAGUAAUGUUAGGUAUCUAAAAUUAAACCGAGAUAUCAUUUUCUUGACAGAAUCAUUCUAAGCUGUAAGUGACCUAUACCAAUCGCUCCUUCAUUGGCUACUCGAGCAUAUCUUUCGCAAUAAGAAUACCACUAAAGCUAUAGAUCCCUCCCUAUAUGUACAUAUAUAUGUGCGUCUGCGAACAGAAUUAUGUAAUAUAUACAUAUAUCUACAUAUAUAUAUGUGUGUGUGUGAAUUACAGUUAAAUAUAUAUAUAAAAAUAUGUUCGCUUCUCUCCUGUGAUGUCACGUCAUCAAGUCGUGCAUUAUGGGAGUGACAUGUGUCUCAUUUUAUAUUUGGAGCUAAAAUAAAACAAAAAGUUGUCAAGGGUAAUUGAACCCAGCACUUCCAGCACUGGUAAUUUCUCUUAGAACCACUAGGCUAAAGUUACUUUUUAUAAAUAUGUGGCCGCGAAAAUACUUAUUAUCGUGUUGGCUGGAAGUCCAUGAUUCUUCUGCUUGUGGCCAGGGCCGGCACUGAACUGACGUCAAGAUGAAGAUCGUGAAGUUAAAAACUUUGCUCCAAACAGUUUUGCAAUGUUUCCAACCUUUAUAACUUGAUGUAUAUAAUAUAUAUCAAAAUAUAUUUGUUGUACACGUUUUUAUUAGUUUUGCUUUUAAAAGAAUGUAUUUGCAGUUAUAAAUGUUUUGUGUCAGUGAAGUAAUGGUUGAAAAACCUCUAUACAUAUGUCAUUUUAAAAUAACAUCCAACUUCUAUAUAUAGUCAAUACAUAUGUCCAUGUUAUAUUCUAGACUAAAUAUUUCUCUUUUAAAAAUAUAGAAAACAGUUUUUUACUCUACAAGCAAAUGUUGUAGAGCAAAUAUGCAUUAUACAAAAUAAUAUAUAUUUAAAAUUCAUACACAAAAACAUAAAAGUUGAUAUAUGUCUCUUUGUGACACAUGCACACUCCACUAUGAAUAAGAAUUAAAAAAAAAACAGUAUUGUCAUCAAACUUUAUCACAAAUCCACAUUUGUACAUCUAUAAUUAUGAGUUGGACAAUUAGUUAAUUUGAUACAAUACCAAAGCAAGAAUAAUCAAAAACAACUAUACCACCGCAUAACAGAUAACCAAAUUCUUGAAUCUUAAAACAAAUUUCAACUCGAGCAUUUAGUGAAUAUCAAAUUAACUAAUAUAUCGCCCGUAGGGCGGGCCGACCCUAGUUAACUUUAUAUAUAUGUUUGUGUAUGUGUGUUAAUUACUGUUAAUUAAUUUUAGAGUAUAUAUAUAUAUAUGUUUGUAGGUGUGUGAAUUACAUUUAAAUUAACUUUUCUUAAUUGAUUUUGCAAUAUCAAUUAACAAAACGUUCAAGAUGGCUUGAAUGUUCACAACAACUAAAUCAUUUCUGAUGUCUAGGGAUAUAUAGUAACAAAACACAACAUAUAAAAGUGUGAUGCAUAUUUUGAUGUCUGAAUCAGUGUGGCGUAGAUUAUGUGAACACAUGAACAAUAAGAAUAAUAGUUGGAAAGUGUAUCUGGGAAGACUCUAGAAACAACAUGUAGAUAAUCAAAUAUAAUAGUUUCAAAAGUUUAGUGAUAUUGUAUAUAUUUUAGUUUUGUAGAAUUUACCUUUAAGAUGUUGACACAUCAAGAACAAAGCAAACGAUAAACGGAUAGAAGAAGUACAUGCAUAAGAUGCAUGAGAAUAAUCAAUAUCAGUAUUCAUUGAAUUGCGACUAUGGUCAAUGAACGUCAGAUUUUGGUGGAAUGGGUCAUCGAUAUGAGAUCCGUGAAUCAUAUCCGGCAAAUACACACUCAAGUAGCUUGUUGUCAUCUAGGUUAGGAUGAGAUGGGUUGUAACCUUUUGAUAUAAAAGCACACAAUUUUUUGUGCCAAUACGUUAUCUUCAUUAUGUUCUGAAUCUCUAAUCAAAUAUAUAAUUCCAUGAGCAAAAGCUCAUGUUAUGAUAAGCUGGCUGGAAUUUUUGUACAUAGUAAGCUAGUUUGUAAAAUAAAUCUCUAUUACAAUACAAUUAGGUAACCAGAAGUUUUAGUUGUGAAAUGUAUCUCACAGUUUAGGACGUUUUCAAUAAAUCUAGGGCAUAAAUUAAUUCCAUCGCUAAAUCAUCACAAAUAAACAAGUGUGAUGGAUAUUCCUCCCGCACAGAAAACUAGUUUAGAACUUAUUUAGGUCAUAUUAUAUCACUAGAAUAGUUUGAUAGAAUAUUUUAAUCUUGUUUGAGCAAUAUCAUAAUGAUGAAAAUACCAACUAUUAUAUUUCUACCUCAUGAUUGAUUGCAAAAUGAUAGGUAGGUUACCCAAAAGUAAAUCAUCAGCAACGUCUUCAAAUAUUGAUUUUUUUUUACAAAUAAAUUACAAAUUUCACGAGCAACGUCAUGGCAUGUCGUAUAAUAUAGAUCUAUGGACUAAAACGGUAAGUAAAAUUAAAGAGGAACAAAAGGACAAAAAUUUUGUGGCUGUGCGAGUGUUAAAGAGAAUGAGGCUUGAGGAGUGAAUGUGGGUGGCAUCGCAUAGUCGCAUCAUCUCCCACGAGGGCCUUCGCUCCCAUGCACUUCCCUUAAUGUCUCUCUUUACUCUUUCAUUUGCCUUUAUGUGUACAUCUUGUCCAUCUUUUCACAAAAUUAUAAAAAUAAAAAUAACAUACAGAAUAUAGCAGUAUUAUGAAUUAUUGCAAUAUACUAGACCCCUCUAGAAACAGAAUAUGAUGAUUAUGAAGCUAGUCCUUAUCACAUUGCAUAUGUGAGCGAGGACCCAAGGAUCUAUGUAAAGAUAGAGGAUAUAACUGAAGGGAUAAAUCUUUUGAUGGCUAAAGAAUUACUCCUAUCAAGCUCUAUACUAAUCUAUGACCAAAUUACUUUCGACCUUAUUCCCACGUGAGACAUAAUAAAAAAUUUUGGUACAAUAAUGUUUUUUGAGACAUAAUAAUAAUGUUAACGAUUUCAUAGAUAAUAUAUGCACACACACACACAUAUAUAUCGUGAUCACUGAUCAGAUCCAAUAGUCAAAAUUGACAUAAGAAAAUAUGUUAUAAUUUAUAUGUAUUAAAUUACUUCCCAUUCUUACUUCUAUAUGAAAGAUAUGUUAAUACAAGUAAACAUAUAAAAGAGAGGGGGAAAGGCAUAGAUCGAGGAACAAGGUAGAAGAAUUUGGCAAGACAUGAACUUAAUUAACUGUCUCGACCAAAAGGAGAGUAAGGACCAUUAAGUGUUGAAAAUCCACGUGACACCACGCCAAUUCUGCUGAUAUGUUUCAUGUCUACUGAACAUACAUAGAAUUUUAGGAGCGUUACUUUACAAUAAAAAAUGAAGAAGAGGACGAAUAAAAACUUAAAUCAUCAUAUAACAUUUAAUUUGUAUGGCAACCUUUUCAAUAAUUAAAAGAAUAAAAGUUCGUUGGUGACCACAAGAUGAAUAGAAAAAAUGAACAAAAUAAAAAAUAAAAUUUCAUGUGAGAAACUGAACAAAUUAAAAGAUAAGAAUUUUUAUUCAUUUUGUUCCUCAUCAAAAUUGCAGAGGGAUAUUUUUCUUUAUAAAUUCAUUCAUCUUUGAGGAAUUUAGAGAAAAAAUAUGGGACCUAUCAAUUAAUAAUUUGACAAAAAAAUUUGAGGAAUAAUAAAUACACCAUAAUUUUUCUUUCAACAUGGUCACCAAUUGGAACCUAACUAAAUUAAACUGGAAAUAAUAAUUUAUUAUCAAAACAUGACAUUGUUUCGGGAUCUAGGUAUGAUACACAUAUGACAUAUCCAAAUUUUAGGCCACUUAUUUUUUCUCAAAACUAAAGCAUUUAAUUGUUUAUAUGUCUCACAUCAUUAAAAAUUAUCUUUGCAUUUAUUAUAGUACUAUUUACACGAAGUUCAAUUUUCCUUGUAAAAGAUACUCCAUUCGUUUUCUACAAGAUACUCCAUUUAUUAACAAUAUUCUCUAAUUUAUUUUUCUAUUUAUUGAAAUAUGAUUAGUUGUAUAAGUAAUGAUAUUUUUAUUGUUGAAAUAUGAAAAAUUAAAUAUUUUUAUAAUCUGUGUGUAUAAACCCAAAACGAUAACUAAAAUGAAACGGCUCGAGUAGUCAUUUCGCUUUAAUUUAUCAUUUUCAGAACUAUAACCUUCAUGCAAAAAACUAUAUUUUUUAAUUAUGUAGACUUAUAUUGACCUUACAAAAAUAUUUCUAUUGAUCUUGAAACUACAUAUGAAAUUUUUAAUUAUUGGAACAAAACAAUGAUAAGUUUUAGGGGUUUUAUUAUGUUCACUAGGGUAAAUCGCAUAAAACACUCUCAAAGUGUCACUUACUAUCAUUUUAAACCUUAAUUUUUUUCACAAACACUUUUAACCUUCAAACUGUAUUUGUAUUAUAAAAAAAUGACCAAUAGUACAGGUAAAAGGAUGAUGUGUCAAUUUUUUUAAUUAUUUAAUUAAUAAAAUAAAUAAAAAAUUAAAUAAAAUUCAGAUUUUUUUAAAAAAAAUUGUAAAUUUAAAUAAAAUUUAAUAAACAUUCAGAUUUUUUUAAAGUUCAGAAAAUAAAAUAAAGAUUAAGAAAAUUAAAAAAAAUAGCUAAAAAGAAAAGAAAAAAUUAAUAAGACCAAAUUAAAAUCCAGGAAAAAAAUUGAAAAUUGAAAAUUGAAAAUUGAAAAUUGAAAAGUUCAAAAUAGUUUUUUUUUUGUCAUUUUCAACGAUGAUGUCGGAAACUAUAAUUAGAGAUAUGCCAAAAACGUCACUGUUAAUGCUUAAGUAAAAAGCCACCAUUAAUUGUUAUAAGUUAUAUCUGAAAUUGUUAUUGUAAACAAUGAUAUGAUAUUUUUUUUAAAAAAAUAGUGUAAUUUAUAAUAAAAAUAUAUUGAUUUUUGAAGGUUAAACAUGUUUUUGAGGGUUUUUUAUGAGAUUCUCCCUAUUCAUAUAUCUCUUACCUAAAACAUAAAUUAGGAUUCUUACUAUAUAUAGUAUUAUUUUAUGAAAUUAUUCAAAAUAUGAAACUUAAAUACAAGAGAAAUUAAUCAUUUUCUAAACGAAAACUAAAUCAUCGAUCUAGUUAUAUAUAUCACGCAAAAUACAAAUACAAAAUACAAAAUACAAGGAGAUAUAUUUUGUUCACGUUGUGGUGAUCAGGAGGAAUCAAUAAACCAUGUGUUUUUUGACUGUCCUCCAGCACGACAGGUGUGGGCCUUAUCUAAGAUACCAUCGAACCCGAAUAUUUUUCCUCUAGAUUCUUUCUUUGCGAAUAUGGACCAUCUUUUUUGGAGAGUUAAUCCAAAGAUUGAAGACCAUCAGUUUGCAUGGAUCCUAUGGUAUAUUUGGAAAGGUAUGAAUAAUAAGGUGUUUAGCAAUAUUGACGUUGAUCCGAGGGACACACUCAAGCUGGCUGAAUUGGAAUCAACCCUUUGGGCAGAGGCUCAGGUUUUAAGGAAUCAGCAAGUGGCACCGGAUAUACAGAAUAGUUCCAUUCAAACGAAUAUAGGACGAUGGUGUUUUAUAGACGGAUAAGGCUGCGUUCUCAAGGCAAGGAUGGUUUAGUAAUUUACCAGGCUUUGAUGGUUUGUUAGGGGCACGAAAUGUACGUGCAUGCCUAUCACCUCUUCACUCGGAGGUGGAGGCAUUGAUAUGGACAAUGGAAUGUAUGAGGAAUUUACGACAAUUUCAGGUUACGUUUGCAACAGAUUGUUUUCAGUUGGUGAAGAUGGUUUCGGAACCCGAGGAAUGGCCUGCAUUUGGAACCUACCUGGAAGACAUCAAGUCUUUGAGAAGAAGCUUCCACAACUCAGAGAUCGUUCAUGUACCAAGAACGGCGAAUCAAAAGGCGGAUAGCUUAGCACGCAGUGCCCGGCAUCAACCGUCUUUCGUCGUACACAUGGGUGCAGAGUUACCAAUUUGGUUUACAGAGUCAAUAUGAGUCUGUGAAUUGUUUGCUGUCAAAAAAAAAAAAUUCUAAUAUUUUUUGAAAAAGAUUAUUUCGAAGAUUCUAAAGUGAUGAACAAAAUUUCUCAUUUUCUAACACACAGAUUAAAUCAUUUUCAUACUAGAUUAAGUAUAACAUUCUUCCAAUUAAUCUCUGUAGAAAAGAUAUGGCGAUGCUUCUUCUUUUUUUCUUAAUUACAUCUUGUAAUUCGAAUAACAUAAAAGUUUUAAUUACAUGAAAGUUGAGUUAUUCUUUUCUGUUUAUAUAUGAUAUACUUAUAAAUUGGUGGAAGACGGGUAGAUAAGAUUCGUCCCUUUCGAGAAUUCUGGAAUUCUAUGUUUAACAUAUUAGCAUACAUUUUAAUAUAUGUUAAUACAUCUAUAUGAUAUAGUCAUAAAAUAUUUCUCAGCAUCUUAACAUGACCCCACUAACAUAUUUAUAUAUAACGCUCUUCACAGUUUCUUUUCUCCUCAGCAAAAUCAACAAGCUCAUUGUGAAGAGCAAUCAUACACAAACAACAACAAAAAACUACAAAAUUCUAGUUCGUAAACAAUCAUCAUCACAAUGUCUGGUGUGUGGGUGUUCAACAAGAACGGAGUGAUGAGGCUGGUUGAGAAUCCUUACAACCAAUCCGCCGGAGAUUCCUCGGAGUCUUCCUCCUCCAGUGGCAACCAGCAGCAGAGGCUGAGAAGGAAGAUCCUUGUCCAUCUUCCGACCAAUGAGGUUGUCUCUUCGUACGGAUCACUUGAGAGGAUCUUGAAGGGUCUUGGAUGGGAAAGGUACUACAAUGAAGACAACUUCGAUCAUCUCCUCCAGUUCCAUAAGAGAACAUCGAUAGAUCUCAUCUCACUCCCCCGCGACUUCUCAAAGUUUAACUCCAUCCAUAUGUAUGAUAUCGUCGUCAAGAACCCUAACGUCUUCCAUGUCCGGGACAUGUAGUAGUCCAUCAUCAAAACUAAAACCGAGGACAAUUUGAUUCUUCAAAAUCAUUCUCUCUCACAUCUAUUAUGUAUAUAGUUGCAUGUUUGCGUUACUUUAUUUUCUGNNNNNNNNNNNNNNNNNNNNNNNNNNNNNNNNNNNNNNNNNNNNNNNNNNNNNNNNNNNNNNNNNNNNNNNNNNNNNNNNNNNNNNNNNNNNNNNNNNNNNNGGGGGUUGUUUUAUAUUUAUGUGUGUUUGUUUACGUUGGUCGAUUUUGGGUGGUCUAAGCUAAACUCAUUUUAAUAACUUGUAUCAUUUUGUGGUUUUGGUGAACUUUGUAUCAAGAUCUCUCAAAGAUGAAAUAGUAAAGAUGUUAUAUUUGAUUUAGUGAAUUAGUCGUUCAAUAAAAAAGUUAUAUGAUGUGACAUGUUUGAUUUGGUGCCUACAAUACAAGGAAGCAAAUCAAAUAACUUAGAAAAAUUCCUUAGAAUAUUUCUAACUUUUUUAGUUUAUUUUUAAAAAAAUAAUCUUGAAGAAGGAAAAUAACCAAAACUGAUUUUAUUAAAGAAUAAAAAUAAAUUUAUAUCAUAGGAUUAACUAAUCUAGAUCUACGGUUUAGAGAUAAGGAGUGGAGUUUUGAGGAUAAAGUUUCAAAUUUUAAAAAAUAAAAAAUAAAUAUCAAAAUUCAAAAUUAAAAACUAUUUUGGUCAUUUUCCUCUUUGAAAUAUAUUUUUAUGACAAAAACCUAAAAAAAAAACUAUUUGAAAGAAUUGUCCAACAACUUAUGACAGAUUUAUUUUUUUCAACAAGAAAUUAAUAUCAAAUACUCAUAUAGAUAGCUUAGGUACUACUUUAAACUAAUGAUAAUCAUCAUGAACUCGAGUCAAAUUUUAUCGGGGAACUUAUGAUUUGAUGAGAAUGUUUAAAGUGGAUUCAAAACCAUAACAUACAUGAUUAAAACCAUAGAUAUAUCAUAUAUUAUGCCAUACUGAACCAUAAAUUUAUAAAACGAUAAUUUCAAGAGUCAUGACGAAAUCCAAAGAAGGAAAGUCAAAAAGAUGUCCAGAUAGAGAAGGUCCCCCAAAGGUUUAGGAAGACAAUGGAUAAAAUGAUGGGCGCAUGUGAUCUCUCAUACUUUUCCACCCAACUUUGACAGCUGUCGAUUUCUUAUUGCCCAGUUCUCCACUUUGUCACAUAUUAGAAUGAUGCGCACGUGAUGUACAUCCUUUUGCUUAGAAUCUGGACACGUGUCUAUUCCCCAUUGCCCAUUUUCCCCACUUUGUCACUUCUUUAUCGAUGUCGAACAAAACUUUAUAUACUCCCUCAGUUCGGAAUGAAAGAUUUUUUAGAGUAUUUACACAUACUAGAUUUUUUAACCGCGUUACGCGCGGAUAAGAUAUUAUAUGUAUUUCUUAAUUCUAAAAAUAAUGUAUAAUAUUGUAUUAUAUUAUUUAAAGAAUAUAAAAUAAGACUACAUAACAUAAAUAUAUUUUUUAUAUUUUCUUUGUGGAAAUCAUUAUGUUGUUUGAUUAUUGUACUUAAUUCACAUAUUUGCAUAGAUAUUUGUGAUAGAUGAAUAACUAUAUUUUUAUUAUCAGUAAAUAAUAUAUAUUUAUUAUAUAAUAUAAGAAAAAUGAAAUUAUUUACUUUUUAACAAAUUUGUCACAUGUUGGGGACUCGGUUAUAGACAUAUCAUAUUCGAAUGAAACAUUUUUACACUUAUCAAUCUUCUUAACAAUCAAGAAACAAAUCUGAAUAUCAAAACAAUAUCUCAUACGAUAUCUUUGUGGAAUAACUGCUCUGAAGAAAUUGAAUUUAUGCAUCAAAAAUGACUGGAAAUGGAUGUGCAUAUGUGUUAUCUAAGUCAGCUUUACAAAAAACUAUUUAUAGUUCAUAUAUCAUUUAUGUCCAUCCUAUUUUUUUGUCCAUCAUUUCUUAAACAUCUUGAAAUAAGUAAUGCUAAUUAAUAAUAAACUUUUUGCUCACAAAAUAAAAAUCAAAUUUGUCUAAUUAUCGCUUAAUUUGUCUAACUGAUAUAUGUAUUUCUCAAUUCUAAAAAAAUAAUGUAUAAUAUUGUAUUACAUUAUUUAAAGAAUAUAAAAUAUGACUACAUAACAUAAAUAUAUUUUUUAAACUUUCUUUGUGGAAAUCAUUAUGUUGUUUGAUUGUUGUACUUGAUUCACAUAUUUGCAUAGAUAUUUGUGAUAGAUGAAUAACUAUAUUUUUAUUAUCAGUAAAUAAUAUAUAUUGAUUAUAUAAUAUAAAAAAAAUAAAAUUAUUUACUUUUUAAUCAAAUUGUCUCAUGUUGGGGACUCGGUUAUAGACAUAUCAUAUUCGAAGGAGACAUUUUUACAGUUAUCAAUCUUCUUAACAUUGAAAAAACAAAUCUACAUAUCAAAACAAUAUCUCAUACGAUCUAUUUGUGGAAUAACUACUCUGAAGAAAUUGAAUUUAUGCAUCAAAAAGGACUAAAAUGGAUGUACAAAUAUGUUAUCUAAGUCUGCUUCACAAAGUACUAUUCAUAGUUCAUAUAUCAUUAAUGUCCAUCCUAUUUUUUUGUCCACCAUUUCUUAAACAUCUUGAAAUAGCUGAUGCUAAUUAAUAAUAAACUUUUUGCUGGAAAAAAAUCAAAUUUGUCUAAUUAUCGUUUAAAUAUUUUAUUAAUAUGGUCUAAGAAGCUUUUAAGUGAUAUCAUAGUUUAAUUUAUUAGUAUUUUUGUUAAUUUUUAGAGGUUUUUGUAUUUAAGAUUUUUUUCCAUAUUAAGCUUCUAUUUCUUUCACAGAAUUGAUAUAUAUAUAUAUAUAUAUAUAUAUAUAUAUCAUAAAAAUUACCAUUAAAUCAGUUUUACUUAUUUAUUAUUUUGUUUUAACGAAAAUACACUUUUUAAAUAAUUUAAUUUAAAAUAAAAAUUAUAUAUUAAUUUGCUGUAUUUUAACAAUUUCAUUGAUUUAAUUAAUUUGCUUUGGGGGAUAACUUAAAAAGUUUUCAUAUGAAUCGGGGAAAAUAAGCUUAUGUUGUUAUAUUAUAUUUAUUUUGUGUAUAUAGAAUCUAUAUAUAAUGCUAGUGUAAUAAAGAAAGAACAUUAUUUUUUUGUAACUUCAAAAAGAUACAUUAUUACAAUUCGAAAUGAAUCAAAAUUGAAUAAAAUGGUAAUUAAAUAUUUGUAAAUCUAAUUGUUUAGUUGGAUUCUCAUGAAAAAAAAUCGAUUGGUUAAACAAAUGUUUCAAAAUUUGUUGUGGUAUUGUUUUGUCUAUAAAUUAUAAAAUUUAUUGAAUUAAUAUAUUUAAUUAUUGCAUCCUUAAAUAAUAUUUUAUUAAGACAUUAGAAAAAUAUGUUUUGAGUUGUUUUGUCAAAUUGUACAAAAAUCUAUGCUUUUUCAUAUUUGUAACUUCAAAAAGAUACAUUAUGACAAUUUGAAAUUAAUCAAAAUUGAAUAAAAUGGUAAUUAAAUAUCUGUAAAUCUAAUUUUUUUUUAUCUUGUUUAGUUGGAUUCUCAUGAAAAAAAAUCGAUAGGUUAAACAAAUGUUUCAAAAUUUGUUGUGUUAUUGUUUUGUCUAUAAAUUACAAAAUUUAUUGAAUUAAUAUAUUUAAUUAUUGCACCCUUAAAUAAUAUUUUAUUAAGACAUUAGAGAAGUAUGUUUUGAGUUGUUUUGUCAAAAUUUUAUAAAAAUUUAUGCUUUUUCAUAUUUGUCACGAAAAUUUAUAUGUUAAACUUACUUUUACAAAAUUCUUAAUUUUGUCACGAAAACAAAAAUCUAUGCUUUUUCAUAUUUGUCAACGUUCUCACACUUUCUAAGAAUAUAUUAGCUUAGUCACUUACUUAUUUUGUUUUUACAAAACAAAGUAUCGGAGUCUUGAAAGUUGAAUUCAUAUUAUUGUAAAUGUACAUAAGAGUUUGUGAUUAUAUACUUAGUGGUUCUUGUAUAUGUGUCCAAGAAAGUUUCAAUGGCUUAGUGGUAACUGUUCUAUAUAUAUAUCAUACUAACCCGGGUUCGAUUCUCACCUUCGUAUUGUUUUUUUAUUUUUUACGAAAAAUAAAUGAGAUGACAUGGCAAUUUCAGGUUCUUUAAUUGGUUGAUUUUUUUAUCCUAUGUGGACACCCUCUCCAUGGCUUAUAUCCCCUUUUAGUAUAGUAUAGAUUAAAAAAAUAUAAUUGAAUUUAUUAUUUAUUUUAUUAUAUAUUUUUCAAUAAAUAUCAAUAAAUAGUAUUCAAUCAAUUCAAAAAUUUUCAAUUAAUAUUUAUUAAAAAUAUACAAUUUUUCAAUAUUAACUACUAAAAGUACCUUAAAAUUUUAGAAAAUUUAUCAUUUUUGAACAAAAAAUAAAUUUAGAAAAUCCUAGUUUCAGAAACAUAUUGAAUAUUUUUUUUAACUACCCCGUCCCCAAACAAAUUCACACAUAUCCUUUUCGUCUCACACUAUUAUUAUAUUCGGGGCCCUUUUUAGUUUUGAAAUUUUUUCUUACAUAUGUAUUAGUUUGAAUGAUUUUUUGGUACUAGAGUUUCUUUAAUUUUUGAAAAUGGUUAGAAUAUAUAGUUUGUAUGAUUUUAGGAUUACAGUUUCUUGAAUUAAGACAAUGGGCCUGACUAAGAUGGCGCCGUGAUGGAGCGCAUGCUAAAGAUUCUCCAGCAUCAGGAUUGUCCAAAACCAAUAUUCUGGUUUAUAGAUUUAAUCUCCUCUUAAUUCAAUUAGUUGAUUUGAUAAUGUUAUUUCCCGCGGCGGGAAAAUAAAAUUCCGGUGGCGCCAAAAUCGGAGAAGAAGAGGAAAGGGGCAAAGCAAACCCUAAAAUCAAAUCCCAAUUCUGUAAGCUAUGCAAGCAAAGAUCAACUCUUUCUUCAAGCCCUCUGCUUCUUCUCCGUCUCCCAUCGCCGAUGCCUCAGCAACACCAGACACAGACGAUGGUUUAGCCGCGUGGGAGAAAAGUCGAAACGUCAUCGUUAAUACCUACGAGCGACGAUCCGCCACAGUCGAUAGGUAUAUGAAAGAAUCAUCUCCUUUGGCUAAUGAAAGAAUCGAUCUUUGAUAUGUGGUACAUGAAUCAUCAUCUGGGUUUUCUAUUUUAGGUGUAAAGUUUUGAUUUUUCUUAAUUUUUAGAAACUUUGAUUGGUUGAUGCUUUGGUUAUUACAGAAGUGAAGUGCUAAAGGGAUGUAUUGGGAAUCCACCACUGAGGAAAGGAUCUUCAUUUGGAUCCAAGAAUCUCAGCAAGAAGCGGAGUUAUACACAGUUCCACUUAGAGUUGGGCCAAUCUGAUUUUCUUCUCAGACACUGCGCAGAGUGUGGAGCUACGUAUGCUCCUGGGGAUGAGUUAGAUGAGAAGAACCAUCAAAGCUUUCACAAGGACUAUAUGUAUGGUAUCCCCUUUAAGGUUAGGAUGACUGUGACCUUAUUAUAUAUAUGUGUUGAAGAUAUAUUGUUUCCUUGAUUAAGUGUUGGGUUUUUGAAUUGUUCUCAGGGCUGGCAGAACGAGAGAGUGUUCGCAUCGCCUUCUUUCAACAAGAACCGUAUUGUUAUGGUUUUAUUGGAAAAUGAUUCUCCUGCACACAGAAACAAGGUUCGUUUUCCUUUCACAAUGCUGUUUCCUGUACUGGUUAGAGGAUCUUAUAGGUUAUUGUUUGCACUUGUAGGUGCAAGAGGUUGUGAAAGUGAUGGAGGUUGAGUUGGGUGAGGGUUGGAUUCUUCACAAACAUUGUAAGGUACGAGUCCUAACAAACAUUUGUUUUUUGAGCCAACUGCGAUCUGAUAGUAACCUGUUGGGAAUACUUGCUUUAGUUAUUAGCCAAUUAACCAAGAUGUUUUGAAUAGUUUCUUUACUUCCACAGCGGUUUCAAAGAGCUACCGUGUUAUGUGGCAGGUCUAUCUGUCUGUCUCAUCUCAGAGGAUCAGCGGAUGUUUAGUUGCGGAGCCAAUUAAGGAAGCAUUUAAGAUCAAAGCUCCUCCUGAGGAUGAAAGACGGUUUAAGAAAGAGAGCUCUUCUUCGCCUUCAACCUCCAUUCAGUUUGGAAACGUUGUGUUGCAAAGACAAGUAUCAAAAAGGUGUCAGGGAUCAGAUGAUAGAUUGGAUAAUGGAGCCAUUGUAUGUGAAGAGGAAGCUAAACCGGCUGUUUGUGGAAUUAGAGCAAUAUGGGUUUCACCUUCUAACAGAAGAAAAGGCUUAGCUACACGGUUACUCGAUACAGCGAGGUAAAAUGACUCUUCUUAGCAACUAACCAACGACCUGAAUCCAUUCUCAGUUUGAUGUGUGUGAAACGCAGGGAGAGCUUCAGCAGUGGGUGCGUUUUGAAGAAGUCGCAGUUGGCGUUUUCAGAACCAAGCUCGUUGGGAAGCGCUUUUGGAUCAAAUUAUUUUGGAACUCGCUCAUUCUUAGUUUACAAAGCUCAAGUAGAAAGGUUCAAUUAAAACAUAUAGCUUUGCAUUUUUAUGGGAUGUCAUGUCACAUUUUUAUAAUGAAAAUGAUUAUACUAAAUCAAACUCAAUCUACAACAAAUACAAAUAGAGAAGUGAUUUCAAUUGAGUAAGACUCACUUUUUCCAUAACUAAAUUCUAUUUCUUUAAAAAUUAAGUUAACAGUUUAAAUUAUAGAUAAAAUCAAAAGUGUCUUUAUAAAGGUUUUAGAAGUAUUCGGAUUAAAUAUAACUCAAAAUAUAACUUUAAGUUCUUCAACACUGAAACUUUCACUUAAAAAUGUCUUUAAAAUAGUAUUCAUAACGAAAAAACUAGUAAAAUGAAUUCUUUGAGACAAAAAUAAAAUUACAAAAUAAGUUUUUUUAUAAGAGACAAUGUGUGGAAUAUCCCCAAUUAAGGUCCAAAUUUGCUGAAUGCCCAUAAUUAUGGAUAAUCCAAAAAGAAGUAACUUUUUGAUAUUGUGCGGACGAAAAUGUCAUUAUGCUUUGUCGAAAACAAGUAACUCUAGAUCUAUCAGCUAAAUAUUUAUAUAGCAGGUAACAAUCUACAUAUCAACUAACAUAUCCGCUAAUAAUUUCAGUAUCAUCUAACAAUCUAUGUAUCAAACAAAUGUAUCGACUAACAAAUCAUAUAUCAGUUAAUGAAACUAUUAACAAUUAAUUAGUUAUCUAUUAAAUAGCUCCAAAUCUAUUUGUAACAGCUAACACUUCAUGUAUCGAUUAAUAAUUCAUUAAAAUCUAAAUAAUAGCAGUUAAAUAAUAAAAUACCUACUAACGUAUAUAUUAUCUAAAAGUUGAUUGUGAUUCGAAAUUGGAAACAUUGAAAUUGCAGUGAGAUAAUAAGAUUAACAUUAUGGAUGUCAAAAGAAUCAGAAUAAAAAAAUAAAGAUUUGUGUUGAAUUAGAAGAUGAUUUGAAGAAUUUGUACGAGAGAUAAAGAGAUUAGAACACAUAAAAGGGACAAGAGAGAGAUAGAGAUAAGGGUAUUAUAGUCACUAAAAAUAUUAAAAAGAAACAAGGUUAUAUAGCAAAUUACAUGAGUUUCUGGGUGCAUCUACGCCAAUUACUCUUUUUAUAAAAGGAAAUUGUUGCCAAAAGUUUCUUCCAUUAAGAAAACAAAGUUGCCAAAAGGAAAUUAUUGCCAAAAAAAUAUAGUAAAAGUUAAAGGGGAGAGGUCAAAAAGGCCGUGAAGAAGAAGAGAGAAGAAGAAGACUUUACCGCCGCCGAUCUCCCUCUGUGGUGGGCCGUGCUCGUCACCGCCGCUACGUGAGGGAGGAUCUCCUUAGCCUCUUUAGUUUAAUCUAAGUUUUAUUUGGUCUUUUGUCUUUUUGGGUGAGGGUUUAAUUACUUCUCAGUCCGGUGAGUGCUAGUUUGCCUCAGUCUCAAGCAGUCUGUGCUUGUCCCAUGGUGGCUUGUCCUCCUUGGUGUGUAUCUUGACUCGAUUUAGAACGGUGGUUGGUGGUCCAGAUCUACUGGAUCUUGGGUUGAUAAACUUGUAGGGUCUUGGAGUCUUUUGUGGCUGUUUCGGUGCUUGGAUCCCUUUAGUAUCUGUCGAUUGGGUGAGUCGCUAUAGAAGAGACCUCUGUGGUGGUAGCUGGUGCUUAAUCGUCCUGAUUCUCUUGCUCCCCUUUGGUUUUUGUCUAGUCUGUGUUCUGCGCUUGGAGUGUGGUUCCUGCUCUCUUGCUUGUUUCAGGUGGAGUGUCGGUUUGGAGAGUUGGGUCCAGUGAUGAGUCUGGCGCCAUAUGUCAGGUCGAGGACCUGUUGACGGUGCGGUGUAGCUGCUUGGGGCAGUGCAGGUGCUUUCGCUGACGUCGUCUUUGGACUUUCUUCAACUCUAGUUCCUUUGCUACUCAUUGUUUCUGCAAAGAGUUUAUGUUCUCGGUUGAGUCGUUGCGUCGACAUGGUGUUUCUGAGUGCGCUUUCAGGUGCCUAUAUCCCGAGUUUGGUUUCGCGUCUCCUGUGUUGUUUCUCCAGAUGGUGCUUUCAAGAUUAUGGCUUUCUCUAAUUGGUUCUAGUUUGGUGCGGAAUGGUAUGUUUCUUUGAGGUUUUUUCUGCAACGGUGAAGCGUCCCGAGGAUACUUUGGUUGCUAUUGGCUUCUCUCCGGUGAAAAGGUCUGAUUUGAGGUGUGUUGUACUCUGUUCUGCUGUGUGUGGCGGGUGGACCUGUUUCUGUUCUUUGGUUUGGUUGUCAAGCUCUCAAGUGUUGGUGGUCUGUCCUUAUUGGAGGCUCAUCCUUGUUUCAUUUGGCUGUCUCCUUGUAAGCCUCCGGUGGUUCUAAGGUUCAUGGUUACUAUCUCUUCUGUCCUCUCCUUUGAGCUCUCAGUAAUGUGGGGAUUUAAGUUUUGAAAUUUGCCUGGUUGUUUAUGUUCCCCGUGUGUGGGUUUAAGGGUCCCUUCUUAUGGGAUUUAGCUUCUGAGGAUAUCUUCUUCUUCCUUCAGCUUAUGCAGUAGACUAUGUAUUUUGUUGUUCUAAUAUAAUUCAAUUUGAAAAAAAAAAACAAUGUUAACAUGGUUUGGUCUGACAUUUGUGGUAAAUCAUUGUUAACGUCAUACAAUUAAGGUUACCAAACACAUUUAAAAAAGUUAAAGUAGAGUUUCAUACCAUAAAAUCAGCAAUUGAUAUAUCAAUCAAAGCAACUUGAACUUGUGGUAAAAUGUCAUCUCUUUCAGAUCCAAUAAAAUUAUGUUCGAAUUUUUGAUCUUCUCUCAUAAUUCAUGUGUGUUAGAUUUCAUUUUGUCAAUAUAAAAGAACACUUAAUUACAUUGACAAAUUUUUCGUCUAAGACAACAAUUUUGAAUGAAAUAGAAUACCACAGAUUGAUUUCUUAUCCAUUCUAAUAGGAAUCGUGACUCAAAAUGGUAGAUCAUAUGAAUUUGGAUGAUAAUCACAAUUAAUAAUUAAUUAUUGCUCAUUAUCGCAUCAUCACAAUACAUAUGUUUUAUUUAAAAUUGGUUAUAAUAUAAAUAAUUUAACAUUAUUUAUCAUAAAUAUUUUUCAUAAAAAUGAGUUUUGAUUUUGAUAUGAUAAAUGACUUACACACUGAAAUCUUUGGAUAUAACAAUAUCAUGUUUCUACUUUAUAAUCACAAGCACAAAAAUUAUGAUUUCAAUAUUUUGUAGUGCACUAAUUUUGUAGUACAGCUGCAUAUAAACCAAGAGAGAUAAAAAUAAAAUUAUUCCUUUACUUUUAGUCUUCAUACUAGGCAAAGACACACAUAUAGAAUCAAGACAUAAAAAUUGUUUGACAAAAAAAACAUAACAAGUAUUAAGCUUCUUCCAACAUCUAAGACCAAACAUCAAACAAUAACGACAAGUUUCUCAUAGUUGUUAACAACAAUCAUGCAUUUGACCUUCAUAUCAAAGAAACAAACAAAAUGACACUUAGCAAAUCACACAUUAACUGUAUUUUAAUAUAUUAUGCCCAAAAUAUAAAUUAGAAAUUUUUUCUAAGUAGAUACAUUUCGAGAGUGUCACUGAUAACAAGUGAGCCUUUGAAGAAGUUGAUGCACACUUCAUCGGUUGUGGUUGCAUUAACAUGAUACUACUUCUUCACUGAUAUUGUAAAGUAUUUGCAAAGCAAAAAAAACCGCACAAUUGAAGGAAAAAUUCUUAGAACUCAAAACAAAAAUAAACAAACACUAGAAUGAAAGAAAUCAGAAUUAAAAAUUUACCUUUCUCUCUCCUUUAAGAACACAAACUUAGCUGAAGUGACAUUAUACAAUCAGAUUAAUGGUUGGCUAUUGGUCCAAACGUAAAAUAUGUCAUCAUGGGUUGAUGUCGAGAUGAACUUACCAAAAAAGAGAAAAAGAUAAAACAAUGUGUUAAACUAAAACUAGUCAAAGAUGGCAAAAAUGUUACCGCUACUUAGGACGUUGGUCAAAUGACACUAUGAGAGACUGAUGUUUUGCAAUCACUGUUCUUGGUUCACCCGUUGUAAAGCCCCACGAUUUUACAUUUCCAUAUGAGCCAUAAGUGAUGAGCCACAUGUUUUGGUUGUUGACGUCACCAAUAUAAUCAAAUGUUUACCCUUCCCUCGUCAGCAACAAUAUAAAUAUGAGAAAAUAAUAUUGAUUUACCAAAGAGUUGUCUAACUAAGUAAAAAAGGAAAUUAUUGUCAAAAUUUCUUCCAUUACGAAAAAUGUUGACACGGUUUGGUUUGACAUUUGUGAUAAAUCAUUGUUAAUGUUAAUACAAUUAAGGUUACAAAACACACAAAAAGGGUUAAAGUAGAGUUUCAUAUCAUUUCAUAAAAUCAACCAUUGAUAUAUCAAGCAAAGCAAUUUGAUCCGCUUGUAGUAAACUUUAUCUCUUUCAGGUGCAAUAAAAUUAUUUAUAAUUUUUUUGUUUAUUUUUCAUAAUUCAUGUGUUAGAUUUCAUUUUAUCAGUCUAAAAAAUAAAUUACACUGAACAUAUUUUUUCAUCCUAAGACAAUAACUUUGAAUGAAAUAAAACAUCGGAAAUUGAUUUUUAUCCAUUAUAAUAAUAUUUGAGAUCAAAAUGUUAGAUCGUAUGAAUUUGGAUGAGAAUCACAAUUAAAGCUCCAGGUGUUCCGCCUAAUCACAAUACAUAUGUUUUAUGUAAAAUUGGUUUUAAUAUAAACAAUUUUUAACAUUACUUAUUGAAAACACCUUUUUAUAAAAAUGAAUUUUGAUUUUGAUAUGAUAAAAUGACUAGAGUUACACACUGAAUAUUUUGGAUAUUGUCACAUCAUUUCUUUACUUUAUAAUCAUAAGCACAAAAAAUAUCAUCUUAAAUUUUGUGAUGGUUAAAUUUUUUAACCUGCAGCCCAGUAAAUUAGGAAAUUACCAUUUACCUAAUUAAAUUAAAAAAAAAGAGAGGGAGGAGAAAUAACGAUAAAAUUCUAUUUCAUUCAAACUGAACGAACUCUCUUUUCCCCUUCGGCUCGAGUCAGCCUCAAUCCGGAGGCAAAAUUGUUCGGCCACGACGGACCGCCGUCUUCAGAACACCGUAUGACCGCCCCACUCCAAGAGAUCCUUCUCAGCAAAACCCUAGUUGGAUCUCCAAGCUGGUUUACAAACCUGCCCGCAUAAUUGCCUCCGGCGCCGGAAAAAUCAUUUCUUCCGUCGUCUUCUCUGAAUCUUCCUCAUCGUCUUCAGAGGACGAGGAUUCAUCUUCAGGUAUGCAUCCGCUUGUAAUUUUAUUUGGGGUUCAGACAACAUUAGUUUGAAAAAAAAAUUGAACUUGUUUGGUCGGAAUCUGAAACACACUGUUUCGUUUAAAAUAUGUGAAUUUGAUUUAAAAGCUUCCCUGUCUUUCUCCUUUCCUUAAUUAAUGACACUUAAUUGAAGUGAAAGCGUUUGUGAAGUAAUGCUACUAUCUUGUGUCAAGUUACUUACUUUAGUUCUCAAGCUCUAAUAUUUUUUCAUAUACGGAUUCAAUUAAGUUCGACCCGUUAUGCUCCUUUUUUUUUUGAUAUAAUGUAGUUCUGAGUUGAGAAAACUGGCCAGAUUUGCGUCUUAUUUUGCUCUCUUUCGAUGUUUAUUUUAUAUGUUAUCCUCCUUGGUUUCAGAUUAUUGAGGAUGUUGAGAACAACAUUACCGAUGAGGUACUAUGCUAUGCCAAUGUUUUCAACUUGGUUAGAGACCGUGUUCCUAUGAUGGUUAUUCAAACCCAUUGUUGACAGAAUUGAUUCAGCUCUUUGGGUCUAGUGGUUGGUACUGAGUCUACCUUUUAACCGUGACGAGCUUCUUUUAGCAUGUUUCUAUGGUUUUGAUGGAAAAAAGGUUAACCAAGCUAAUAUUUUUUUUCAACAUUGUAUUUUUAUGGAAGGAUGAAUUCAGUUUCUGUUAAGUUUAUAUGAUAGUGUGCUUGUGUUAAUAGGACCUUGUGAAUGCCCAGGAAUCAACUUUCCACAAACUCAGUUCUAAGCGUGUAAUUGAGCAGCUUCUCAUGCAAGAAACAUUCGCAAGGUAUUUCGGAGUACCUGGGCAUAUACAUCUCUUAGUUGAAAAUAUAUCUUUCUUUUUUUUUAUAUAUAAUGAGCUUGCUAAAGCUAUUGAUGUGUAUGUUGUUUAAGGGAAGAGGGUGAUAGAUUAAUAGACAUCAUCAAGGAAAGGGUCAGUGUUCCUACUUCUAAUGAGGGGAUGCAUAAUGGAUUGACAAAUGGUAUGUAAACUGAUGGUAGAUUGUGCAAGCUGACUUGAUUUGUCUAUGUGAUAACAUCUUCUCGGUUUUAUUUUCUAGAUGUGAAUGUGGGUGAAAUGUCCAGUAAAGCUGUCAUGGAAGCAAAAAGAUGGUUGGAGGAGAAGAAAUCAGCAAGUCUAAAGUAAGUUUUGGAAACUGUGCUUUCUUAACUCUUCCAUAUUUAUGCAAAAACGGAUCACCAUCUCAGCCUUUAUUUUCAAUCUCUAGGCAACUGAAGAUGGUGCUGGAUCGCCUGUGGACGUGGCCAAGUCAUACAUGCGAGCUCGUCUGCCAUGGGGAUCUCCGUCUGCGAACAAUUCAAUUCAGAGUUUUGGUCACCAUCACCAGCAGGGACACCACUUCCUUAUAGUUCUGGAACCUUAUCCUCUUCCUUAUAGUUCUGGAACCUUAUCCUCUUCCAAGGAACAAUGGCUGUCUCAGAGUUAUGUAUAUGCAUUCUGACUUUUGGUAUCAAAAUGCAGCUGAAAAGGAGAUCUCGUUCUAAUCCGUCAUGGAAUAUUCAAGAUGAAAUUCGUAAAGUCAGAGCUAAAGCAACAGAGGAAAUGCUUAAAAACUGUAUCCCCCAGUAGUGUAGCAUCAUUAUAAGUUUAUAACCUAAACAAAAGCCCCCCCUAUGUUCUACCAAAUUCAACCAUACCGACCUCUGAGCAAAAUCAGGUACCAAGCACCACCCUAUACAUUAUAUGUCUCUAUAACAAGAAGGAACUUUGCAUGUUUAUCUUCUUCUUUUUUAAAAUUCCCUCUUGUGUGAAGACUACGGAAGCUAAUCAAGCCGUUGAAGAUACCAAUACCGCUCCUCAAAGGUUCUUCCUAUCAACAUAGACUUCUUCUGGAAAUAUAAUUUUUUUCAGUAUAUCCAUCUUCUUAAGUUUCUCAACCGUAUUUGACAGUGGAACCGGUCUUGAUGACUCAAAUGGAGACACCACAAUUGGUAACAGUUUGGAUUUCUCAAAUAGCUUUUGUUUGGUUGGGUUCUUUUUAUUUACUUGCGCUUCUAUUAAUGCAGCUAUGUUGGCUCUUGGAGCAGAUAUGGACAACUGGGAGCUUCUGCAUCCCAAAAGAUGUAUUUGAAACAUCAAAAGAAGCUGAUGAAAUAGGCGCGGCACGUGGAGUUAGUGUCGAACAGUGUCUCUCUGUUUAUUUAUUUUCUGAAUCUUUAAUAUUCAUGUUGUAAGUUUGACACUUGUUUUAGCUGACAAAGCUUUACGGUAUGCAGUUUCCACAAAUAUUUAAAAAAAACUUUUACUUGACCAAAAAGCCAUAAACUGUCACUUCAGUUAAAAAUAUAAUUACUUUUUAACAGAAAUUCUGACAUGAUCCGAUAUAGUAGAACCUUAGUUUCAGUAGUAGAGGAGAGAUUACUUUCAGAUCAGAAGACUGCAAACGGAUUCAAUCUGUUGUGACGACCAGUUUAUUAUGUCAACUUGGUUUAAGUACAAAAAACCAGUACGAGCAAAAAAACUCAAUAAGCAAAACUUUUUCAAGACAGAGAGAGAGAAAGGACAUAACAGAACACACAAUAAAUAAAAAAACAGAGGGUAAAGAAAAGGAAGAAGAAAACGAACAAAACCCAAUAAGCAACGAUCGAAGAAGCCUUCAGACAUUCAAAUCUAAAGGCAAUAUGAACAAGCCCACGAAGAUUUAAUCAGACAGAGAGAUCAUUGGUUUGGUCGGAAGAAAUAAAGUUACUUCUUUUGUUCGGUUUUUGUUGUCAAUUUGUCUGAAUUCUCUGGUCAAUCAUAGCCAAAAAAAGGUUGCUUUUUUUCUCUUCUUCUGCUUACAAGCUUGGGUCCCGCUUCCUCCAUUCUCCAAUUCGAAAUUGCAUCCUAUUUAAAGGCAAUCCGAAUCCAUUGUGUCAAGUCUCUUAUGAAACAAAUAAUUAGCAGAACAAUUUUUCUUAUUAGUUUUAGAAACUACUCAAAAGUAAAACUGUCAAUGUUUUUUUUCUUAGAUUUUAUGGAAAUUUUUCAAUUAGACCUAUAUUUAUAUAAAAACUUUAACAUGUGACAUAUGAAAAACACAAACAUAAUCUAAAUAUAAAUUUAUUUUUCCUAUUUCUAGGUUUUCUUAUCGUGUUUAUUUUAACAUAUUAAACAUUUAGUAAUAUGUUAACUUUCCACAAAUUUGGAAUUGUCAAACAUUCACCCUCUUAAUUCCAACUUGAAUUAGGGAGAUCAAUUUCUUAAACUCCGAUUAAGCUCCUCAUUUGCUUGAACAUAAUACUUGCUAAUGACUUGGUAAGGAUGUCGGCUUUCUGCUCAACACCGGGCACAUGCUCCACUUCGAUCUGCUUGUUCUCCACACACUCACGAAUGAAGUGAUACUUCUUGAGUACAUGUUUACUUCUUCCAUGGAAAACUGGAUUCUUGGUUAGAGCAAUGGCUGAUUUGUUGUCGAUCAUAAGCUUAACCUUCUUGCCUUCUUUGCUUAGUAUCUCACUCAACAACUCCUUGAUCUAUAUAGCUUGCUUUGCUGCUUCUGUUGCUGCCAUGAACUCUGCUUCACAUGAUGACAAUGCAACUGUCUACUGCUUCUGCGAUGUCCAAGUGACAGUGAUGAACCAUAAUAUAAUGCAUGUCCUGACAUGCUCCUCCCGUCAUCGAGUUUAAUGUUGUGACUGUUGUCACUAUAACCAACGACACUCUUUGGCCUAUCUCUCUAGAAGAACAGACCGAAGUUUGUUGUUCCUUUCACAUACCGCAGUAUGUGCUUGAUGGCUUGUAUGUGAGUCGGAUUGUGCAUGUAUCUGCUAAGAACACCUAUUGCAUAACACAUGUCGGGUCUUGUGUGAAGCAGAUACCUCAAACAUCCUAUGAUUCUUCUGAACUCGGUAGCAUCUAUCUCUCGUUCAUCUUCAGCUUUUGAGAUCUUCAAAUUCGCCUCUAUUGGAAUUUGAGUUGUGUUACACGCUUCCAUCUUUGUGUCACACAGGAUUCCUUGAGCAUACCUCUUUUGCUUUAUUUUGAUUCCAUCUGCUCCUUGAAUCACCUUUAUGCCAAGAUAGUACGUUAGCUUACCUAGAUCUGACAUCUCAAACUUCUUAGACAUCUCCUCCUUAAAUUGCUUAAUCACCUUAAGCGAAGUUCCUGUCACAAAUAGAUCAUUAAUGUAGAUGGCUAUGAUCAAGACAUCUUGUUGUAGGCACAGGGGGGGGUAACCCACGAAUUGAUAGAGGUUGGAUCCAAGCUACAACCUGAGAACAAUGAGAACCGAUUUUUAUGAGUUUUUAGAGUUUUAUAUUGCAAACAGAAACAAAUAUGAAUAUGAAUCAAAAUGAUAAUAUGAAUAAAAACAAAUAGAAAAGGGAUAGAUUGAUGGAGAUGGGAUCUUUGUUGCUGGAUGUGUAUCACUCUCAACAAGGAUCAAUGGAUGGGAGAUGAAUGAAGAUGGAACCGGUCUUGCUGGAUGUGUAUCACUCUCAAGAUCGAUUAAUGGAUGGAGAUGGGAUGAUGGACGCCACAAAGCUCUGUGAAAGGAGGCUUUGAUAAGUCAAGUUGCUCCAGAGUUGUUUCUCACACACUCAAAAGACUUAGAACAAUAGUUUUGACAAAACUAGAAAAACUGAAUAAUUCAUAAUACUUUCAAAGAUGGGUGAUUUACAAUGAAACAAAGACUAGAGCUUUAUAGGCUCGACCAAGGACUCUCUAACAGUCAUAAAAUGACAUAAGGAAAGAAAUAAAAUCGAAAUAAUAAACUUGGAAGCAAAGGAAUUGAUGGCUCCUUGAAAACUAGCCGUUGGAGGCUUAAUGAUGAGAAUCUUGGCCAAAUGAAUGUAGAUGGGGUCCUCCUUGUAUCUGGACGGUUUGAGGGGGUAAGUGAGCUUCCUGGGAAUCUUCUUAAUGGUCUGGAAGGUGCUGAUGUCGUGCAUAGACUGAAGGAAAAAGAGCUGUUGGAGUUUUAAUGCUUGAGACUCCAAAUAAGGCAAGUUGGGGUUAAUGAGGAUCCUCCUGAUCCUAUGUGGGCUGGUGCAUGGAAUGAACUUGUCUGACUCUUCUGGACCAUUGGAUAGACUUCCUGAAUGCAUAGAUAUAUCUCCUGGUCGCCAAUGUCUGGUUUGAAGCUGAUUGAACCGGUUAGCUUCCAAUUGAGGCAAGUGUAGAACUGGUUUGACCGGUUUUGGAGAUUGGAUCAUAACUUCAUAAUUCCGUGUCCAUUUCUCCUGAUCUUUGGCUUUCUGGAAAGCUGAUAAACUCCUCUUGACUCCAAUGAUGGGCUUUGCUUCAUGCCGCUCCUUCCUUGGGCUGGAAUCUCCUUCUAAAGUCGGGUACUCGCAGAUGGACGGGCUGAGAAACCUCUGAGUUGAAAAAUUCAUAACUUCUUGCUCCGUGAAUAUUUUGGCCCAAUUCCAAUUGGCCUGGACUCCUUCUUGAGUGUAGAAUCCAUAAAAAUUAUCCUCGUGACUUAAACCCUCCUGGUUUGUAAGAUACAGCAUUUUUAGUGCACAUGUGUUCUGCUUGGCGCCUUGGCUGGUUAAGUAGGGCUUUGGGUUGACCUCCGGUUCGGUUGCUGAUCUGAUGACCACAUCAUCCCCUCCCUCUUGACAAGGUUUCGACCUCGAAACUAUGUAACCUGCACCAAGAUAGAGCAAGUCAGCUUUCAUCCUCUUUUGAGAUUCUAAAACCUUACCUUGGAACUGUUUCGGUUUGGGAAUGGAAUUUGUAUCAGGUGGUUCUCCUUUGAGAAAAUAGGAAUGGAUCACGCUUCUGCUCUGGACAUGGUCAUUUCUUAUCUUCUGGAGUGGAUGGUCUUUCAAAUUUUUGGUGGCCACGUUUCUGAUCAUCUUUGGAGUUGAUCCUCCUAGCAACAUAAGAUAAUCUGGUGGGAUUUCUUUGAAGCUUUCUUCCUUGCAACCUGAAAAAUUCUCAACAUUCUGGACAAAAAGCAAGUGCAUUAUAUCUGUCAUUGAAAUAUUAAGAACAUGCUUAUCUAAAAGGAAUCUUACCAUAGGUUUUGGAAAUUGAACAAUGGAUUGUUCAGAUUUCGAUUUCCACUUAGAAGUGGGUUCAUGGCUGAGCUUAGGGUCUGGUUCUUUCUUUGAAACUACAAUAAGCUUAUAGCUUUCAUUUGUUCUACCUGUACCAAGAACACACACGUCAGUACUAGUAUCCAAAGGUGGUGUUUGAAACUUACCUUGUUGGGAUACUUUUAUGACCGGUUUUGCUUCUUUAAGCAACAUGGACUGCAUUGUCUCUUGAACAAUCUUCUGGUCCAUCACAAGAGUCACGCCUGGUGGUUCUUCUUCUUUAAAUUCUUGCUCCUUAAGUCCUGUUACAACACCCUUUGACAAAGACAAGUGCAUUAUACAAGAAUUUGGAACCAAUAUAUCAGAUUGAAUAAAAUUAUCACUUUUCAUAGAUAAUUCUGUUUUCUCUUCUAGUGAUGUUUCUAUCAAUGCUUUCUUAGUAGGACAAACUAUAGCAUAGUGUCCUUUCUUAUGACAUCUAUAACAUGUCUGAUAUUUCAAAUCCUCAGAGUUAGAAGACUUACCUUGGCUUGAUGCCUCUUCUUUCUUUGGGUUUGAAAUCUCAUCAUUCCUUGGACUUAAAUCAUGAACAACUUUUAAAUCCAAAAAGGACUUUGAGAUCGUGUCUUUCUUGACUUCAGGACCUGUCUUAUCAUCCUUGGACAAAUACAAGUGACUCAUACCAGUGGGAGAUGAUUUACAAACAAAUUUAUCAAGUAUAGGACUUACCUUGGCCUUUUCUUGAAAAUUCAGUUUGUCUGGUUUUUCUUUGUGUCUGGCCAAUGUGUCUUGGCUGACAAACUUCUUCUCCUCCAUGGUCUUUGGGACCUCAAUAGGUUGGUUUUGAUCAUAGAAAACCGUGGGCUUCUGGUUUGGCCGAAUAUGGUCUUGAUGGAUCAAGCUUCUAUGACCUUCUUUUGGUACAUCUUUUCUUGCUUCUUUGGAACCAUGAGUUGGAUACCUCCUUGGAUAUAGUUCCUGGAUUUCAGAACUUGUAAUCUUUGGUGCAAACUCAUAUCUCAUGACUUCCUUAAGAGCUCUCCAUGUUUUGAUAGUUGGCUCCUUGUAAAACCAUCUAUCACCUUCUUCUUGUACCCACCAUUCAAAGGCAUCAUCUCUAAGUUGUUCGAUGGCAUAAGCAAGCCUUUCUUCCUUCAAGAUGUUGUUGAAGUGAAACCAUUCAUCAAGGUUCCUCUCCCAUAUUAGAUAACCUCUUUUUCCUGAAAAUGUAAAGAGUUUAUUUUUAUCAGCAAAAGAGUUAUAAUUAAAUUGAGAAUUAACAACAUGAUGUUUGUGGGUUUGAGAAGUUGGGGUUUGAUUGAUCCUUGAAGGAUCUGGUGGCUUGGGCUCGACAUAGAAAGCCUCUGGAGCAUCUCCAAAUCUCCUUUCUCCUGGCUGUGGACGUUGGCCUUGUGCCUUCUUUCUUUUCCUCAGCUGUGCAAUCAGAUCAACCUCUUGCAAAGCUGUCAAAUGUUGGUUCUCUUUGGCCAUCUGACAGUGGCCGUGUGUUUCUCCUACCAUGGCUUCCUGAAAACACUCUCAAAGAUCAAGUGAAAGAUAUGGGAAGGUCUGGUCGAACCAAAAUAAAUCAAGUGCACAAUGCAAUUUUAAACUAAACCGAGAAAAUAUGCAAUUAUGAACCGAAAUGAAAUAAAGUAUGCAAAAAUUAUUUUUCUUUUAGUUUUCUCAAUGCAAACACGAAAUGAAUCAAUAUGGAAUGACAAUUAACACAAAUGAAAAGAAAAUAUGGAAAGAAAACUAACACUUAUUUUUUUUUUUGAAUUUUUUUAUGCAAGAAACAAAUAUGGAAAUGCAGAUUUUUUUUUUAAAUGAAUGCACAAAAUCUAAAUAUGGCAAGUGGAGCUGGGGAAUGAAUGCAAACACAAUAUGAGAUUUCUUUUUCAAAUUUUCUUGAAUCAAAUGCAAGAAACUUCUUCUCUUUUGUUUUUCUUUUCUUAAGAACAAUAACAAUACAAAAACUGUUUUUAUGGCUUUUCGGUUUAUGAUGAAAACAAAUGCAAGCAAAUGAAAUAUGAUGCAAGGAUAGAUAUCACCUUAGUCAGGAGCUUGAGCUCUGAUACCAAAAUGUUGUAGGCACAGGGGGGGUAACCCACGAAUUGGUUGAAUGGUGGAACCAAGGUUUAAACCUGAAAACAAAGAGAACCGAUUUUUAUGAGUUUAGAGUUUUUAUGAUGCAAACAGAAACAAAUAUGAAUAUGAAUCAAAAUGAUACUAUGAAUAAAAACAAAUAGAAAAAGGAUAGAUUGAUGAAGAUGGGAUCUUUGUUGCUCGAUGUGUAUCACUCUCAACAAGGAUCGAUGGAUGGAAGAUGAAUGAAGAUGGAACCGGUCUUGCUGGAUGUGUAUCACUCUCAAGAUCGAUUGGUGGAUGGAAAUGGGAUGAUGGACGCCACAAAGCUCUGUGAAAGGAGGCUUUGAUAAGUCUGGAUGCUCAAGAGCUGCUUCUCACAAUACUCUAAGACUUAGAACAAUAGUUUUGAGAAACUAGAAAAACUGUAUUUUCAUUCAUAAAAAUUCAAGGGUGAUUUACAAUGAAGAAACAACUUGAGCUUUAUAGGCUCGACUACUGGGACUCUCUAACAGUCAUAAAAUGACAUAAGGAAACUAAUAAAGUCGAAAUAAUAAACUUGGAAGCAAAGAAAUUGAUUGCUCCAUGAAAACUAGCCGUUGGAGGCUUUAUGAUGAGAAUCUUUGCCAAAUGAAUGUAGAUGGAGUUCUUCUUGUAUCUGGACGGUUUGAGGGGAUAACUAAGCUUUCUGGGAACCUUCUUGAUGGUUUGGAGGGUGCUGAGGUCGUGCCUAAUCUGAAGGAAAAAGAGCUGUUGGAGCUGGAUGGCAAGAAGCUCCAAAUAAGGCAAGUUGGGGUUAAUGAGGAUCCUCCUGAUCCUAUGGGGGCUGGUGCAUGGAAUGAACUUGUCUGACUCUUCUGGACCAUUGGAUAGACUUCCUGAAUGCAUAGAUAUAUCUCCUGGUCGCCAAUGUCUGGUUUGAAGCUGAUUGAACCGGUUAGCUUCCAAUUGAGGCAAGUGUAGAAUUGGUUUGACCGGUUUUGGAGAUUGGAUCAUAACUUCAUAAUUCCGUGCCCAUUUCUCCUGAUAUUGGGCUUUAUGGAAAGCUGAGAAACUCCUCUUGACUCCAAUGAUGGGCUUUGCUUCAGGCCGCUCCUUCCUUGGGCUGGAAUCUCCUUCUAAAGUCGGGUACUCGCAGAUGGACGGGCUGGAAAACCUCUGACUUGUAAAAUUCAUAACUUCUUUCUCCGCGCGUAUUUUGGACUGAUUCCAAAUGGUCUGGACUCCUUCUUGAGUGUAGAGUCCAUUAAAAUUUGUCUCAUGACUUAAACCCUCCUGGUUUGUAAGAUACAGCAUUUUUAGUGCACAUGUGUUCUGCUUGGCGCCUUGGCUGGUUAAGUAGGGCUUUGGGUUGACCUCUGGUUCGGUUGCUGAUCUGAUGACCACAUCAGUCUGUCAGCACACACAUGACGUCUGUGGCUCUCCGUGUGUGUCCGUCAGCAUACACAGGAUGUCCGUGGCUGUCCGUGUGUGUCCAUCAGCACACAUAGGACGUCCGUGGCUGUCCAUCAGUACACAUAUCAGCACGCUGGCCCUCGGACUCAGCACACUGGCCCUUCCCGUGGACUGUUUGGGUGAUUUUGGCACACGUGGGCUGUCUGUUCAGUACACACAGGCCGUCCGUGGGAGUCCACCAGCAUACACAGGACGUCCGUGGCUGUAUGUGGCUGUCCUCAGCACACACAGGACGUCCGUGGCUGUCCGUGUGUGUCCGUCAGCACACACAGGACGUCUGUGGCUGUCCAUCAGUACACAUAUCAGCACGUUGGUCCUUGGACUCCGCACGCUGACCCUUCCCGUGGACAUUUCUGGUGAUUUUGGCCCAUUUGGGCUGUCUGUUCAGCACACACAGGACGUCUGUGGCUGUCCGUGUGUGUCCGUCAGCACACACAAGGCGUCUGUGGCUGUCCAUCAGUGCACAUAUCAGCACGCUGGCCCUUCGUGUGGAUUGUUCGGGUGAUUUUGGCCUACGUAGCCUGUCUGUUCAGUACACACAGGACGUCCGUGAGUGUCCGUCAGCACACAUAGGACGUCCGUGUGUGUCCAUCAGCACACACAGGACGUAUGUGGUUGUCCGUGUGUGUCCGUCUCUGUCUGUCAGCACACACAGGACGUCCGUGGCAGUCCAUCAGUACACAUAUGAGCACGUUGGUCCUUGGAAUCAGCACGCUGGCCCUUCCCGUGGACAUUUCGGGUGAUUUUGGCCCACGUGGGUUGUCUAUUCAGUACACACAGGACGUCUGUGGGUGUCCGCCAACACAUACAGGACGUCCGUGGCUGUCUGUGGCUGUUUAUCAGCACACAGAGGACGUCUGUGGCAGUCCGUGGCUGUCCAUCAGCACAUACAGGAUGUCCGUGGCUGUCUGUGGCUGUUCAUCAGCACACACAGAACGUCUGGGGCUGUCUGUGUGUGUCCGUGUGUGUCCGUCAGCACACACAGGACGUCUGUGGCUGUCCAUCAGUACACAUAGCAGCACGCUGGUCCUUGGACUCAGCACGCUGGCCCUUGCCGUGGACAGUUCGGGUGAUUUUGGCCCACGUGGGCUGUCUGUUCAGUACACACAGGACGUCCGUGGGUGUCCGUCAGCACACAAAGGACCUCCUUGUGUGACCGUCAGCACACACAGGACGUCCGUGGCUGUCCGUGUGUGUCCGUAUGUGUCUGUCCGCACACACAGGACGUCCGUGGCUGUCCAUCAGUACAUAUCAGCACGCUGGUCCUUGGACUCAGCACGCUGGCCCUUCCCGUGGACUGUUCGUGUUAUUUUUGCCCACGUAGGCUGUCUGUUCAGUACACACAGGACGUCUGUGGGUGUCCGUUAGCAAACACAGGAUGUCCGUGUGUUCCCUCAGCACCAACAGGACGUCCGUGGCUGUCCGUGUGUGUCCGUCAGCACACACAGGACGUCUGUGGCUGUCCAUCAGUACACAUAUCAGCACGGUGGUCCUUGGACUCCGCACGCUGACCCUUCCCGUGGACAUUUCGGGUUAUUUUGGCCCAUGUGGGCUGUCUGUUCAGUACGCAUAGGACAUCCGUAGGUGUCCGCCAGCACACACAGGACGUCAGUGGCUGUCCGUGUGUAUCCAUCAGCACACACAGGACGUCCGUGGGUGUCUGUUUGUGUCCGUGUGUAAGACCCGAUCCCGGCCGACUAGGCCGCGGUCGAUGCCUUACGUCGCUCAGUCCAUACCCGGACCGAACCUCUAAAAAUUUUGCCCUUUAUUUAAAAUAUCACCCAUUGGCGAGGGCUAACUCAGAUCCUAGCUCAAGACUACCUUAGUCAUUCCCUAGCUAGAUCCUUUCAACUUAUGCACAGCGGAAUAGUAUCUACUUAACCAUUGGUCUAAAACCAAUCUAACACUUGUCUGGUCAGAUCACCUCAGCUACUGGUCAGUAAACACAACUGCCAGCUAGCUCAAAGGUCGAUCCUGAACCUAGACCAAGUCAUACAAUCAGAGGUUCCGUUCCCCUAAGCCAUUCUAUCUAGAUCUAUGCAACAUUGACAGAUCAUACCUUUGCCACAAUCCUGGAGCUUGUUAGCUCAUUGUCCCAGCUGACUUAGCUAUCUUAGCUAGCUCACCCAGCUAGUUGAGCUGAACCACUUCACUUGAGGUUUGCUGCUCCGUUCCAGCUGAUCGAGGUGCGAGGUAGCUUUGCCCAGCUCCCCGUCCACUCGUCCAACUCCCUUAUACCUGCAUAUACUCUUCCCUUGGGUACUUAGUCAUUCAAUAGUAACUGAUAUGCAUCUGGCCCUUCUUAGCCCAUGCAUCAUCCAAUACCCGUACGCUUUGUAGAAUAUAAUACCAAGUCCUCUCACGGACAAAUCAUACCAAGUCCUCUCAUGGACUAACCAGAUCAAGUCCUCACAAAGAAUAAUAAUGCCCAUCAGAUCCAGAGUCAAUCAACCAACCACCCCACAUGACUCAGAACUGAUGAGUCUUCAUACUUCAUAAUCAGUCAUGGAACCAUGUCCCACUGAACCUGAUUACUGUUGCUCUUACCACCGGUGCAUCCUUUGAUCAAUCAGAUCAGACACCUUGAUCCAUCAUCCAAGGAUCAGGUCGUCCAUCCUUGCCCAGGAUCAGAUCACACACGGCAUGCCUUGAAUAAUAACACCCAAGCUUAGUACUUUGGUCCACGCCACCAAGUACUUAGCUGUACUCUUCUUCCAGGCUCACAGCCAAUGCAUUGCCCAUACCUUACCAACACCAAGAUUGAUAACCAACAAUUCCUUAUGAUCAAUAUCAUAAGUGACAAUAUGUUCCAGCACAGAAACAUAUUGAUCAGAUAUCCUAACACAAGGAUCUGACCCCAAUAUGCCCUCAGGUGCAAUUUCGACCCCAAGCAAACCUGCUCCAAAAAUCAAUUAAAAUUCAUGAAAAUUCAUGAUAAAUCAUAACUAAUAGAAUGGUCCAAUCAGAUUUCCCAGAACCGGCCUCCAUCCCAUAGAUCUCGGCCAAGAUCAGCCAAACCGGCCCAAGGGACCAUCUCUAAAUCAAUCCCUAAAAACUCAUUAGGAUUCAUGAUAAUUCAUGAUAAAUCUUAACUAAGAGAAUGGUCAAGUCAGAAUUCCAAGAACCGAUCUCAAUCCUAGGGAUCUCGACCUAGAACAGCCCCACCGGCCACCUUGACCAUCUCGAAAUCAAUCAGAUAAAAAUCCCCAAAUACCAUGAUAAUUCAUGAUAAUUCACCACUAAGAGGAUUCCAAAGUCCGAUCGCCAUAAAUCCAUCAGGAAGUAGGAGAUCCGGACUUAGCUGCCAAACCAAGGCCAUGGAGGGUUCUUCUGAACCGGCCAAGCCAUGGUUCAGUGCUACUUUGUCUAAUCAUCAAUCUCAAUCAUAAGAAGAAGAAAUAAUAUGAUUAAUAAUCAUAAAACAGAGUAAGGUGUAACUGCAGGGCCAGAUCAGCCCAUAGUGUACCAGACUAUAUCCAAUGGUCUGCAGUCCCCACCUGUUACCUCAUCAGGGGCGUCCAUGCUCCUCCUAGAACGCCUUCAUCAAACCCUUAUCACAUACUUCCAGUAUUGAUAAGAUCUAACCAUGGUUCGUGCCCAUCACUCCUUCCAUGGAACUUCCAUGAAACCAGUUUUUAUACUGCAUCCAUCUUCAAGGCUGUUCAUGCCUUUGAGAGUGGAGUCAAGCCUUCCCCCUUCUCUCCUAACCAAUUGCGUGUGUUCCCAAGACACAGAGGAAGCCUUAGACAUGAUCAUCCAUGAUUAAUCACCAUCCAAAGGUCGUGCAUCACUUCCCUCUUUGUUCCCCAUGAAACUGCUUUCCACACAAAUCUCCCUUUAAGGCUACAUUGGCCCUUGGGAAUGGAUUCCGGCCAACUCACUCCUUUCCUCACCAUUUGCGUGUGUUCACAGGCUCCAGAUAAGGCUUUGGGUGUUAUUAACAAUGAUCAAAACCGUUCAGAGGGUCGUUCUCAACUUCCCCCUUGAUCUGCCCCAAAACUGUCUCUUUAUGGCCUUCACCCCACCAUGGGUCUUGGAUUGGGAAUCCGACCAACUCUCUGUAUUUUUCUCUGGAUUCUUUGUGUUUCAGGGUAUAGAAGGAAGCCCUGGCGUGCCUGCAAAGGCACCGACUUUCCCUCCUUAUAUAGGAGAAGGGGUGGUUACUUCUUAACCAUUGCAUCCCUUCGGUAUCAUUUCUGGCCAUUGAUUUAAUCAAUGGUACAGAUUGCACCCUUUCGCCUAUGGCAGUUACCACACGACCUGGAACUGCCAAAACACUCCUGGACAUGUCCAAAACUAUCCCACACGGGCUGCCCAUGCCCCUGGCUCAAUCCCAAGAGCCCACUAGCCCAUCGGCACACACGGGUCACCCACAUGGCCCGGCCACUGUCCAGACCCGGCCCAACUGCCCAACACCUGAACACUCAGUCCAGCUGAGUUGAGCUGAUCCCCAGCUGAUCCAGCUGAGUGAGCUAGACCAUCCAGCUCAGGGAGCUGACCUACACUUCAGUGAGCUCCACCGAGCUGCACUACACUUCACCUAGCUGGUCGAGCUUGCUUACUGCAUCGCCCAGCUGUUAUACACGGUGUCCAGCUUGCUUCCUUUAUCUUCUUCAAUCCUUCUAAGUCCCUUGGUCAAUUUCUAGACCUAGACUUAGUUUUCCCAUGAUCCAUUCUGAUCACUCACUUCAUCGAGCUUUACCUGGAUCUUGUCCAGCUACCAGCUCGCUUGUCCAGCUCCUUUGAGCUUGUCUCCUUCUCGGAUUAGCUAUGCCUUAGCUCCCUGAUGUCCUUAACCUUAUCUUCAGGCCAUGAUAUACUUGUCUUUAGGUCAUAUGACCUGAAUGGUGCGUUUCCUCGCACCGCAGUCCGUCCGGACGAUCCUAUCCAGGAUCGGGGACAUGACAGUGUGUGUCCGUCAGCACACACAAGAUGUCCGUGGCUGUCCUUCAGUACACAUAUCAGCACGCUGGUCUUUGGACUCAGCACGCUGGCCCUUCCCGUGGACUGUUUGGGUGAUUUUGGCACAUGUGGGCUGUCUGUUCAGUACACACAGGCCGUCUGUGGGUGUCCACCAGCAUACAACGUCUGUGGGUGUCCGCCAGCACACACACGACGUUCAUGGCUGUCUCUGUGUGUCCGUCAGCACACACAGGAUGUCUGUGGCUGUCCGCGUGUGUCCAUGUGUGUCUGUGUUUGUCCGUCAGCACACACAAGACGUCCGUGGCUGUCCAUCAAUACACAUAUCAGCACGCUGGUCCUUGGACUCAGCACGCUGGCCCUUCCCGUGGACUGUUCGAGUGAUUUUGGCCCACGUGGGCUGUCUGUUCAGUACACACAAGAUGUCCGUGGGUGUGCGUCAGCACAGACAGGACGUCCGUGUGUGUCCGUCAGCACACACAGGACGUCCGUGGCUGUCCAUGUGUGUCCGUCAGCACACACAGGACGUCCGUGGCUGUCCAUGUGUGUCCGUCAGCACACACAGGACGUCCGUGGCUGUCCAUGUGUGUCCGUCAGCACACACAGGACGUCCGUGGCUGUCCAUCAGUACACAUAUCAGCAAGUUGGUACUUGGACUCAGCACGCUGACCCUUCCCGUGGACAUUUCGGGUGCUUUUGUCCCACGUGGGUUGUCUGUUCAGUACACAUAGGACGUCCAUGGGUAUCCGCCAACACACACAGGAUGUCCGUGGCUGUCCGUCAGCACACAGAGGACGUCCCUGGCAGUCCGUGGCUGUCCGUCAGCACCCACAGGACGUCUGUAGCUGUCUGUGGCUGUCCGUCAGCACACACAGGACGUCUGUGGCUGUCCGUUUGUGUCCGUGUGUGUCCAUCAGCACACACAUGACGCCCGUUGCUGUCCAUCAGUACACAUAUCAGCAUGCUGGCCCUUGGACUCAGCACACUGGCCCUUCCUGUGAACUGUUCGGGUGCUUUUGGCCCACGUGGGCUGUCUGUUCAGUACACACAGGACGUCCGUGGGUGUCCAUCAGCACACACAUGACGUCCGUGGCUCUCCGUGUGUGUCCGUCAGCACACACAGGAAUUCUGUGGCUGUCCGUGUGUGUCCGUGUGUGUCCAUCAGCACACACAGGACGUCCGUGGCUGUCCAACAGUACACAUAUCAGCACGCUGGCCCUUGGACUCAGCACGCUGGCCCUUCCCGUGGACUGUUUGGGUGAUUUUGGCACAUGUGGGCUGUCUGUUCAGUACACACAGGCCGUCUGUGGGUGUCCACCAGCAUACACAGGACGUUCGUGGCUGUCUGUGGCUGUCCGUCAGCACACACAGGACGUCCGUGGCUGUCCGUGUGUGUCCGUCAGCACACACAAGACGUCUGUGGCUGUCCAUCAGUACACAUAUCAGCACGUUGGUCAUUGGACUCCGCACGCUGACCCUUCCCGUGGACAUUUCGGGUGAUUUUGGCCCACGUGGGCUGUCUGUUCAGUACACACAUGACGUCUGUGGGUGUCCGCCAGAACACACAGGACGUCUAUGGGUGUCCGCCAGAACACACAGGACGUCCGUGGCUGUCCGUCUGUGUCCGUCAGCACACACAGGACGUCCGUGGCUGUCCGUGUGUGUCCGUGUGUGUCCGUCAGAACACACAAGGCGUCCGUGGCUGUCCAUCAGUACACAUAUCAGCACGCUGGUCCUUGGACUCAGCACGCUGGCCCUUCCUGUGGAUUGUUCGGGUGAUUUUGGCCUACGUGGCCUGUCUGUUCAGUGCACAUAGGACGUCCGUGGGUGUCCGUCAGCGAACACAUGACGUCCGUGUGUGUCCAUCAGCACACACAGGACGUCCAUGGUUGUCUGUGUGUGUCCGUCUGUGUCUGUCAGCACACACAGGACGUCCGUGGGUGUCCAUCAGUACACAUAUGAGCACGUUGGUCCUUGGAAUCAGCACGCUGGCCCUUCCCGUGGACAUUUUGGGUGAUUUUAGCCCACGUGGGUUGUCUAUUCAGUACACACAGGUUGUCCGUGGGUUUCCGCCAAGACACACAGGACGUCCGUGGCUGUCUGUGGCUGUCUAUCAGCACACAGAGGACGUCCGUGGCAGUCCAUGGCUGUCCAUCAGCACACACAGGAUGUCUGUGGCUGUCUAUGGCUGUUCGUCAACACACACAGGACGUCUGUGGCUGUUUGUGUGUGUCCGUGUGUGUCCGUCAGAACACACAGGAUGUCUGUGGCUGUCCAUCAGUACACAUAUUAGCACGCUGGUCCUUGGACUCAGCACGCUGGACCUUCCCGUGGACUGUUCGGCUACUUUUGGCCCACGUGGGAUGUUUGUUCAGUACACACAGGACGUCCAUGGGUGUCCGUCAGCACACACAUGACGUCCGUGGCUGUCCGUGUGUGUCCGUCAGCACACACAGGACGACCGUGGCUGACCAUCUGAAAAUAUCAGCACGCUGGUCCUUGGACUCAGCAUGCUGGCCCUUCCCGUGGACUGUUCGGGUGAUUUUUGCCCACGUGGGCUGUCUGUUCAGUACACACAGGACGUCCGUGGGUGUCCGUCAGCACACACAUGAUGUCCGUGGCUCUCCGUGUGUGUCCUUCAGCACACACAGGACGUCCGUGGCUGUCCGUGUGUGUCCAUGUGUGUCCAUCAGCACACACAGGACGUCCGUGGCUGUCCGUGUGUGUCCAUGUGUGUCCAUCAGCACACACAGGACGUCCGUGGCUGUUCAUCAGUACACAUAUCAGCACGCUGGCCCUUGGACUCAGCAUGCUGGCCCUUCCCGUGGACUGUUUGGGUGAUUUUGGCACACGUGGGCUGUCUGUUCAGUACACACAGGCCGUCUGUGGGUGUCCACCAGCAUACACAGGACGUCUGUGGCUGUCUGUGUCUGUCCGUCAGCACAGACAGGACGUCCGUGGCUGUCUGUGUGUGUCCGUCAGCACACACAGGACGUGGCACACACAGGACGUCUGUGGCUGUCCAUCAGUACACAUAUCAGCACGUUGGUCCAUGGUCUCCGCACGCUGACCCUUCCCGUGGACAUUUCGGGUGAUUUUGGCCCACGUGGGCUGUCUGUUCAGUACACACAUGACGUCUGUGGGUGUCCGCCAGAACACACAGGACGUCCGUGGCUGUCCGUGUGUGUCCGUCAGCACACACAGGAAGUCCGUGGCUGUCCGUGUGUGUCCGUCAGCACACACAAGGCGUCCGUGGCUGUCCAUCAGUACACAUAUCAGCACGCUGGUCCUUGGACUCAGCACGCUGGCCCUUCCUGUGGAUUGUUCGGGUGAUUUUGGCCUACGUGGCACGCCUGUUCAGUACACACAGGACGUCCGUGGGUGUCCGUCAGCACACACAGGACGUCCGUGUGUGUCCAUCAGCACACACAGGACGUCCGUGGUUUUCCGUGUGUGUCCGUCUGUGUCUGUCAGCACACACAGGACGUCCGUGGCUGUCCAUCAGUACACAUAUGAGCACGUUGGUUCUUGGAAUCAGCACGCUGGCCCUUCCCGUGGACAUUUCGGGUGAUUUUGGCCCACGUGGGUUGUCUAUUCAGUACACACAUGACAUCCGUGGGUGUCCGCCAACACACACAGGACGUCUGUGGCUGUCUGUGGCUGUCUAUCAGCACACAGAGGACGUCUUUGGCAGGCCGUGGCUGUCCAUCAGCACACACAGGAUGUCCGUGGCUGUCUGUGGCUGUUGGUCAGCACACACAGGACGUCUGUGGCUGUCUGUGUGUGACGUCCGUGGCUGUCCAUCAAUACACAUAUCAGCACGCUGGACCUUCCCGUGGACUGUUCGGCUGCUUUUGGCCCACGUGGGAUGUUUGUUCAGUACACACAGGACGUCUGUGGGUGUCCGUCAGCAGACACAUGCCGUCCGUGGCUGUCCGUGUGUGUCCGUCAGCACACACAGGACGACCGUGGCUGUCCAUCAGUACAUAUCAGCACGCUGGUCCUUGGACUCAGCACGCUGGCCCUUCCUGUGGAUUGUUCGGGUGAUUUUGGCCUACAUGGCCUGUCUGUUCAGUACACGUCCUCCACAUGUCUGGCCGCAUGGCCCGGUCGCAUGCAUCGCGACACCUCGUGCUUGGCCGUUCCACCUCGUGCUCCACAUGGCUGGCUGCAUGCCUCAGUCUCAUGCAGGAUGACACACCCACGUCCAGAUGGCCUGCUGCAUGACUGAAGUGCAUGCAGGUCGACACCCCAUCUCACACAUGUCUGGCCGCAUGCUUCGGUCGCAUGUAUCGCAACACCUCGUGCUCCACAUGUCUACUUGCAUGUACAGGUUGCAUGUACUGCAAUACCUCCUGCUUCCCUUGACACACACACUGUCAAGAGACUGCCACCACGUCCUGAACACAUACACAUCAAGCCACCUCGAGCUUCUCGGUCGAUUCGGCCGAUUUCAGACUUUCCGGUGAAUUUUCGUCCCGCGAUCAAUCCUAAAUAUUUUUCUACGCCCGUUCUGAUGGCCUGAAUAUUUUUAAUAAACCCUACUGGGACUCUGAUCUUGAGGAAAAAUAUUUACCGAGCUUUCGGCUUCUUCAAAAAAAUUCGUAAUACCGAAAUUUAGGGUUUUUCGCCCAAUUUCCGGUCUUUCUGUUGUGCUUCCUAAAGUGUCUUUCUUCAAACAUCAUUUGAAUCAAUCUACUACAUUGUCUGACCAUUGUCUAGUGGCAUAUUUGACUCAUGGUUCAGACAAGAACAAUCUGAUUGUCCGCGACUCGACCACCCAAAGGAUACUCGACCGUUCUUAUUUUUUUUUAAGGGUUUCUACAUUCUCCCCCCGUUAACAGAAUUCAUCCUCGAAUUCUAAGGCUCUGAGGGGCCUCCUUCUUCCAUUACAACGUCCUCUCAGAAAAACUCCGGGUGAUCAGUUUUAAAUCUCGCUUCAUCCUCCCAAGAAACAUGAAUCAUGUUUUGUCUUCCUUAAAACACUCGUACUUCAGAAAUCUCACGAUUUUUGAGCUUCCGAAAACGCCGAUCUCCUAAUCUGAUUGGUCCUUCAGAAUACGUAAGGUUUGUCUCCAACUCCUCGAUUCUCUUGGGCUUAACAGCACUUGGAUCCCGUAUAUGUUUCCGAAGCAUGGAAACAUGGAAUACUGGAUGUAGAUGCAUAUCUGCUGGCAGAUCCAAUCGGUAAGCUACCUCACCAACUUUACCGAUGAUCUUGUACGGACCAAUGAAUCUGACCGCAAGUUUCCCAACCUUGCCAAAUAUGUCCUUCUCUUUUUGGGCUGUAACCUUCAAGUAAACCCAAUCUCUUAUCUCGAAAGUUACCUCUCUUCUUGACUGGACUGCGUACUUCUUCUUACGGUCCUGAGCCUUCUUCAUGUUGGCCUGAAUCGUUUCCAGUUUAAUCAUGGUCUCCUGAACAAUAGGUGACCCCAACAUUCUUCUUUCGCCCACUUUCGUCCAACACAUAGGCGUCUUGCAUGGCCUUCCGUAUAACGCUUCAUAAGGUGACAUCCCUAUGCUCGAAUGAUGACUGUUGUUAUACGAGAACUCAACCAACGGUAAAUGCUUCUCCCAAGUUCGUGCCCAAUCGAGAAUACACAUCCGCAGCAUGUCCUCGAUGGUCCGAAUGGUCAUUUCCGUUUGGCCAUCUGUUUCGGGAUGGAACGCCGUGCUUCUGUACAGUUUAGUUCCCAAGGCUUCUUGCAGUGCUUCCCAGAAUGAUGCAGUGAACCUUGGAUCGCGAUCUGAGAUGAUGUCUGAGGGUACACCAUGUAACUUCACGAUUUGGUCGAUAUACAGCUCGGCAAAAACUUUAACUUUAUCAGUGUCCCGCAUAGGCAACAAGUGUGUAACCUUGGUUAACCUAUCCACAAUCACCCAUAUCGAGUUGUUCGAUCUACCUGGAGCAGUGGGUAAUCCGGUAAGGAAAUCCAUGGAAAUCGAGUCCCAUUUCCUUUGAGGUAUCAGAAGACUUUGUAACAAUCGUCCUUGUACUUGAUUCUAGACCUUGACUUGUUGACAAGUUGCACACUGAGCAACCCAUUGUGCUACUGACCUCUUCAUGCCCGGCCAAUAAUAGUAUCUCCUCACGUCUCGGUACAUCUUCGAACUUCCAGGAUGGAUACUAAGUAAAGAAUGAUGUGUGAUCCUUAGUAUCUCAUCUCUCAGCCCUUGUCCUUUAGGAACCGUGAUCCUUCCAUUGAUUAGAAAAGUUCCAUCCUUCACCAAGUAGUAUCCAGCAUUAUUUGGCCCGGCUUGCCCAUUGAGUUCUUCAGUAAUCUUCAGUAACUUCUCAUCCUUAAGUUGUUCUUCUCAAAUUCUCUGAAUCAAGCUGGCCUGAUUCACCGCUUGAAGUCGCAAUGGCUCGCUUGUCUGCCCUUCCAAAACGACCAACUUCACUUGUUUCAACUCCUGGUUCAACAGCUCCACUUCUUUCUCUAAAUCUGCGUCCAACUUUCUUCGACUUAAGGCGUCCGCAACAACAUUCGCUUUACCUGGAUGGUAGCGAAUCCGUAUGUUGUAGUCUGCCAAAAACUCUAUCCACCUACGCUGGCGCAGGUUGAGAUCUGGCUGAGUGAAGAGGUAUUUAAGACUUUGAUGGUCCGUGUAUACCUCCACUUCUUCUCCAUAUAAGUAAGAUCUCCAACUUCGCAAAUUGAACACCACGGCCGCUAACUCCAAGUCAUGUGUACUGUAGUUAUCCUCAUGCUUCCGUAGUUGUCGUGAGGCAUACGCGACGACUCGCCCAUCUUGCAUAAGAACACAACCUAACCCAACUCGUGAAGCAUCCCUGUAAACCGUGUAAGGUUUACCUUGCUCGGGCAAAGCUAACACAAGUGCGGUCGUGAGAGCUUCCUUCAACUUCUUGAAUGCCAUCUCGGUUUCUUCCACCCAUAAGAAAGGAACUCCUUUACCGGUAAGUUUAGUUAAAGGCUUUGCAAUGGAGGAAAAGUCCUUAACAAUCUUCCGAUAAUAGCCUGCAAGUCCGAGAAAACUCCUCACUUCUGUCACAGUGGUAGGUCGAGACCAUUCUUGUAUGGCUUGGACCUUUUCUGGAUCAGCAGCCACGCCCUCUCCUGAUACUAUGUGACCAAGAAAUCCUAUCUCUCUCUUCCAAAACGAGCACUUGCUGAACUUGGCAAAUAGCUUCUGAUUACGUAACCUCUCCAUAACCAGUCGCAGAUGCUCUUUGUGCUCUUCCUUACUUCUCGAGUACACCUGGAUGUCAUCAGUGAAAAUGAUCACGAACUUGUCUAGAUAGUCGUGAAACACUUCAUUAAUCAAACACAUGAAAGCCACAGGUUCAUUUGUGAGACCAAAGGGCGUAACUACAAACUCGUCCUGCCCAUACCUCGUUCAAACGCCGUCUUCAUAAUGUCUGACUUGGCAAUAGGAAUUUGAUGAUACCCUGAUGCCAAAUCAAUCUUUGAAAACCAACUAGCUCCCUUUAGUUGGUCUAACAACUCGUCUAUCCUUGGAAGAGGAUACUUAUCUUUUAUCGUGAUGUUGUUGAUGCCACGAUAAUCGAUACACAGCCUCAUGCUUCCGUCCUUCUUCUUCACAAAUAACACAGGAGCUCCCCAAGGUGAAGAGCUCGACCGGAUGAAUCCCUUUUCCAAUAAAUCUUCCAACUGUUUCUUUAGCUCGGCCAAAUCCGCAGGUGCCAUCCGAUAUGGUGCCUUAGCUAUAGGUUUUGCUUCAGGCUCCAAAGUAAUGGUAAAGGGAUUACUCCGAUGUGGAGGUAAUUCCUUUAGUGGUGCAAAGAUAUCCUCAAACUCUUGGACCACUUCUAUGUCUUCGACCUUAACUUCAUCAUUAAUGGCUCCUCCACUAACCGAUAAGGUCACCAAAUAUACUUCCCCGUCUUGAAACAAAUCUUGUACUCUCAUCGCUGCUACCAAAGACCCGGUCAUACUAGGACUGAUUCCAUAGUAUACCAUCUCUGGUCAUUUACAUCUGCCGAACAACAACCUUCCCUUUCCACAGUUGAUUUGAACUCCGUAGCUCGAUAACCAAUCCACUCAAAGGAUUACCUCGUACCCUUUCAAAGGCACGACUAAUAGAUCUGCCACAAACUCUUUGCCUUGAAUGACCAAUGGAACAUUCUUGAUAAACUGAUUUUCUUGAAGGUUUCGGUCUGCGGGGGUCAAGACGGCCACAUCUAUCCUGUCAACCACAAAACAAUCCCAAAACCGGGCAGCUACUUUAGGGGUCACAAAACUAUGUGUUGCCCCCGAGUCGAACAAUACAUGUGUGGGUUUACCAGCAACAUGUAUGGUUCCUGCUGCAGUAACCCAAUCAACAAUAUCUCAAUCACAAAUACUAAUCAAAAUUCUCACAACCAUCAAUCAUCAUCCUAAAUUUCUAAACGUGCAACCUAGCGAUCAAGCAAUCUAUACCUAACCAGCAUACUAACUAGAUUCCAGCAACUAAAUUUCCAUUCAAUAAAAAGAAGAGGUUAAGCACCCACAAUACCUGUGAUGGGACCGCUUGACGGUCCUGCAUUGUCUGGGUUUUCUACACCUAAGGCAUAAACUCUACCUCCUAGAUUUUGCUUCUUUGGUUCUGGCUCAAUAGCUGGACGGCUAGGAGGAGCUCGGAUUGCGAGAGGGGUCGCAUGGAUUGGCUUGUUUGGACAUGACGAUGCAUAGUGGCGCUUCCUUCCACAGAAGAAAAAAGUAACAUCUUCCUUCCUCAGCGAUGAAUAACCUUGCUGGUUACUCCGUUGUCUGUUGGGACAUAACUUAGAAAUGUGUCCCGAUUGAUCACAUAUGUAACACACCAGUGUUACCACGAUUGUUGGCCUGGCCUCCAAAGCCUCGCCCUUUGCCUUUGUAAGAUCUUGGACCCUUGUUGAAAUUUGGCCUUUCUCCUUGGCUAAACUUGGUGUGUCCACCAGAAUGUGGUAAGGUCUUCCUUUCAGCCUCCAAUACAGUCUCAACAUUAACAGCCUUUUCCACCAGAUCCGAUAAGCUGCUAAAGUUGCUUCCACCUAAACGACUUCCAAGCUCCGGCUUCAAUCCGUACAUAAAGUUACGGAUCAUAGUUGCUUCAUCUUCACGCCCAUCAAAGACAUGUCGCCUCAACCUUGUGAAUUACGACUCAUAACUCCUUACGGGCCUAUCUCCUUGAACAAGGUUCAUGAACUGGCGCUCCAAUCGAUGCUUUGCUUCUGGAGGAAAAUACUUCCUCCCAAACUCUCCCUUGAACGACUCCCACGAUGUGAUGGUGUGUCCAUGCUGCCUGUCUAUGCUGUCCCACCAUCCUGUGGCGUCACCUUCCAAGUAGUACACAUUGAUCUUCUUCUUGUACUCCUCCGGGCACUCCAUGGUUUCAAAAUUCUUCUCCAUCAUAGUAAUCCACUUGUCGGCCUCAAUAGGAUCGGAUCCUCCUUUGAACUUGUAGGAUCCAAUGUUCUUCAUGGUAGAUAAUAGCUUGGAAACUUCAGGGGUUGAGUACGCCUGCCUUGGUUACCAAGUGCCUCGGUCAUCACGUCAUGUAAAAGCUUCAGGGUGUUUUCGGUUCCAUGAUCUUGUGGUCUUUCGGUGGCAUGGUUUUGAUCUGUCCUUGGGUUUGGUUGGACGGAUUGAUCAUCUUGAUGUCUCUGGUGCCAAAUACGACUUCGACUAAUGCUCGCCAUACUGUCUUCUCUCACUCUAGUCCUGUUACCGUAACCAGGAAAAGAUCUUGUUCUCUGCAGAGGGCUCCUAUCGUGUCCAAACAUCUCACUAAUGCUAUUUCCAUUAUCCUGAUCUGAUCUGUAACCCAAUCCUCCGCCUUUCCAAUCCAUUCCCUCUCCCCAUAUCCGACCUCGUCCAUCAUCACCUGUCCCGCGAUUAGCCAUCUGCACACAAUCAAAAGGGUAAGUGAUAAUCUUACUAUGGGAAGCAGCUGGUUUCCUAAUCAUCUUUUUGCGACUCCUUUGACUCGAUAAAACCGUUAAAAAGCACUUGUGUCAUGCAUGAACGAAACCAUGCUCUGAUACCACCUCUAUAACACCCCCGAACCGUUUUAGGCAUAGGUCGAACCACCGGCCAAGAAUCAAACAAGAACAUGACCGACGGCCCGACCGUCUACCAAGGUUCAGGAGCGCUACAUGACGGGUUAAAGGGCAAUCGAGCCAAAGUUACAUAAUGUGCAAUUCGUAACUUGGCCAGGCCGCCCACUAACGCGUCCCGUCAAACCAAAGCCUAAGGCUUCUCAACCCGUACUCCAAUCUGACGUUGUGUUAGCUUGGACAAGCUAAUAACAGAACAACAAGGCAUUUGCACAAAAAAUUCGCUUUAUUUAUCUUAUAAAAUAUAUGGUUUACAAUACACAAAAUAUUAUACAAAUGGUGGCAUGCCAAGAAAGCAAAAGUACAUACUUAUAGUCUGAAAGCGUCUUAACCAAAAAGAUGCAAAUCUACACCAGCCAGCCUAGCCUCCCGCGCCUUCUACGGGCUCACUACUGGUCACCUGAAAACAACAACGGGUGAGGAGUGAGUAAUCUAGCAUUACUCAGCGAGUUACAAUCCCCAACUAACAAAUACAACCCCUCGCUAUCCCACCCCACAACAAUCUAAAGCGAGAGGUUCACCUAACAACACAAUUCAAUAAUAAUAAGCAAUAUGUGAAAUACGCAGCGGUAAAUGAUAGCAAGAUAACUAGCAUUAUGCUAAUUACUAGCUCAUCACCAAACUCAAACUCUUUUUAAACCUAAACAACCCAAACACGAUAUAAUAUAUAACAAACUCGGGCCCUGGUGAUGUUGUGUUCCUCCUGCACUAUCAGCAAUAUCCUAUCUUCCUACCACAAAGGCCAGAAGAAGAAACUUUCAACCGACCACGGCCCACAGUCUUUCGGGUCACCGCGCGACAGCCCACGGUCCUUCGGGUCACUGCCACAUUACACCGUCGUGUAAUACUCAGCCAUAGGACAUGACCCCGUUCGUCUGAGUCUUCCCGAUCCAGCGAAUAAGGGGUUUCCUUGAACCCUCUGGGUACGAGGUCUGAAGGAAGACUAACUCACCCCAAUAUGCCUAGCAUUGUGGGUUACACAAAUGCUAUCGGCCAAUAUACGAUUAAUACUAAACCCGGUAAAAAUAACACAAGGUUUCAAGUAAUAAUCACAACACAAUCAACCACAUUCUAGAAUCUAGCAUAAAGACUAAUUCCAGAAUACCUAACUAUCCACAACUUAGCAAUAUCAUCUAAGAAUUCUGCAUUCGCUAACUAACCAAUCAACCUAACCAUUAGCAUGCUACUACGGUUCUCAAGCAAUGACAAGCAUGCUAUCAACUCAAUCAACAUAAUCUCAACUAUUAACUAAUCAAACCGUUACUCAGUUAGACCUGGCCUCUUACCAUAAUCCACCUUCCAAGUAACAAGAACCUGCAUGAAAAAAACUCAGCAAUCAAUUGAUCAUAACUCACAGUUUUUGGUUGACCGUGGCCUUGACCCCAAACCCGACAUCUGCGAUCCGAACCCUUUCCCGACCUUCACAAGUCGACCCACUUGACUGAUCUUCACUUGAACUGGUCUCCACUAGAACUGAUCUCUCUGCACUUGAAAAGAACCUUCUCCAAGUGCUGACUCAAAAUCGGCAGAGUAACUGUUCUCGAAAACCGCCUAGAAUGCUUGAAAACUAUCGAAACUCGAUCUUUCUUUCUUUUCUUUCUCUUUAUGUUUUGAAGUAGGUUUGAUGUGUUAUGGAUAGGUUGAAAUGAGAGGGGGUCGUGGCCUAUUUAUAGGAAUCAGCAACCAAUCAGGAACAAGCUGUGUGGCAGCCCGUGUGUCGCUUCGCAUGGCUCCGGACGCAUGCGCGGCGGCACCUUGUGCUCCACUUGUCUUUCAGCAUGGCCUUCUCACAUGCAAGGUGACACCACGCCCUCUACCUGUCUGGAUGCAUGGCCUGCACACAUGCAAGCUGACACCACGUCCUCCACAUGUCUGGCAGCAUGGCCCGGUCGCAUGCAUCGCGACACCUCGUUCUUGGCCGUUCUACCUCGUGCUCCACAUGGCUGGCUGCAUGCCUCAGUAUCAUGCAGGAUGACACACCCACGUCCAGAUGGCCUGUUAGAUGACUGAAGUGCAUGCAGGUCGACACCCCAUCUCACACAUGGCUGGCCCCAUGCUUCGGUCGCAUGCAUCGCAACACCUCGUGCUUGGCCGUUCCACCUCGUGCUCCACAUGUCUACUUGCAUGUACAGGUUGCAUGUACUGCAACAUCUCCUGCUUCCCUGGACACACACACUGUCAAGAGCCUGCCACCACGUACUGAACACAUACACAUCAAGCCACCUAGAGCUUCUCAGUCGAUUCGGGCGAUUUCGGCCUUUCUGAUGAAUUUUCGUCCCGCGAUCAAUCCCAAAUAUUUUUCUACGCCCGUUCUGAUGGCCUGAAUAUUUUUAAUAAACCCUACUGGGACUCUGAUCUAGAGGAAAAAUAUUUACCGAGCUUUCGGCUUCUUCGAAAAAUUUCGUAAUACUGAAAUUUAGGGUUUUUCGCCCGAUUUCCGGUCUUCCUGUUGUGCUUGCUAAAGUGUCUUGCUUCAAACAUCAUUUGAAUUAAUCUAAUACAUUGUCUGACCAUUUUCAAGUGGCAUACGUGACUCAUGGUUCAGACAAGAACAAUCUGAUUGUCCGCGACUCGAGCACCCAAAGGAUACUCAACCAUUCAUAAUUUUUUUUUAAGGGUUUCUACAUCGGCUGUCCGUUCAGUACACACAGGACGUCUGUGUGUGUCCGUCAGCACACACAGUACGUCCGUGGCUGUCCGUGUGUGUUCGUCAGCACACACAGAACGUCUGUGGCUGUCCAUCAGUACACAUAUCAGCACACUGGUCCUUGGACUCAGCACGAAGGCCCUUCCCGUGGACUGUUUGGGUGAUUUUGGCCCACGUGGGCUGUCUGUGCAGUACACACAGGACGUCCGUGGCUGUCCGCCAGCACACACAGGACGUCUGUGGCUGUCCGUGUGUGUCCAUGUGUGUCCGUGUGUGUCCGUCAGCACACACAGGACAUCCGUGGCUGUCCAUCAGUACACAUAUCAGCACGCUGGUUGUUGGACUUAGCACUCUGGCCCUUCCCGUGGACUGUUCGGGUGAUUUUGGCCCACAUGGGUUGUCUGUUCAGUACACACAGGACAUUCGUGGGUGUCCGUCAGCACACACAGGACGUCCGUGGGGGUCUGUCAGCACACACAGGACGUCCGUAGCUGUCCGUGUGUGUCCAUGUGUGUUCGUCAGCACACAGAGGACGUCUGUGGCUGUCCAUCAGUAUACAUAUCAGCACGUUGGUCCUUGGACUCAGCACGCUGGCCCUUCCCGUGGACUGUUCGGGUGAUUUUGGCCCACGUGGGCUGUCUGUUCAGUACACAUAGGACAUCCGUGGAUGUCGUCAGCACACACAAGACGUCCGUGUGUGUCCGUCAGCACACACAGGACGUCCGUGGCUGUCCAUGUGUGUCGGUGUGUGUCCGUCAGCACACACACGACGUCCGUGGCUGUUUAUCAGUACACAUAUCAGCACGUUGGUCUUUGGACUCAGCACACUGACCCUUCCCGUGGACUGUUCGGGUGAUUUUGGCCCACGUGGGAUGUCUGUUCAGUACACACAGGACGUCUGUGGGUGUCCGUCAGCACACACAGGACAUCCAUGUGUGUCCGUCAACACACACAGGACGUCCGUGGCUGUCCGUGUGUGUCCGGCAGCACACACAGGACGUCCGUGGCUUUCCAUCAGUACAGAUAUCAGCACCUUGGUCCUUGCACUCAGCAUGCUGCCCCUUCCCGUGGACUGUUUGGGUGAUUUUGGCCCACGUGGGCUGUCUGUUCAGUACACACAGGACGUCUGUGGGUGUCCAUCAUCACACACAGGACAUCCGUGUGUGUCCGUCAACACACACAGGACGUCUGUGGCUGUCCGUGUGUGUCCGUGUGUGUCCUUCAGCACACACAGAACAUCCGUGGCUUUGCAUCAGUACACAUGUCAGCACGUCGGUCAUUGGACUCAGCAUGCUGACCCUUCCCGUGGACUGUUCGGGUGAUUUUGGCCCACGUGGGCUGCCUGUUCAGUACACACAGGACGUCCGUGGGUGCCCGCCAGCACACACAGUACGUCUGUGGCUCUCCGUCAGCACACACAGAACUUCUGUGGCUGUCUGUGUGUGUCCGUGUGUGUCCGUCACCACACACAUGACGUCUGUGGCUCUCCAUCAGUACACAUAUCAGCACGUUGGUUCUUGGACUCAGCACGUUGGUCCUUGGACUCAGCACGUUGGUCCUUGGAGUCAGCACGCUGGCCCUUCCCGUGGACUGUUUGGGUGAUUUUGGUAAACGUGGGCUGUCUGUUCAGUACACACAGGACGUCCGUGGGUGUCCCCCAGCACACACAGGACGUCUGUGGCUGUCCGUGUGUGUAACGCCCGAAUCCGGCCUCUCACUGACCGAGCAUUCACGGGUCCUUGGCUUGACCAAAACCAUCCUUAGUUCCUGAAACCACAACCAGAUAAGCAUUAAUCAUAACCGAGAAUAGAAUUGGUCGAUUCUACAAUGCUUGGCUUGGUUCCUAUAACACAGAUAAACCUCGGAAAAUAUACUUAUAAAAAGAUAUUAACCUUCCUACCAAAUCCUAAGUCAUUCAACCAACCACCCGUUGACUUAGAAUCAGAUAGACAGUCUAGAAUAGAUAAAUAUAACACACGAACAGUCCGGAUCGUCCUCAAGACCAAUACAUCCAUCCGGAUAGAAUCUAGGUGUGACCGGCCUAGUUGAAGUCCGGCUCAAUGGCCCAACGGACUUCCUUACCUGAUCCCGCCUUGGGCCAGGAUCCAAAGGCCGAGUAAGCCUCACGCCCAAUCCGGUUAGGCCAAACGGCCGGUCGGACCUUGCGACUCUUACCCUGGCUUAGACGAACUGUGUAGUUGUCCCAACGGACAAUACAUGGUCUGAUCCCUUAAGGAAUGAACACGACCUGUCUCAACAGGCACCGUUUGGAACAUGCACCCCUUCGGUCCUUGGUACCUCUUGUUCCUCGUACCUCUUGAUGUUCGUAACCCAGCUUACUUACAUCCUUUGGCAACUCACAACUUUUGGAACUCGUGACCUUUGGUAACUCACAACCCUUGGUAACUCGUGACCUUUGGCCACUCGUGCCUCUUGGGACAUGACCAACCGUUUAGCCCAACCGUCCAGUCUAUGGUGUGAUUCGAACCGACCAGCGUCUAGGUUAGCGGUUUGGUUAUGACCGGCCAAGUCUAGGGACGUGUCCCUUGGACUGAACCAACACAACCCUUCAUGUAUAAUCAGAAAGAAGAGAAAGAACCGGAUAGAAACAAGAAGAGGAGAAGCGGUUGGGUCUAAUGAACCGACCAGAGCUGCGGUGCGAUCACAAUGACCGUCUGUUCGGUCUGAUGCGGCCAUAGCCCACCACGUAUGUAAUAACCCUCACGAGCAGAUAGAGUUUUUGUCGAGAAAAUUCUUUAAGAUCAGUUUGAAGAUUGAUCGAUAAGAAUUUAAAUAAAAAUCGACACGGUGAAUUAAUCUCUCGACGGGCUAUCUUUUGGUCGAAAAACCAUCUCUUGAUGGUUCUGGUCGAGUGUUAAUUAUUAUUGUCAAUUUUUAUUCAUGCUAGGCGAGUUUAUUCAGAGCAGGACGAGAUUCGAUUGAUGAAAAAUAUUUAGUCGAAACAGUCCGAAAAAUAUCGACAAAACUCUUAAAAUUAUUUCAAAACAGUCACAUGCCUUGCACCUUCUAGCCUACUUGCUUUCUCACUAAUUAGGUCACAUGACAUGCACCUACUUGCUCACCUUCUUGCUCAUUAGAAGUCACAUGCUGGUCACAAGCUGUUUGCUUCAGCUGCUUGCAGCUUUCUUCUUGUAAGAGAAAGGUGAGCUGCUUGUGCUGAAGCUGGUUGCCACAUGUUUCUCCAAACUACCACUUUGUGUAAAGAGAAAACCGUGAGCUGAAGCAACCCCAUAUGGUAUAAAACAUCUUCUUCUCUCCUCUGGACGUCCUGUUACUGCAAGAAAAACCAGAGAAAAUUCAAAGAGAAAGAGAAAAAGAAAAGAGAAAAAUCUGUGAGAAAAAUUAAUUGAGAAAUUGAGAAAAAAAUCAGGGAAGAGAAGUGAGCUUGGACGACCCUUUCUCACCAUCCUGUGACUUUAAUCAGUGUGUUCUGGUGUGGUUAAGAGCUGAAGGUUUGGUGUUCAAGAGUUUAGAAUCACCCAAGUUCCUUAGCCUUGGAUUUUAUCGGUUAGAUGUGUGUUCAGAUUGAAGUUUAUAUCAACCAAGUUCAUCUUAAAGCUUGAGGAAAUCGGAGUGAAAUGGAGUGUUAUUAGUUGAGCUCGAGUCUAGUCUUCCCUAGCCAAUCUCAUGGCAUCAAAGGUGAGUCUAGAUAGAUGAUUGAUGAGUAGUGAAUGAAUAUUUCUUGAUUGAACGUACCAAUUGUAGAUGAUUGAUAGGCUUUGUCUCUUGAUCAAUAUUGAAUUGGUAAGGUGUUUACUUAGUGUAAACACUUAUUAAAUAUUUAUGAAUGAUCAUAGAGGUUUAUUUCAAACCUUAGGCGUGAUGGAUGGAAUUAAUAUCCGAAAGUCCGAGCUUGAAUAGUAAAUCCUCAUGUCUUAUAAGAAGAAAGGUAACUUGUUCCAUAAUGUUUUCACUUUCUCGUUUUUCUCUAAGAUCUUUCAAAAAAAACUUUCUAUCUUUCUCUCCACCCUUUUCCUCUAUUCUCUUAAGAGAAGUGUAAAGAUGUCGAGCAAGAAAAAGAUUGCGAAAAAAGGGUCUUCGUCCGCGAGUCCUUACGAAGAGCUCGUCGUUCCGAAGAUGGAGUUCGUGCCUCACUCGGUGCAUCCUGCCGAGAACGAGGCAUGGUGGGUUGCUCAUUACGGCUCGUUGACCCCUCCCAAGGAGAAGCCAUUCCCGGUCCUGGUCCAUCGUGGAGUCGAGGAAGAGGAUGCAAGCAGGACUACUGACGAGUUUCUUGCGACGAUGCGGUCGUUCUACCACAUCCCGGAUGCUGUGGAGUUCCGGGUUCCCUGCCGCGGGGAAUGCGCUAACAACCCCCCGGAGGGUUACUUUACUUGUUAUGAGGCGUUCAUAGUGCGUUGUCGCCUCUGGUUCCCCAUACCCGAAAUUCUCGUCCGAGUGUUGGACCGCUUCGAAGUUGCGAUAAGUCAGUUGACACCCCUUGCCAUUCAGCACCUUAUUGGGAUCUUGAUCCUAAGCUAUGAGCAUGGCCUUUCCCUUUCCAUUGAUCAUUAUGAAGCGCUUUUGAGGCUUCAACUUGUCACGGAUACGGAUAAGCAUAGGUUUGUCCCUCGGAAAUUUAUGUCAGUGGUCAAGAAGUUCAUUUCGAACUUCAACUCGUGGAAGAAGUUCUUUUUCUUUGUUCGUUUGGACGCUGCGUCCGUCGAAGAGAGUUGCAUUCCACUGUUCCGGAGGUUGCCGAAUAAUCGUCCAUUCAUCAAUCCUCUUGCUCCGUUCCCUGAGGACAUUAUUGCGGUGAGGGAUCUUCUCAGGAAUGGUCCCUUCUUCUGGACUUCCUUCACGCCGAGAAGGGUUCGGAAGGCACUGAGAUUUGUGCUACCCGGUCCUGCUUUGGACGCGGAUACGGGAAGCGACUCCGAACCCGACGACCAGAAUCCCGUCGAAGCUCCGACAGCUGCGCCGGAGUCGAGCUCUUGGAAGGGAAAAGGUGUCGAUCUUUGCGACAUAGAGUUUUCGAUGGACGACUCUAUGCUUCCAGGAUGGGAUCCGAACCUUGCUUACGGCGACGGAAGCGGUUCGAGCGAGGCCCCUACUCUGGAUUUCGAUGAUUUCUUUGCUGGGCUGCCAUCGGGUUUCGAUGCUCCUCCUCCUACGAAAGAAUCGGCGAGGCCGAGAGUUGUUGCGGAAGGUUCUCGCAUCAUCAAUGGGGUUAGUUUUUUUUUUUUUUUUUUUUUUUUUUUUUUUUUUUUUUUUUUUUUUUUUUUUUUAAGGGGGUUUUUUUUUUUUUUUUUUUUUUUUUUUUUUUUGAGAAUUUUUUGGUGAUUGUCCCAUGUAUAUAUUCAUAUCAUGCCAAUCCUUUUUGCAGGGCCUGAGCUUGCUGGGCUCGGCCAUUGAGGCGGGCCAUAGAGAACCAUGGUUUACCGCUUCAAGGCGGAGAAAGCGGAGCGGGAUCUCGCUCGCGUGCAAGGCGAGAUGCUGGAGCGAGAGGCGCAGCUUACUCGUUAUCAUGCGCGGGCUGUUCGUAAAGCGGAGAGGAGAGGCAAAAGAGAAAUCGUCGAGGUGAUGAAGAUUGGUGCAUCGCAGUUCCAGGUCGAGUACGGGAACCUCAAGAAUGCCUUUACCUCGGUGGGUGACUUUCGCGAGUGCCGUGGUUCGGUCGGAAGUCUUUGGAGGACGCGAGCCGAUGACUAUGUGUUUGAAGAGGAAAUGAGCUUGAUGAAGAGUGGGAUGAGUGACCGUGCCCACGCUGAGGCGCUUAUCUCUCCGAUCAACGAGAGGAUUCAAGGGUUCUGGGAUUCUAUCCCGGUUUCCCCUGAUACCGAGGAGGUUCCGAUCGAUUUUCACGAUGGUGGCGAGGAAGUGGAUCGUCCCGCGGAUGCGUUUGGUGCUUCGUUGUCCGGGGACUUUGACUUUGGAUUAUGAGGGAUGGAUCAGUUAUCCUUGUUUUCGGCCAAGUGUGGCCCUUUGAAUUUAGAUUUUGUCUAGGCCUAGAUGGCCGUAUUUGUAUUUCCGGGACUGGCCGUUGGUGGCUUUGAAUCCCUUGCCGCUUUACGCGGUUUAUUUAUAUGAUAAAUGUUUCGAGUUUUCCUGAGUAGGGUUGAAGUAAAUACGAGUUGUCGUCUCGUAUGUAGCUCUAAUUUAGACGUUCAAUCUGUUGGUUCGUUCGUGAUUUUCGUAAAAAUUUAUCUAUCUUUACGAUUUUCGAAAACAUUGAGAUACAAACGGAGAGGCAUGGUUUAUGAUCUCAUAUCUUUUAGAUAUCAUGCCUUGAGAUGUUUGAGACCAGAGCGUUGGGUUUAGGGCAAGACCUAGGUUUACUUUCGGUUUAAGGUUUGUGCGGUGACUAGCCGGCUAUCGUUUUUCCUGUUGCGAUUUCUUCCUGACUCGCACCGGUUUAAAGUCCGCGAUAUGUUCUCGGCUUAUAUGACUUGUAUGGUACGAAUCGAGCAUCUUCUCAGAAUCAACUGGAAGUGCUAAACCAAAAUUUCGGAUUUUUGUUGUAGCGCGCUUUUGUCCUUGUGCUGGACGUUUUUAAAGAUCAAAAGAGUGAUCGAAUUGCGUUUGUUUAAGACGGCUGGCGUGUUCGCCGGGGCCAAUCGACGAACGGGGUGUAAGGUUUUUGGUGGUCGCGUUCGGACAAUUUGUUAGCAUUGUCCUCGAAUUUUAAAUUUUUGCGACGUCUCGCAGUUAUUUCGAGGAUUAUACGUGUAUUUUUGUGUGUUUGAAAGAUGAUAAUCUUUACGAUUUUUGGGCCGGAUGAGGCCGCAGACGAGCGUAAACUGAAGCGUAAGCGUUUUCGAUAAAAAGGACAGUGUAUAUUGUAAAUUUUUUGAUGUUUCUAAAAACUCGAUUACAAUAAAGGCGAUUGUGGGAGUAUACGAGUAUACGCACCCACUCCCCCCCCCCUUUUUAGAGAGGGGGAUAGCUGAACUCGUCUUUUGACAAGCUGCCUACGUACCCCUUUCGAGGAUCAAGCCAUCUCGUAGUUCUGUUUCAUGCCGCGAGUGUUCUUACUCGGCGGUUGAUGUCGCGAUGUCCGCCUUGACCGUGUCGAUCGUGGCUGGGUCGACGCUAUUUUUCGGAUGUUCCGGUUGAGUUGUCGCGUGGGCUUCGGAUUUAUGUCGAGCUUCGACGUCCGAUGCGUUUGCGUUGACAGACGAUUUUACUUUGUCCUCGGGCGGGGCGCUUUUGGCCGAAGAUCGAUCUAUCUUCGCGCGUUUGCCGUUUGCAGAAGCCGUGAUUUGCCUUAACUUAUGCUCCGCGAGGAAGCAUAGUCGCGACUGUUUUUGGCAUCCCCAGAUGGCCGCGACUCCGCUCGGCGUUGGGAACUUGAGACCCAGGUGGUAAGUUGACGGAACUGCCUGCAUGGCGUUGAGCCAUGGGGUUCCCAUGAUCACGUUGUAGAUAGCAGGAUGGUCGACUACCGCGAAUUCGACGAUUUUCGUGAUCUCCUUGGCCAUGACUGGCAAUUGGAUUGAUCCGAGAGUCAUCGACACUUCGCCUGAAAAACCCGUGAGUGGUUUCGGCGUUGGAAUUACCUCUCCGAGUUUGAUACUCAUCCGCUUGAGAGUGUCGCGGAAGAUUACGUUGACUGUACUUCCCGUAUCGACGAGUACCCUUCCGACUUCUAAAUCUCGUAUGACGAGAUCUAUGACGAGCGGGUUGCAGUGAGGUUGGUCGAUACCGCCGGCUUCUUCCUCUGUGAAGGUGAUCGAGCAACUUUGGCCGUCUCGAGGAGGAGACCAUGUAGGCCAAUUUGCACUUGAUUCUGCCUUCCGUUGGUAAGCCUUGAUGGCCGACACGGUAUCGCCGCAGUAUUGAGACCCUCCGAUGAUCAUAUUGACUCUGCGACGAUUGUUAUCGUUCCCUUUGUCAUCCGGCCUCCUACCGCGUUUAUCCCCAGGUUGGUUUCGUUGAGGGGAUUUUUCAGCGGGCGGAUUUCUGUCCGUCUUUGGAGGCCGAUCAGAAUCGAGGAUGAGAUCCUUGACGCUAGUUACUUCCGAAAGCUCUCCAGCGAGUAGCUUCGCGGCCAGUCUUGCUCCUAAGACUUUGCAAUUAGUCGUGGAGUGUCCUCGGGAUUGGUGGAACUCGCAGAAGGUGUUCUCGUCAUACCCUUGAUUGCGAGUCCAUGUGUUGCCCGUGGUCCGGCCUUGAUCCGAAUUGAUCGCAUAGUUAUGCGCUCCUUGGAGAUCUUCCCCCUCGUGAUGGACGUAUUUGUCGUUACGAGAGUUCUUCUUUUUCCCCUUCGGAUCUGCGUCUUUCGAGGAUGGUCUUGCCGGCUUAUGUUUUUGCGAUAAGACUUUAGUUUCUUCCUCGACUAUGAUGUAGUCCGUUCCUUUGUGGAGGGCGUCCUGGAUCGUUCGCGGUUUGUCGAGAGUUAUCCAUUUUCUGAAUUUCGACUUGUACCAGAGCGUCUUUCUCAGCGCAUCGAUGGCCACUUUGUCGCUUAUCCCGCUGACCCUGGACAUUAUCAGCUUGAACCGACUGAUAAACUCGCGGAGGGGUUCGUCUUCCCUCUGGGAGAGACUCCAGAGGUCAACAUCAGAGGUUUCCCUGUCUCUGAAUACAGAGUACUGUUUGAGGAAUUCCGAUGCGAGCUGUCGAAAACUCCCGAUGGUGUUGCGACGAAGGCGUGCGAACCAUUCGAGCGCUGCUCCUUCAAGAUUUUCGACGAACAGGCGGCAAUAGCCGGCAUCCUUUUCGCCGUCCUUCAGUCUUGCUCUUCCCAUCGCGAUGUGGAAAGCCUGAAGGUGCGCUUUCGGAUCGGCCGUACCAUCGUACUUCGGUACUUUGAUCUUUCCUGGAUCGGACACCCUCAUGUCCGAAAUGCGACUGGUAAAGGGGGUCUUUCGAGCUCCUUCCAGCAGUCAAUCGAUCUCGGGGGCAGCACUAGUAGCAUGAUGGGUUUGAGACUUUACGGCUCUCACUUCUGCCGCAGUCUUAGUGAUGUAGUCGCGAAGAUCACGGAUAUCCGAUGUCUCGUCAGUGGAUUUCCGAGCCUGUCGGCGCUUACUGCGAGUGAGCUCGGUUUGCCUUUCGGCCAGCUGCUCUUGUUCGUUCCAAUAGGCGACUUCUUCUUCUUCCGUCAUUGGUUUUUCGAACGGGGAGACUUCCCGAGCGGAUCGGCUUCUGGUCCUUCUUGGAUGUAUGUCGACAUCCUCGUCGGUGUCGUUGGAGACAUCGCUAGGAUCCAGGUCAAUGUGUUCGGCUUCGUUAUCCUCCGAGUCCUUUGCAGGGAGCGGAAGACUUUCAGAGUUCCCUCUUUCGAUGGGAGAUUUCUCGCUGGGGUUUUGACCGGAAGGUCGUUCCCGCGCGACUCCUGCUCUAUCGAGUGGGGUGGCGAAGUCGAGCCUCUUCCCGCGGAUUUUGGUGGUUCCGCGGGGACGGAUAGCUUGGGUCCUUGCCGUUAAGGUUUCAACCUGUUUGGUCAAGGUAUUCACGAGCUUAUCCUGUUCUUCCGACCUUUUUUCAUAGGUGGCGAACAUCUUUUUAAAUUCCUCGAGCGUCGCGGCGUUGGCUUGCGCGUUGGCCGCAGAUACGUCCGCUACCGGAGUGUGGAGAUCGGUGCCGCUGCCUCCGUUAAGGGGAGUUUGCACGUUAUCCGCGUCGUUGGUUGACAUGUCUGACUGUGUGUGGCUUUUGCGGGUUAGAUUGAUCCGUAAGGCCCCCUCCUUCUAGCGCCAAACUGUGGGAACCGAAAUUUGCACUGUCGAUUUCCGUUUAAAUAAGGAAACUAGGAAAACCCUAACUUCCCAGAGGACCCGGAUAUCUGUUAAUUACCACACGUCAAGCAAUCAGAACACAAGAAUGACAACGAUAAAAAUAAGAAAUCGAAAAAGAGAGCAAGGUAGAUCUUAUUCCGAAUCUGCGUAUGAGCGUUACAACAAGGUAUAAGCCUGGCUCGAGAGCUGUCGGCGAGAUUCCUAGUUCUAGCAACCCUAUGACGGCUUAACCUAAUUGAGUCGCAGCUCGAAAUAACAAAAAUGGAAAGUUGCCUAAAUCGCUCUAAGUGCUAAGUUUGCUCUGAAAAAGUUCUCUGGCUCUGCUCCUCGCCUAGGACUCCUUAUAUACUAGCUCCAAGGUCGGUUUACGCUUUUACUCUUCUGCCCUUAAGCCGUCAUAGCAUAAAAAUGGAGAUAUUCCAUUUUUCCCGAUCUUCACAAUUAUCUUCAAAACUUCCGUAUUUAUCCGCGGAAACUUGACAUUUAUCCUUCCUCGUGGGCCAAGCGUGAACCAUGCUGUGGUUCACGGGCUUUUGGUUAGGAAAAAUCGUAGGAUGGGCCUCGAGUCGUGUUUUAGGUCCCUUUGGGCCGUCUUCCGACUCGACACGUUUACUACGAGUUUUCCGCGGUUUCUAAUCCGCGAAGUUUGACCGAUGAAUUAGAAUAGCGGGAAACAUGGACUGAGCUUGUUACGGUCUUCGGGAGAUAGCAUUCGAAGGUUUGACGAGAAUGCAAGGACUGGUGUCGUAUCGAUGUUCGGAAAGGUUCAAUCGCUACACCGCGACCGAACUUUGGCUCGGGCCCGGUCGCUAUGUAGCGACCGAGCGAAACGAGUGCUCGGUCGCUACGUAGCGACCGAGCUUUGGCUUGAGCUCGGUCAUUACGUAGCGACCGAGCGGGACGAUCGCUAGGUCGCUACGUAGCGACCGAGCUUUGGCUCGAGCUCGGUCGCUAUGUAGCGACCGAGCGGGACGAUCGCUCGGUCGCUACGUAGCGACCGAGCGGGACGAUCGCUCGGUCGCUACAUAGCGACCGAGCUUUGGCUUGAGCUCGGUCGCUACAUAGCGACCGAGCUUUGGCUCGAGCUCGGUCGCUACGUAACAACCAAGCGGGACGAGUGCUCGGUCGCUACGUAGCGACCGAGCGGGAUGAUCGUUCGGUUUGAAUCCCAAAGGAUACUUCUUCGUAAAAACCUCGUAUAAGUUAUUUUUACGAAAAUUACAUCCCUUCUUUUACUAACUCUUUUGGAAAUACGAUCUCCGAGGAUUUUCGGGUGGUAAUUCCGUCGUAACCGUUUUUGACCCCAACACUCGUGCCCUUUGGGUCAUUCCCAACCGUUCGUCCUAACCGCCCAGUUAUGGUGCGAUCGGAUCAUCCGAAUAACCGACCCGUGUCUAGGCUAGCGGUUUGAUUAUGUUUGGCCAAACCCUAGGGACAUGUCCCUUGGACUCAACCAACACAACCUUUCGUGUUUAACCAGAGAGAAGAGAAGAGAAACGAAUUGAAACAUAUAAGGAGAGCCGGAUGGGACUUAGGAACCGAGCAGAGCCGCGGUGGACCGUCCGUUUGGUCUGACGGAGCUACGGCCCAUGACAUACCUUGUGAACCACGUCUGGGUUCUCCAUGCUCUUCUCCUUGUCUUGAUCUCCCUUUCUUGACCGGAGUUAGUUCGCAAACGAUCAGAGUCGCCGGAACACAACACCACCACACUCGGCCUUUCUCUUGGCCGUUAUUCUCUCUUUCUCUCUUUCUUUCUCUCUACGUUAUUCUCUGAGUAUUUUACUCUGGAAUUGGAUAAUGAAAUCGACAGGAGAGCCCCCAUAUUUAUAGAAAAUGAGGGGGUAAGUCUUGCCCCACGAACAGGCACGACUUGCUAGCGAAUGGGCACCAUUGGCGAGGGGUUGUCCCCUUUCGGCCACUUGCAUCCCUUUGCCCUUUCUGGUUGGGUUUGGGGUCGGUCACCAGCCCAACCCACGCCCCAAGCCUCAUGGACUUAGCCCACGGCCUUGCCCAAAGACCCAACAGCGCAUGGCCUCAUGGCCGGACCUCACAGCCCGCCAUUGACCCAGACCCAGACCAUCUGCCUAAGCCCGAACAGUCCAUCUAGCUGAGGUGAGCUGACUCUCAGCUGCCUCAGCAGGGUGAGCUAGUAGUCCAGGAAGUGGAGCUGACUUAGUAGGGACUGAGCUGGAGUGAACUAAACCUAGCUUCAUUGAGCUGGUCGAGCUACUCGUCCACUUCAUCCAGUUACCGUCUUACUCGUCCUAGCUGUCUCUUAGCUUGUAUAAGGUUAAGUCUAAGUUUUCUUAUGUCCUUAACCUUCUUUCUCGACCAUGGAAUGCUUGCCUUGAUGUCCUAAGACUGGCUUGUACGUUUCCUCGACCCAUGGCCGUCCCAACAAUCCUACUCAGGAUUGGGGGCGUGACAAGUCUCUCCCCCUUGUGAUGGAUUCGUCCUCGAAUCUGAAUCGAAUUCUUCCUCAGAAACAAACUGAUCCAACCACUCUGGGUACUCUGCUUUCAUUCUAGCUUCGGUUUCCCAAGUGAUUAUAUCCUGACCAUUAUAGUCCCAGACGACCUUGACCAUCUGGACCGUCUUCUUUCUUGUUGCUUUUUCCAUCCUAUCUAUAAUUCAAACUAGCCUCGUUUCCAAGGUUAGGUUCUUAACAAGAUCGUCUGGAAUGGCAGGAAGAGCGAUGUCUUGGUCCGUCAGGCAUUUCCGGAGUUGGGAGACAUGUAACACAUUAUGAAAUGCAUCCAUCUUGGCCGACAAGUCCAACUUGUAGGCCACCAUACCAAAUCUUUCAAUGAUCUUGAACGGCCCCAAGUAUCUCAGAUCUAACUUCCGUCUCCUGGAAAUUUGGACUCGUCCUUUGAAGGUAAUCAUUUUGAGAUACACCAAGUCACCUACUUGAAACUCGAGAUCUUUCCUUCUUUGAUCUGCAUAGUUCUUUUGGCGAUCUUGUGCCUGUCUCAUCUUCUCCCUCAAGAACUUGAUCUUUUUGGUUGUCUCUUCGACAAUCUCCGGACCAAUCAUGCUGCGUUCCCCAACUUGGGUCCAGCACAAGGGUGUCCUGCAUGGACGCCCAUACAGAGCUUCGUAUGGCGACAUGCCAAUACUACUAUGGAAACUAUUGUUGUAAGCAAAUUCUACCAGAGGUAGAUGUUUUUCCCAGGAAUCACCCCAGUCUAAAACACAUGCUCGCAACAUAUCUUCCAACGUCUGGAUUGUACGUUCCGACUUUCCAUCAGUCUGUGGGUGAUAGGCUGUACUCAUGUUCACUCUUGUUCCUAAAGCUUUUUGGAAAGCUUUCCAGAAGUAAGAUGUAAACCUUGAAUCCCUAUCUGAAACUAUGCUUGCCGACACACCAUGUUGUCGGACAAUCUCAUCAAUGUACAUACGUACAAUCUGGUCGACCCCAUCCGACUUCUUGAUAGCCAGAAAGUGUGCUGAUUUGGUUAUGCGAUCAACCACAACCCAAACCGCAUAUUUCUUACUCCUCGUGGUAGGGAACCCGGUCACAAAGUCCAUUGUGAUGUGAUCCCAUUUCCAUUCCGGAAUAGGCAAGCUUUGCAAUAACCCACUAGGCACUUGAUGUUCUGCUUUGAUGAGUUGGCAAGUGGAACACUUGGCCACCCACUCCGCGACAUCUGCCUUCAUACGGAUCCAAUGAUAGAACUUCUUAAGGUUCUGGUACAUCUUCGUUGCACCAGGAUGAACCCGAGAAUCUGGACUUAUGAGCCUCCCUCAUAAUCUCUUCCUUUGGACUUCUAUCAAUAGGAACACUGAUCCGACCGUUUACUAGGAUGGUACCAUCCUUUGCAGUCUGGUACUCCGUUCUAUCAUUUUGAGCAACCUUAUUCAGGUUCUCAUCCUGACCUUGAGCCAACCGGAUUCGAGUAAGCAGGUCAGCUUGGUUAACCGCCUCCAACCCCAAAGCUUCGGUUGCCUCAGUCAGCACGUUCAGCCGCAGAGCACGGACCAUACCAUCCAGGUCGUCCGCCUCCCGUUCGGCCGAUACAUCAGCCCUCUUCCGGCUCAAAGCGUCUGCUACCAGAUUAGCCUUUCCCGGAUAAUAGGUGAUGUCCAAAUCGUAGUCAGCUACGAAUUCCAUCCACCUCCUCUGCCUUAAGUUUAACUCAGGCUGGGUGAAUAUAUACUUAAGACUCUUAUGGUCCGUCAGUAUCUGAACUUUGGCGCCAUACAAGUAUGAUCGCCAAAUCUUUAAGGCGAAUACUACCGCAGCCAUUUCGAGAUCAUGGGUGGGGUAGUUUCCCUCAUGUUUUCUCAACUGCCUGGACGCAUAGGCAAUGACCUUCCCAUGCUGGGUCAACACGCAACCUAGUCCAGUGAUGGACGCGUCUGUAUAGACCACAUAUGGUUGAUCGGCUUCCGGAAGCACCAGGACGGGUUCGCUAGUCAGCAUGUCCUUAAGUGCGGAGAAACAUCCCUCACACUCUUUAGCCCAUGUGAACUUAACGUCCUUCCCAGUCAACCGCGUCAUAGGCUGAGCCAAGCUUGCGAAUCCUUUCACAAACUUCCUAUAGUAACCUGCCAGCCCCAAGAAUCUUCUGACUUCCGUGGCACUGCGUGGUCGGGGCCAAUCCUUGAUUGCCCUAAUCUUCUCUGGAUCCACCGAGAUGCCCUGGUCAGAAACAAUAUGACCGAGGAACCCAAUACUCUUCUGCCAAAAACUGCAUUUACUGAGUUUAGCAUAGAGUUUGUGUUCUCGUAAUCGUUCCAGCACGGCUCUCAAGUGUUUCCUAUGAGAUUCCUCAUCCUUGGAAUAAAUUAGGAUAUCAUCAAUGAAGAUGAUCACAAAUUCAUCUAAGAAAUCCCGGAACACGCUGUUCAUCAUUUUCAUGAAAGCGGCAGGUGCUUUGGUCAGACCGAACGGCAUCACUACAAACUCGUAAUGACCGUACCUGGUCCUAAAUGUCGUCUUCCUAAUAUCAUUUGGCUCUAUAGGGAUCUGAUGAUACCCUGAAGCCAAAUCAAUCUUGGAAAACCACUUGGCUCCUUUGAGUUGAUCCAACAGCUCGUCUAUCCUGGGCAACGGGUACUUGUUCUUCACAAAGACCCUGUUCAACCCUCGAUAGUCGAUGCACAGACGCAUGCUAUCAUCCUUCUUUUUCACUAAGAGGACUGGUGCACCCCAAGGGGAGCUACUUAGACGUAUGAACCCCUUGUCCAGCAAUUCUUCUAAUUGCUUCUUUAGCUCGGCCAUCUCGGCCGGAGCAAUUCGGUACGGACUCUUGGACAGCGGAGCUGUCCCUGGCUCUAGUUCAAUCGUAAAUGGAUCCAACCUAUCAGGGGGGACACCCUGUGGUACCUGGAACACAUCUGGGAACUUCGACACCAACGAAUCCUUUGAAAGGUCUUUCAGACAGACAGAACUGCCCGGCUCUGUAGUUGUAAUUGUAACCAAAAAGGACUGACAACCCUGUUCCAACAUCCGAAUCGCUCGAACUGCCGAAACCACUACUUUCUCUUGAGCCGGACACAGAUAUUGGUACUGGAUCGGAUGAAGCCCAGUCUCCAAUUGCACACGACCUCUAUGGCAAUUGAGAGUGGCCCGAUACUUUCCCAACCAGUCCAUACAUAGGAUCACUUCGUGAUUCUUUAGGUGGACACAGACCAAAUCCACAGGGAAUACCUUUCCCUGUAUUGACACUGGGAUAUUUGACAUGAGACCUAGUGAGUUCAUGGCUUGCCCUCCGGCCGCCCUCACUAUCCCAAAAUUAUCUCCAGCGUCCAGACAGAACAGACCCUUUCCGACCAGUCCCGGACUCACAAAACUAUGUGUUGCCCAUGUGUCGAAAAGUACAUGGGUUUCCACACCACCAAUCAUGAGGGUUCCAGAGAUUGAAUCAAACGAUCCAGAAGCGCCGUCGUCCCGGGACAGCUCAUACACCCUUGGUGUUGUGAUCGGCCUACUCUGGGUCGACUUGCCUGUGUCUCCACAACCCUUCACUUGUCCUCCUUGUAGCUUAGGACAGUCCAACCUGUAGUGUCCAGUCUUGCCACAUAGGAAGCAAGUCACGGAGCCGCUGCCACUGGACUGGUCUGAGAAUCGGUUUGGUCGAGUGUAGUUUUGGAUCGUGUGAUCCAUGCUGCCACAUUGCACACAAGCCCCCAUGGCCUUCCAACACUCACCGGGAUGAUUCUUUCCACACUUGGGACAUGUAGGUCGGCCACCAGAGGCCUUACCUCCGUCCACCUGGUCCCACUUCCUCUUUUUAUCAUUUGUCUUGCCCGACGGGCCAGACUGUGACUUAGCCUUAAGCUUAACUUCUUCAGCCAAGUUAGACUCUAGCAAAGCCACCCGUUCCACCAGUUCUACGACGGUGUUGAAAGUGCGGAUCGAGCAAUGGGUCUUCAGUUCUGGCCUUAGUCCUCGGAUGAACCUACGGACCUGGACUGCCUCGUCCUCCAGCUCUCUUCCAACAAACCGUCUGAGCCAGUUGAACUUUUCUUCGUACUCUCGUACGGUCCUGCGGCCUUGGGCCAAAUCUAGAAACUAAGCUUCCAGACGAUCCCAAGCCUCAGCAGGGAAGUAUUUGCGGUUGAAUUCAACUUCAAAGUCCGCAAAACUUUCAAGACUCCCAUUGGUGCGCUUGUCCACUGCAAGCCACCAGUUAUGCGCGUCCCCUUCCAGGAAGUGAACCACAAUGUCUCGCCUAUAAUCCUCUGGAUAGUGAGUUGAUUGAAUGUUUCGGACCAGCCUACUCCUCCACUCGUCUGCCACAAUAGGGUCGGUGCUACCGGAGAAAUGCUUCGUACCCAACCUGGAUAAAUGUUGAAGCAGACUCAGAUAGUCAACCUUCUUUUCAGACUUUUCCGGUGGAUCGAUCUCGAUCACCUCAACCGUUUCCACAACUGGACCAUUGGUGUUGGGGGUGGUCGUAGCCACAGGCGUAGCCUGGCCAACCGAUGAGUUCACUAGUGGCGUGAACAGUUGGGCCAUAGCCGCCACCUGAGUCCCCAUUACCUUCAUGGCCUCUAACAAGUCUUCUUUGGACAGUGUUGCGGGCAUAUUAGCCGUUCCAUCGGCCACUCUCUCAUGCUGGUCACCAUCACGGUUAGCGUUCGAGGAUUCCACUUCCUCAUCACUCUCCUGAUGUUCCUGACCAUCCCGUUGCGUCCCCGUAAGGUUAGCCUGAUUAGUUGGCAACACAUCUCUAGUGUCAGCCGCGGCCGGAUCGGUUGCAAUCCAGACUGAUUGGUUCCGUCCAUGGCCACUUGACUAGACUGACCGGCCGUUUUCUUACUCCUUCGGGACUUUCCCGAUUUGCUUUUUCCAGCCUAAGGAUUCAGACAACGUUAGUACGAAACAUACUAAACAUAAACAGAACAAAACAAUCCCUAGACUAAGCAAUCAAACCUCACUGUGAGACCUAAUUAGUUGGCUCUGUGUGUGUGUGUGUGUGUGGACUACAUAACCCAACUAUCCUAGAAUCAAGCAUGCUCUGAUACCAACUUGUAAGACCCGAACCCUGGCCUCUCAACCUGAUGGAGUCCGCAGGCUUACUUAUUAAUUUCUUUGCUUGUUUGAUCCAUUUUAAGUCUUUUAUUUACUAAGUCAUAUUCGAAUAUGAGGUUCAUAAACAAAGGAACAGAUUGCACAGCGGAAUAAUAAUGUGUUAACUUGUAUUACUUAGAAACAUGAGAUUCAAUACACAACUUCUUAACAGUCUCAUAGACAAUCACUAGUUCAUCCCUAGCAUCAUCUAACCACACGUUACACAGCCUCUCACUGACCGAGCCUUCACGGCUCCUUGGCUUGACCAGAACCAUCCUUAGUUUCUGAAACCACAACCAGAUAAGCAUUAAUCAUAACCGAGAAUAUAACAGAUUGAUUCUACAAUGCUUGGCUUCGUUCCUAGAACUUAGAUAAACCUCAGUCAACAUAAUCAUAAAAAGUAUGAACCUAUCUACCGUAUCCUAAGUCAUUCAACCAACCACCCCUUGACUUAGAAUCAGAUAGAUAGUCCAGAAUAGAUAAACAGGACACACAAACAGAUCCGGAUCGUCCCAAAGACCAAUCCGUCUAACCGGAUAGAAUCUAGGUGCGACCGGCAAAUGAAGUCUGGCUCAAUGGCCCAAUGGACUUCCUUACCUGAUCCGGCCUUAGGCCUGGAUCCAAUCGGCCGAGUAAGCCUCAAGCCUAAUCCGGAAGGCUUAGCAACCGGUCAGACCUUGCGACUCUAUCUUGGCUUAGACAAACCGUGACCUUGUCUUAACUAGACAAGCCAUAGGCUGAUCCAUAAGGAUCGGUCCUAACCUGUCCCGAAUAACACUGUUUGGAACAUGCACCCUUUGGCCAUUCGUGCCUCUUGGUCCUCGUACCUUUUGAUGUUCGUAACCUUUGGUAUCUCGUACCUUUUGGUCAGUGACACCCUUUGGCAACUCACAACCUUUGCACACUCAUGACUCUUGACAACUCGUGCCCUUUGGGUCAUUCCCAACCGUUCGUCCUAACCGCCCAGUCAUGGUGCGAUCAGAUCAUCCGACUAACCGACCCGUGUCUAGGCUAGCGGUUUGAUUAUGUUCGGCCAAAGCCUAGGGACGUGUCCCUUGGACUCAACCAACACAACCUUUCGUGUUUAACCAGAGAGAAGAGAAGAGAAACGAAUUGAAACAGAUAAGGAGAGCCGGAUGGGAGUUAGGAACCGAGCAGAGCCGCGGUGCGGUCGCAUGGACCGUCCGUUUGGUCUGAUGGAGCCACGGCCCAUCACAUACCUUGUGAACCACGUCUGGGUUCUCCAUGCUCUUCUCCUUGUCUUGAUCUCCCAUUCUUGACCGGAGUUAGUUCCCAAACGAUCAGAGUCGCCGGAACACAACACCACCACACUCGGCCUUUCUCUUGGCUGAAACUCUCUCUUUCUCUCUUUCUUUCUCUCUACGUUUUUCUCUGAGUAUUUUACUCUGGAAUUGGAUAAUGAAAUCGACUGGAGAGCCCCCAUAUUUAUAGAAAACGAGGGGGUAAGUCUUGCCCCACGAACAGGCACGACUUGCUAGCGAAUGGGCACCAUCGGCCAAGGGUUGUCCCCUUUCGGCCACUUGCAAGCAUCUACCCCUGGUAGAAUUUGCUUACAACGAUAGUUUCCAUAGUAGUAUUGGCAUGUCGCCAUACGAAGCUUUGUUUGCGCGUCCAUGCAGGACACCCUUGUGCUGGACCUAAGUUGGGGAACGCAGCAUGAUUGGUCCGGAGAUUGUCGAAGAGACAACCGAAAAGAUCAAGUUCUUGAGAGACAAGAUGAGACAGGCACAAGAUCACCAAAAGAACUAUGCAGAUCGAAGGAGGAAAGAUCUCGAGUUUCAAGUAGGUGACUUGGUGUAUCUCAAAAUGAUUACCUUCAAAGGACGAGUCCGAAUUUCCGGGAGACGGAAGUUAGACCCGAGAUACUUGGGGCCGUUCAAGGUCAUUGAAAGAUUUGGGAUGGUGGCCUAAAAGUUGGAUUUGCCGGCCAAGAAGGACGCAUUUCAUAAUGUGUUCCACGUCACCCAACUUCGGAAAUGUUUGACGGACCAAGACAUCGCUUUUCCUGCCAUUCCAGACAAUCUUGGUAAGAACCUAACCUUGGAAACGAGGCCAGUUCGAAUCAUAGAUAGGAUGGAAAAAGCAACAAGGAAGAAGACGGUCCAGAUGGUCAAGGUCGUCUGGGACUGUAAUGGUCAGGAUAUAAUCACUUGGGAAACUGAAGCUAGAAUUAAAGCAGAGUACCCAGAGUGGUUGGAUCAGUUUAUUUCCGAGGAAGCAUUCGAUUCGGAUUCGAGGACGAAUCCAUCCCAAGGGGGGGAGACUUGUCACGCCCCCAAUCCUGAGUAGGAUUGCUGGGACGGCCAUGGUUCGAGGAAACGUGCAAGCCAGUCUUAGGACAUCAUGGCAAGCGUUCCAUGGUCGAGAAAGAAGGUUAAGGACAUAAGGAAACUUAGACUUAACCUUAUACAAGCUAAGAGACAGCUAGGACGAGUAAGACGGUAGCUGGACGAAGUGGACGAGUAGCUCGGCCAGCUCAAUGAAGCUAGGUUCAGUUCACUCCAGCUCAGUCCCUAAUAAGUCAGCUCCACUAGCUGGACUACUAGCUCACUCAGCUGACGCAGCUGAGAGUCAGCUCAUCUCAGCUAGACGGACUGUCCGGGCUUUAGGCCGAUGGUCUGGGUCCGGGUCAGUGGCGGGCUGUGAGGUCCGGCCAUGAGGCCAUGGGCUGUUGGGUCUUUGGACAAGGCCGUGGGCUAAGUCCAGGAGGCCUGGGGCGUGGGUUGGGCUUGUGACCGACCCCAAACCCAAUCAGAAAGGGCGAAGGGAUGCAAGUGGCCAAAAGGGGAAAACCCUUGGCCGAUGGUGCCCAUUCGCUAGCAAGUCGUGCCUGUUCGUGGGGCAAGACUUACCCCCUCGUUUUCUAUAAAUAUGGGGGCUCUCUGGUCGAUUUCAUUAUCCAAUUCCAGAGUAAAAAACUCAGAGAAAAACGUAGAGAGAAAGAAAGAGAGAAAGAGAGAGUUCCGGCCAAGAGAAAGGCCGAUUGUGGUGGUGUUGUGUUCCGGCGACUCUGAUCGUUUGAGAACUAACCCCGGUCAAGAAUGGGAGAUCAAGACAAGGAGAAGAGCAUGGAGAACCCAGACGUGGUUCACAUGGUAUGUGAUGGGCCGUGGCUCCAUCAGACCGAACGUACGUUCCAUGCGACCGCACCGCGGCUCUGCUCGGUUCCUAAGUCAUCCGGCUCUCCUUAUCUGUUUCAAUUCGUUUCUAUUCUCUUCUCUCUGGUUAAACACGAAAGGUUGUGUUGGUUGAGUCCAAGGGACACGUCCCUAGGUUUUGGCCGAACAUAAUCAAACCGCUAGCCUAGACAGGGGUCGGUUAGUCGGAUGAUCCGAUCGCACCAAGACUGGGCGGUUAGGACGAACGGUUGGGAAUGACCCAAAGGGCACGAGUUGUCAAGAGUCAUGAGUGUCCAAAGGUUGUGAGUUGCCAAAGGGUGUCAGUGACCAAAAGGUACGAGAUACCAAAGGUUACGAACAUCAAAAGGUACGAGGACUAAGAGGCAUGAUUGGCCAAAGGGUGCAUGUUCCAAACGGUGUCUUUCGAGACAGAUUAGGACCGAUCCUUAUGGAUCAGCCUAUGGCUUGUCUAUUUAGGACAAGGUCACGGUUUGUCUAAGCCAAGAUAGACUCGCAAGGUCUGACCGUUUGCUAAGCCUUCCGGAUUAGGCUUGAGGCUUACUCGGCCGAUUGGAUCCAGGCAUAAGGCCGGAUCAGGUAAGGGAGUCCGUUGGGCCAUUGAGCCGGACUUCAUUGGCCGGUCGCACCUAGAUUCUAUCCGGUUAGACGGAUUGGUCUUUGGGGACGAUCCGGAUCUGUUCGUGUGUUCUGUUUAUCUAUUCUGGACUAUCUAUCUGAUUCUAAGUCAAGGGGUGGUUGGUUGAAUGACUUAGGAUACGGUAGUUAGGUUCAUACGUUUUAUGAUUAUGUUGACUGAGGUUUGUCUAAGUUCUAGGAACCAAGCCAAGCAUUGUAGAAUCAAUAUGUUCUAUUCUCGGUUAUGAUUAAUGCUUUUCUGGUUGUGGUUUCAGGAACUAAGGAUGGUUCUGGUCAAGCCAAGGAGCCGUGAAGGCUCGGUCAGUGAGAGGCUGUGUAACGUGUGGUUAGAUGAUGCUAGGGAUGAACUAGUGAUUGUCAAUGAGACUGGUAAGAAGUUGUGUAUUGAAUCUCAUGUUUCCAAGUAAUACAAAGUUUAUGCAUUGUUAUUCCGCUGUGCAAUAUGUUCCUUUGUUUAUGAACCUCAUAUUCGAAUAUGACUUGGUAACUAAAAGACUUAAAAUGGAUCAAACAAGCAAAGAAAUUAAUAAGUAAGCCUGUGGACUCCAUCAGGUCGAGAGGACAGGGUUCAGGUCUUACAGUCAGCACACACAGGAUGUUCGUGGCUGUCCAUCAGUACACAUAUCAGCACUUUGGUCCUUCAACUCUGCACGCUGGCCCUUCCCGUGGACUGUUUGGGUGAUUUUGGCCCAUGUGGGCUAUUUGUUCAGUACACACAGGACAUCCGUGGGUGUCCGCCAGCACACACAGGACGUCCGUGGCUGUUUGUGGCUGUCCGUCAGCACACACAGGACGUCCGUGUGUGUCCAUGUGUGUCUGUCAGCACACACAGGACGUCUGUGGGUGUCCGUCAGCACACACAGGACGUCCGUGUGUGUCCGUCAGCAUACACAGGAUGUCUGUGGCUGUCCGUGUGUGUCCGUCAGCACACACAGGACGUUCGUGGCUGUCCAUCAGUACACAUAUCAGCACGUUGGUCCUUGGACUCUGCACGCUGGCCCUUCCCGUGGACUGUUUGGGUGAUUUUGGCCCACGUGGGCUAUCUGUUCAGUACACACAGGAUGUCCGUGGCUGUCCGCCAGCACACACAGGACGUCUGUGGCUGUCCAUCAAGUACACAUAUCAGCACGUUGGUACUUGGACUCAGCACGUUGACCCUUCCUGUGAACUGUUCGGGUGAUUUUGGCCCACGUGGGCUGUCUGGUCAGUACACACAGGACGUCCGUGGGUGUCCGCCAGCACACACAGGACAUCCGUAGCUGUCUGUGUGUGUCCGUGUGUGUUCUUCUGUGUCCGUCAGCACACAUAGGACAUCCGUGGCUGUCCAUCAGUACACAUAUCAGCACGUUGGUCCUUGGACAAAGCAUGCUGGCCCUUCCCGUGGACUGUUUGGGUGAUUUAGACCCACGUGGGCUGUCUGUUCAGUACACACAGGACAUCCGUGGGUGUCCGCCAGUGCACACAGCACGUCUGUGGCUGUCCGUGGCUGUCCGUCAGCACACAUAGGACGUCAGUGGCUGUCCGUGUGUGUCCGUGUGUGUCUGUGGGUGUCCGUCCGUGGGUGUCCGUCAGUACACAUAUCUGCACGUUGGUCCUUGGACUCAGCACGCAGACCCUUCCCAUGGACUGUUCGGGUGAUUUUGGCCCACGUGGGCUGUCUGUUCAGUACACACAUGACUUCUGUGGGUGUCCGUCAGCACACACAGGACGUCCGUGGGUGUCCGUCAGUACACAUAUCUGCACGUUGGUCCUUGGACUCAGCACGCAGACCCUUCCCAUGGACUGUUCGGGUGAUUUUGGCCCACGUGGGCUGUCUGUUCAGUACACACAUGACUUCUGUGGGUGUCCGUCAGCACACACAGGACGUCCGUGUGUGUUCAUCAGCACACACAGGACGUCUGGGGCUGUCCGUGUUUGUAUGUGUGUGUCCGUUANNNNNNNNNNNNNNNNNNNNNNNNNNNNNNNNNNNNNNNNNNNNNNNNNNNNNNNNNNNNNNNNNNNNNNNNNNNNNNNNNNNNNNNNNNNNNNNNNNNNNNNNNNNNNNNNNNNNNNNNNNNNNNNNNNNNNNNNNNNNNNNNNNNNNNNNNNNNNNNNNNNNNNNNNNNNNNNNNNNNNNNNNNNNNNNNNNNNNNNNNNNNNNNNNNNNNNNNNNNNNNNNNNNNNNNNNNNNNNNNNNNNNNNNNNNNNNNNNNNNNNNNNNNNNNNNNNNNNNNNNNNNNNNNNNNNNNNNNNNNNNNNNNNNNNNNNNNNNNNNNNNNNNNNNNNNNNNNNNNNNNNNNNNNNNNNNNNNNNNNNNNNNNNNNNNNNNNNNNNNNNNNNNNNNNNNNNNNNNNNNNNNNNNNNNNNNNNNNNNNNNNNNNNNNNNNNNNNNNNNNNNNNNNNNNNNNNNNNNNNNNNNNNNNNNNNNNNNNNNNNNNNNNNNNNNNNNNNNNNNNNNNNNNNNNNNNNNNNNNNNNNNNNNNNNNNNNNNNNNNNNNNNNNNNNNNNNNNNNNNNNNNNNNNNNNNNNNNNNNNNNNNNNNNNNNNNNNNNNNNNNNNNNNNNNNNNNNNNNNNNNNNNNNNNNNNNNNNNNNNNNNNNNNNNNNNNNNNNNNNNNNNNNNNNNNNNNNNNNNNNNNNNNNNNNNNNNNNNNNNNNNNNNNNNNNNNNNNNNNNNNNNNNNNNNNNNNNNNNNNNNNNNNNNNNNNNNNNNNNNNNNNNNNNNNNNNNNNNNNNNNNNNNNNNNNNNNNNNNNNNNNNNNNNNNNNNNNNNNNNNNNNNNNNNNNNNNNNNNNNNNNNNNNNNNNNNNNNNNNNNNNNNNNNNNNNNNNNNNNNNNNNNNNNNNNNNNNNNNNNNNNNNNNNNNNNNNNNNNNNNNNNNNNNNNNNNNNNNNNNNNNNNNNNNNNNNNNNNNNNNNNNNNNNNNNNNNNNNNNNNNNNNNNNNNNNNNNNNNNNNNNNNNNNNNNNNNNNNNNNNNNNNNNNNNNNNNNNNNNNNNNNNNNNNNNNNNNNNNNNNNNNNNNNNNNNNNNNNNNNNNNNNNNNNNNNNNNNNNNNNNNNNNNNNNNNNNNNNNNNNNNNNNNNNNNNNNNNNNNNNNNNNNNNNNNNNNNNNNNNNNNNNNNNNNNNNNNNNNNNNNNNNNNNNNNNNNNNNNNNNNNNNNNNNNNNNNNNNNNNNNNNNNNNNNNNGAUGAAAAGAUGAAAAGGAUGUGCAUUGUAGGGUUUUAGCUCAUGGUCGGGUAACAGGAAGUUAAAGAAGUCAUAGGAUCGAGUCGGACUGGUAAGAUGAGUCGGUUAGGACUAGGGUUGGCGUGUGUGGCAAUGAGUGAGAUCAUUGUAUUGAUUGAUUACUAGGUUGUUAGAAAUGAAUGGAAGUGUGUGUAGAAAUUACAGAUGGUGAUAGGAAAUGAUAAAAUGCAUUAACUGAUUGUAGUGGCUAGUCGGUCCUAGUUCCCGCAUAGAGUAGUAUAGAGUGUCAUGCGGGCAGGCUGGUCUAGAGUCACUUCACUGAGUAACUUGUUGCUCACCCCCUCCAUUUCCAUUUUUCCCUGUGCGCAGGACUGUAAGUAGAAGUACAUGGAUGUGGGUGUGACGGUAUUUCAAAGAAGGUUAUGCGCUCGUCUCUCGGGACUAGUAACGGGACACGUAGGGUUGUCUAAAUGAGUAGACACGUGUCCAUAACGCCCCUUCGAUAACCCCGGUCGGACGCCGGGGGAUCGGGCUGUUACAUCUGUGGCUGUCCAUCAGUACACAUAUCAGCACGUUGGUCCUUGGACUCAGCACGUUGACCCUUCCCGUGAACUGUUCGGGUGAUUUUGGCCCACGUGGGUUGUCUGGUCAGUACACACAGGACGUCCGUGGGUGUCCGCCAGCACAUACAGGACAUCCGUGGCUGUCUCCAGCACACACAGGACAUCCGUGGCUGUCCGUGUGUGUCCGUGUGUGUUCGUCUGUGUCCGUCAGCACACAUAGGACAUCCGUGGCUGUCCAUCAGUACACAUAUCAGCACGUUGGUCCUUGGACUCAGCACGCUGGCCCUUCCCGUGGACUGUUUGGGUGAUUUUGGGCCACGUGGGCUGUUUGUUCAGUACACACAGGACAUCCGUGGGUGUCCGCCAGCGCACACAGCACGUCUGUGGCUGUCUGUGGCUGUCCGUCAGCACACACAAGACGUCUGUGGCUGUCCUUGUGUGACCGUGUGUGUCUGUGGGUGUCCGCCAGCACACACAGGACGUUCGUAGCUGUCCGUGGCUGUCCAUCAGCACACACAAGACGUCCGUGUGUGUCCGUCAGCACACACAGGACGUCCGUGUGUGUCCAUGUGUGCCCGUCAGCCCACACAGGACGUCCGUGGCUGUCCAUCAGUACACAUAUCAGCACGCUGGCCCUUGCCGUGGACUAUUUGGGUGAUUUUGGCCCACGUGGGCUGUCUGUUCAGUACACACAGGACAUCCGUGGGUGUCCGUCAGUACACAUAUCAGCACGUUGGUCCUUGGACUUAGCACGCUGACCCUUCCCGUGGACUGUUCGGGUGAUUUUGGCCCACGUGGGCUGUCUGUUCAGUACACACAGGACGUCCGUGGGUGUCCGUCAGCACACACAGGACGUCCGUGUGUGUCCGUCAGCACACACAGGACGUCCGUGGGUGUCCGUCAGCACACACAGGACGUCCGUGUGUGUCCGUCAGCACACACAAGACGUCCGUGUGUGUCCGUCAGCACACACAGGACGUCUGUGGCUGUCCAUCAGUACACAUAUCAGCACGUUGGUCCUUGGACUCAGCACGUUGACCCUUCCUGUGAACUGUUCGGGUGAUUUUGGCCCACGUGGGCUGUCUGGUCAGUACACACAUGACGUCCGUGGGUGUCCGCCAGCACACACAGGACAUCCGUGGCUGUCCGUGUGUGUCCGUGUGUGUUCGUCUGUGUCCGUCAGCACACAUAGGACAUCCGUGGCUGUCCGUGUGUGUCCGUGUGUGUUCGUCUGUGUCCGUCAGCACACAUAGGACAUCCGUGGCUGUCCAUCAGUACACAUAUCAGCACGUUGGUCCUUGGACUCAGCACGCUGGCCUUUCCCGUGGACUGUUUGGGUAAUUUAGGCCCACGUGGGCUGUAUGUUCAGUACACACAGGACAUCCAUGGGUGUCCGCCAGCGCACACAGCACGUCUGUGGCUGUCCGUGGCUGUCCGUCAGCACACAUAGGAUGUAAGUGGCUGUCCGUGUGUGUCUGUGGGUGUCCGCCAGCACACACAGGACGUUCGUAUCUGUCAGUGGCUGUCCGUCAGCACACCCAGGACCCGUGUGUGUCCGUCAGCACACACAGGACGUCCAUGUAUGUCCAUCAGUACAUAUAUCAGCACGCUGGUCCUUGGACUCAGCACGCUGGCCCUUCCCGUGGACGGUUUGAGUGAUUUUGGCCCACAUGGGCUGUCUGUUCAGUACACAGGACGUCUGUGGGUGUCUGUCAUCACACACAGGACUUCUGUGUGUGUCCGUCAGCACACACAGGACGUCUGUGACAGUCCGUGUGUGUCCGUAUGUGUCCGUCAGCACACAUAUAACAUCUGUGGCUGUCCAUCAGUACACAUAUCAGCACAUUGGUCCUUGGACUCAGCACGUUGACCCUUCCCGUGGACUGUUCGUGUGAUUUUGGCCCUUGUGGGCUGUCUGUUCAGUACACACAGAACGUCCGUGGGUGUCCGCCACCACACACAGGACGUCUGUGGCUGUCCGUGGCUGUCCAUCAGUAUACAUAUCAGCACGUUGGUCCUUGGACUUAGCACGCUGGCCCUUCUCGUGGACUGUUUGGGUGAUUUUGGCCCACAUGGGCUGUCUAUUCAGUACACAGAGGACAUCCGUGGGUGUCCGCCAGCACACACAUGACGUCCGUGGUUGUCCAUGGCUGUCCGUCAGCACACACAGGACGUUCGUGGCUGUUCGUGUGUGUCCGUGUGUGUCCGUGUCUGUCCGUCAGAACACACAGGACGUCUGUGGCUGUCCAUCAGUACACAUAUAACCAUGUUGGUCCCUGGACUCAGCACGCUGGCCCUUCCCGUGGACUGUUUGGGUGAUUUUGGCCCACGUGGGCUGUAUGUUCAGUACGUACAGGAAGUCCGCGGGUGUCUGCCAGCACACACAUGACGUCUGUGGCUGUCCAUCAGCACACACAGGACGUCUGUGGCUGUCCGCGUGUGUCCGUGUGUGUCUGUCGUUGUUCGCCAGCAUACACAAGAUGUUCGUGGCUGUUCGUGGCUGUCUGUCAGCACACACAGGACGUCCGUGUGUGUCCUUCAGCACACACAGGACGUCCGUGGCUGUCCGUCAGCACACAAAGGACGUCUGUGACUGUAUGUGUGUGUCCGUCAGCACACACAGGACGUCCGUGGGUGUCCGUCAGCACACACAGGACGUCUGUGUGUGUAACACACACAGGACGUCCGCGGCUGUCCAUGUGUGUCUGUGUGUGUCCGUCAACACACACAGGACGUCCGUGGCUGUCAAUCAGUACAAAUAUCAGCACGUUGGUCCUUGGACUCAGCACCCUGGCCCUUCUCGUGGACUGUUUGGGUGAUUUUGGCCCACGUGGGCUGUCUGUUCAGUGCACACAGGACUUCCGUGGGUGUCCGCCAGCACACAUAGGACGUCUAUUGAUGUCCGUGGCUGUCCUACAGCACACACUGGACGUCCGUGGCUGUCCGUGUGUGUCCGUGUCUGUCCGUCAGCACACAUAGGACGUCCGUGGCUGUCCAUCAGUACACAUAUCAGCGCGUUGGUCCUUGGACUCAGCACGCUGACCCUUCAUGUGGGCUGUUCGUGUCAUGUACCCGAUCCUGGAUAGGAUCAUCCGGACAGACUUUAUUGCGAGGAGACGCACCAGUCAGGUCACAUGACCUAAAGACAAGCGUGUCAUGGUCCAAAACGUGGUUAAGGGAAUCAGGUAACUGGAACAUAACCAAAAUAAGGCAGAUGCAAGCUCAAAGGAGCUGGACAAGCGAGCUGGUAGCUGGACGAGAUCCAGGUGAAGCUCGAUUGAAGUGGGUGAUCAGAAUGGAUCAUGGGAGAACUAAGUAUAGGUCUGGAAAUAGACCAAGGGACUUAGAAGAAUUGAAGAAGAUAAAGGAAGCAAGCUGGACACAGUGUAUAACAGCUGGGCGAUGCAGUAAGCAAGCUCGACCAGCUAGGUGAAGUGUAGUGCAGCUCAAUGUAGCUCACUGAAGUGUAGGUCAGCUCCCUGAGCUGGAUGGUCUAGCUCACUCAGCUGGGUCAGCUGGGGAUCAGCUCAACUCAGCUGGACUGAGUGUUCAAGUCAUGGGCAGUUGGGCCGGGUGUGGAUAGUGGCGGGGCCAUGUGGUCGACCCGUGUGUACCGAUGGGCUGAUUGGCUCUUGGGAUUGAGCCAGGAGCUUGGGCAAUCCGUGUGGGCUUGUUUUUGGACAUGUCUGGUAACUGCCUGAGGCGAAUGGGUGUGAUCUGGACCAUUGAUUAAAUCAGUGGCCAGAAAUGAUAUCGAAAGGGUGCAACCUUUGGAAAGGUAACUGCCCCUUUUUCUAUAAAAGGCAGGCAAGUCCGUGCCUUUUCAGGCACGCCAGGGCUUCCUCCUACACCGUGAAACACAAAGAAAACACAGAUAAAAGACAGGGAGUUGGUCGGAUUCCCAAUCCAAGACCCAUGGUGGUGUGAAGGCCAUAAAGAGGCAGUUUUGGGAGAGAUCAAGGGGGAAGUUAUGAAUGACUUUCUGGUGGCUUUUGAUCCGUGAGGUUAUCACCCAAAGCAUCCUCCAGGGCCUGAGAACACACGAAAAUGGUGAGGAAAGAAGGUAGAUGACCGGAAUUCAUUCCCAAAGGCCAAGACAGCCUUAAGGGCAGAUGUGUGUAGAAAGGCAGUUUCAUGGAAGUGCAAGGGGAGUUAUGAACGACCCUGUGGUAGGUUUUCAAAACUGAUGAACACGUCCUAGGCUUCCUCUGCAUCUUGGGAACACACGCAAAUACCCAGGAGAGAAGGGAGAAGGCCGGACUUCACUCACAAAGGCAUGAAUAGCCUUGAAGGUGGAUGCAGUGUAGAAACUGGUUUCAUGGAAGUUCCAUGGAAGGGAUCAGGGGCGCGACCCAUGAAUGGAUCUUAUCAAUACAGGAGUUAUGUGAUAAGGGUUGAUAGAGGCGUUCACUGGAGGAGCAUGGCCGAACAUAAUAAGGAAAGGCACAUGAUCUAAUCAGAUCAUGUAUAAGGUAACCGGUUUUAUGAUUACCUUUGAAUUACAAUUCUGUUGACUGUGGAAUCGAUCAUGGCCAAGUAUGGCACGUCCUUGAGGACUAUAUAUAUUAGGAAUGUUUAUGGUGUAGUCUGUUGGAUCAGGCCUGAUGGCACUGAACCAAGGCCUUGGCCGGUUCAGGAAUGGUGCCCAUGGCCUUGGCCGGUUCAGGAAUGGUGCCCAUGGCCUUGGCCGGGCUGUUCAUGAUCUGGAUCUAUAUGGCCUGGGUCGAUUCUUUGGAAUCUGAUUAUGGGAAUCUCUUAGUUAUGAAUUAUCAUGAGUUUUCAUGUAUUUUAAUCAAUUUUUAGGAAUUGAUUUGAUGAUGUCCAGUUUUGGCCGGUUUGGCUGAUUUUGGCCGAGAUCUAUAGGAUCGAGGCCGGUUCUGAAAAUUCUGAUUAUAGCAUUCUCUUAGUUGGGAAUUAUCAUGAAUUAUCAUGAAUUUUAAUUAGUUUUUGGAGCAUACUUGGAAGAGGUCAUUUUUGUACCUGAGAGCAUAUUGAUGCUUAUCUGAUGGAGUUGUGUUGGGUUUGGUCAUGUGUGAACCAUUAAUCCGACUCAUGGAGGAGGCACAUGGGGGGUCCUGGUAUUAGAGGAACCAUGUGGAUUGCAAGGUCCAAUAUGUUUGGAACCAGCAGGAAGCCAUGAAUAAGAGUAUAGCUAGUACUUGAUGGCGUGGACAAUAAGUACUGAGCUUGGGUGUUAUUAUUCAAGGAAGGCCGUGUGUGAUCUGAUCAUGGGUAAGGAUGGACGACCUGAUCCAUAGAUGAUGGAUCAAGUUGUCUGAUCUGAUUGAUCAAAGGAUGCACCGGUGGUAAGAGGAGAACUGAUCGGCUUCGUUGGGACAUGGUUCCAUGGCCAGUUAGGUACGUGUGAAGACUCAUCAGUUCUGGGUCAUGUGGGGUUGUUGGUUGAUUGACUCAGGAUCUGAUGGGCGUUGUUAGUCCAUGAGCUGGACUUGGUAUCAUAAGUUGAUAAGGCAAAAGGAUGUGGGACAGUGCAUGAGCAGGUAAGGGCCAGAUGCAUGUCCUUAGCUGUUUGAAGACUUCUCCAAGGUUACUUAUGUCUGUGGGGAUGGUUGGCUGAAUGACUAAGUACCUAAGGGAGUUGUUUUGUGUGUGUAACGGAGCUGGACGCAGUAUGUGGCAGCUGGCCAUAGCUCGGUCCUAGCUCAGUUCGAGUGUGACAGCUCGAUCAGCUGGUAUAUAAGUUAAUUCAGCUAGAGUAGCUGGGCCGAUGAGCUAACAACCUCCGUGGAUGUGGCAAAGGUAUGAUCUAGCAAUGUUGCAUAGAUCUAGAUAGAAUGGUUAGGGAAAACGGAACCUCAGAUUUGUAUGACUUGGUUCGUGUUCAGAAUCAACCUUGGAGCUAGCUGGUAGUUGAGUAUACUAACCAUUAGCUGAGGUGAUUCGACCGGACAAGUAUUAGAUUGGAUUUAGUCCAAUGGAUGAUAGAUGUUAUUCCGCUGUGCAUAAGUUGAAAUGAUCUAAGCUAGGGAAUGACUAAGGUAGUCUUGAGCUAAGAUCUGAGUUAGCCCUCGCCUAUGGGCAAGGUUUUUAAAUAAAGGGCGAAAUUUUUAGUGGUUCGGUCAGUGUAUGGACCGAGCGACGUGAGGCAUCGACCGCGGCCUAGUCGGCCGGGAUCGGGUCUUUCAGUUCGGGUGAUUUUGGCCCAUGUGGGCUGUCAGACAGGACGUCCGGGGCUGUCUGUGUGUGUCCGUCAGCACACACAGGAUACUGUCCAUCAGUACACAUAUCAGCAUGUUGGUCAUUGGACUCAGCACGUUGACCCAUCCCGUGGACUGUUCGGGUUAUUUUGGCCCACGUGGGCUGUCUGGUCAGUACACACAGGACGUCCGUGGGUGUCCGCCAGCACACACAGGACGUCCGUGGCUGUCCAUGUGUGUCCGUGUGUGUUCGUCUGUGUCCGUCAGCACACACAGGACGUCCGUGGCUAUCCAUCAGUACACAUAUCAGCACGUUGGUCCUUGGACUCAGCACGCUGGCCCUUCCCGUGGACUGUUUGGGUGAUUUUAGCCCACGUGGGCUGUCUGUUCAGUACACAGGACGUCCGUGGGUGUCCGCCAGCACACACAUGACGUCUGUGGCUGUCCGUGUGUGUCCGUCUGUGACCGUCAACACACAUAGGACGUCCGUGUCUGUCCAUCAGUUCACAUAUCAGCACGUUGGUUCUUGGACUCCGCACGCUGGCCCUUCCCGUGAACUGUUUGGGUGAUUUUGGCCCACGUGGGCUGUCUGUUCAGUACACACAGGACGUCCGUGGGUGUCCGCCAGCGCACACACGACGUCUGUGGCUGUCCGUCAGCACACACAGGACGUCCGUCGCUGUCCGGGUGUGUCCGUGUGUGUCUGUGGGUGUCCGCCAGCACACACAGGACGUUCGUGGCUGUCAGUGGCUGUCCGUCAGCACACACAGUGUUGUAGUACCCACGACUGAGGUUCCCAUUAUCCGCAAAGGUCCUACCACAAGGUCCGGUUCAAGAGUUUAAAGAGCUGGAUUUGCCAAAGCUGUCCACGAGUUGCUUGCACAGGAACAAACCGGGUUCAAGCAACUAUUGAUCCAGGAGUUGUCUGACUUAAAGCUGGAAGACACCGGUGAACCACUAGAGGUUCCAGACCCUUUCAAUUCGAGCCAGUUCUCCUCCAUCGGCCAGAGUGAAGCCGGCCUGACCAUUUCCCCCUUCAUGCUCAAUCCAUCCAACCAACUUGCUUCCGGUUCAGAGAUAUAGCCGACCAUCAGAAGGAGUAGUAUGUGUUGUACUCUUUUUCCUUAUCGGGUUUUGUCCCACUGGGUUUUCCCGAAAGGUUUUAAUGAGGCAACAAGCAAGCAUACUAUGAGUUCUGAUCCAGACAUCUCAAACCGUGACCGGUCUAUUGUUUUCUUUAUUUUUAUUUCGGUUAAGACUUUGGUCAUUUGUCUAGGCCCUUUUUUAUCUUUAAAGUCCAGUAAGGAACACCUAUUUAAACCCUUGUAGUUGCCAACUUUUCGGCUAAGUCUUUUAUGAAAACGUUUUUGCUUGAGCAAAGAAACGCUAAGUCUUUCAGUUGUGCAAAACCAUUGAGAGCAGCCGUGUGACAUAUCAAAGAGCCGAUCCAUUGUUCUUUGUGGCGUCCAUCGAUCCAUUCCAUUCCUUGUCCGAAUCUUGAGAGAGACAUACGUCCAGCAAGAGCCGGAUCCAUAUCUAUCUUCCUAACCGACCUUGGCAUCUUGUUGAGAGAGACAUACGUCCAGCAGCAGAUCCCAUCCGCCAAUCUACUCUUUCUCGAUCUUUUAUUUUAGAAUUUCAUUCAUCCAAUCCAUAAAAACAAAAAGAAUCAUAUCUUGUUUUUGUUCUUGUUCCUAUUGAAAACAAGUUCAUAUUUGUUUCAGGUACGAACACAAGCAAGAGGCAACCCGGCCGGUACCAUCCAUCCGAGGCAAGGCUGAACCAGAGAUAAGCCGGCCAGUACCAUCCAUCCGAGGCAAGACUGAACCGCCCGCGGAACGGCCAUUCGUCCGUCCGUCCGUCCGUUCGACCCUCCGACCCGUGCCUACAACAUUUUGGUAUCAGAGCUGAAGUUUCCUGCAAAACUCAGUUCUUUCUGAACCCUAGCCGUCACAUUCAAAACAAAAUAUUUACUUUCCUUAUUUUUCAAAUUUCGGUUUGUUCUCCAAGUUUUCAAUUUUGCAUUUAAAAAAAAAAUAUUAAAGUAGUUUUACUUUUUUUCCAAGUUUUCGAAAAUCAAAAAAAAUAUAUUCCGUCUUUCCUUUUUCAAACUUGAUUCGAUUUUGUCUUAACUUUUUGCAUUUACUCCUAGUCUUGGUCGAUACUCAAAGUAUCCAACCCAAGCAACUAUUUAACCCCCCUCUUGCCUUUUAAUCUUUCUUUGAGUAUCAUUUCAGAGAACUAUGGGAGAUGUAGGUCAAGACCAAGCGGCCAUAAACGCUCAGCUCCUAGCUGACAAUGAAGAACUGAGGGCGAGCCUUAGGACUAUCACCGCCGAGCAUGCUCAGCUACGGCAGGGAGGCAGGCCCAACGGACCUCGACCACCAGGAAGGCAUCAGCCGGAUCCGCAUGACACUGACUGGGACGCGGACAGUACCGAUGAUACGCGCAGUCAGGACGAGGAGAGGCCAAACCGGGGAGGUAGGAGGAACGCGCGAGGACCCCGGGCCCAAGUAGGAGGAGGCCGCGACCAUAGAGGAGGUCGAGACCGAGAGGAGGAAGAGCCCUGGUUGGGAGGCAAGGCGCUUAAGCUUCAUCCCCCAACGUUUGCCGGCAAGGUUGAUCCGGAUGCCUACAUCGUGUGGGAGAAGCGCAUGGAGUACAUCUUCGACUAUUACCAAUAUAGUGAGGCCAAGAAGGUUGCCCUAGCAGCAGCCCAGCUGACGGACAAUGCUCUUUCGUGGUGGGAUCGAGACGUUGCUAAGUCCGGGCCAGUGUGGAGAGCACGUAAUUGGACCGAGAUGCGGACCAAGCUUCACGCGAGGUACAUUCCAUCUUACUACCAGCGUGAUGUGCUAAAACGUUUUCGUAAACUUACGCAGGGAACUAAGACUGUGGAGGAGUACUUUGAGGAGUUCGAGGCACUUAGGAAUAAGCUUGAGACCGACGAGCCCGAGGAGACAAUGAUGUCCCAAUUCCUGGAAGGGCUGCAAGAUCGCAUUGCCCGCAAGGUGGAGAGACAACAAUAUGAAGACUUCAACGAUCUAUUGCACUUUGCUACGCAAGCCGAGCAGCACAUCAGGCGCAAGACGGCCAGUACCAGCUGCAGCAAACCUGCUUGGACUCAACCGGGUUCAAAGCAAGGCGACAAGGGCAAGACGAUUGAGAUUGAGAGCCGAUUCAAGACAAACCAGGCUGAAUCGUCUAAUGCAUCUAAGCCGGACAGGGUAAGACUCAAGCCCAAACUUUGCGUACUCGUGACAUCAUUUGUUAUAAGUGUCAGGGCAAGGGCCACUACGCUCGGGAUUGUCCAAACAAACGAGUGAUGGUCCUAAAGGGGGAUGGCGAGUAUGAAUCCCAAGAUGAGGCAGAGACCACGACAGUGAUCUCUGAUGAGGAAGUAACCGACUACCCGGAGACAAGCGAGCUGCUAGUGACCCGGAGAGCUCUUAGCACCCUCUUUGACCCAGAGAUCAUCCAGCGGGAGAACAUCUUCCACACCAGAUGUAGUGUUGAUCACAAGGUAUGUUGUUUGAUCAUAGAUGGCGGAUCUUGUACUAACGUGGCUUGCAAGUAUCUUGUUGAUAAGCUAGGGUUGGUCAAAACUGCCCAUCCUCGACCAUACCGUCUCAAAUGGCUCAAUGAUGAGACUGAGCUCAAGAUUGCCGAACAAGUUGUUGUGUCCUUCAGUAUUGGCAAGUACCAAGACCAGGUCAAGUGUGAUGUUGUGCCCAUGCAAGCCGGCCAUAUACUUCUAGGAAGGCCGUGGCAGUUUGACAAGGAGACACUUCACCAUGGCCGCACCAACAUCUACAGUUUCGUCCUCAACAACAAGAAGCACAGCCUAGCACCUCUCAGCCCUCAAGAAGUUCAUGAUAUGCAGAAGGCAAUGACGCAGUCUGGCCAGGUAAGUAAGACUAACCUUUACAUGACUUCCGGACAAGUGCUUAAAUCAAUACAACGUGAGACACAGGUGCUACUAAUGAUCUUUAAGGAAGGUUGUUUUGCAGGUUUAGAAGCCCAUGAAGUACCGGACGUAGUACAAGACCUCAUGGGACGUUACAAGGAUGUCUUCCCUGAUGAGAUUCCGGCCGGUUUACCCCCUGUCCGUGGCAUAGAACAUCAGAUCGAUCUUGUACCCGGCGCGACACUACCAAACCGAGCCGCUUACCGUGUCAACCCUGAGGAAGCUAAGGAGCUGGAACGGCAGGUCCAAGAUCUCAUGGACAAAGGCUACAUCCGCGAGAGCCUUAGUCCCUGUGCGGUCCCGGUCCUACUAGUACCUAAGAAGGAUGGGACGUGGCGCAUGUGUGUGGACUGCCGAGCCAUCAACAACAUAACCAUCAAAUAUCGGUACCCUAUACCUAGAUUAGAUGAUAUGUUGGAUGAACUGAGUGGGUCUAUUGUGUUUUCUAAGAUUGAUCUCAGGAGUGGAUACCAUGAAGUCCGCCUGAAGGAAGGAGAUGAGUGGAAAACCGCCUUCAAGACCAAGCAAGGUCUAUACGAGUGGCUGGUGAUGCCGUUUGGCCUUACCAACGCCCCUAGCACCUUCAUGAGACUCAUGAAUGAGGUCCUCCGACCUUACAUUGGCUUUGUUGUGAGUUCACAGAGACUGAAGGUUGAUGAGGAGAAGAUCAAGGCAAUACAAGACUGGCCGACCCCGACCACGAUCGGACAUAUCCGCAGCUUCCAUGGACUGGCCAGUUUCUAUCGACGAUUUGUGAAGGACUUCAGUACCAUUGCCGCCCCAAUGACCUUCGUGAUCAAGAAGAAUGUAACCUUUGCUUGGGGCCCUGCCCAAGAGGAGUCUUUCAACAGGCUUAAAUAUAGUUUGACACAUGCACCGGUUCUAACUCUUCCUAACAUUGAUAAACCUUUUGAGAUUGAGUGUGAUGCUUCAGGGACAGGGAUAGGAGCCGUACUGACCCAAGGAGGCCGGCCAGUGGCUUUCUUCAGUGAGAAAUUGAGUGGAACCGCCCUCAAUUACCCCACCUAUGAUAAAGAGCUAUAUGCUCUAGUAAGGUCGCUUGAAACUUGGCAACAUUAUCUUUUGUCUAAAGAGUUUAUUAUUCAUACAGAUCAUGAGACUCUUAAGCAUUUGAGGGGCCAGACCACACUCAAGAAGAGGCAUGCUAGGUGGCUGGAGUUCGUGGAAAAUUUUCCUUAUGUGAUCAAGUACAAGAAAGGGAAGGACAACGUAGUGGCCGACGCCCUAUCCCGGCGCCACACACUCAUUACCACCAUGGAGGCUAAGAUCAUGGGUUUUGAGCAACUCAAAAUGUCUUAUGAAACUGACCCUGAUUUUUCUGAGUUUUACAGUAACACGGCUAAGGGAGCCAUGGGUCCAUUCUAUCAGCAGGACGGGUUCCUCUUCAAGGAGAAACGCCUGUGUAUUUCUCAUGGUUCCAUGCGAGAUUUACUGACCAGAGAAGCUCAUGGGGGCGGGUUGAUGGGGCAUUUCGGUCGGGACAAAACUCUGAGAGUCCUGUCCGACCACUUAUAUUGGCCCCGGAUGAGGCGCUACGUCGAGAGCCUUUGCGCUUAGUGCACUGUCUGUCUCAAAACCAAAUCCAGGUCGCAUCCUUAUGGUUUACACAUGCCUUUACCUAUUCCUAUUGCACCGUGGGUCGACCUGUCUAUGGAAUUUGUGCUGGGCUUGCCCAAGAUAGAACACAAGGAUUCUAUUUUUGUUGUAGUGGACAGGUUCUCCAAGAUGGCACACUUCAUUCCGUGUUCCAAGACCAAUGAUGCAUGCCAAACCGCUGAUCUCUUCUUCAAGGAAGUGGUGCGUCUACAUGGAGUGCCUCGUACCAUUGUGUCCGACGGAGACACAAAAUUUCUCAGCCACUUCUGGAGGACAUUGUGGAAAAAGCUUGGAACCAAGCUCCUCUUCUCGACCACUUGCCAUCCACAGACUGAUGGACAGACCGAGGUAGUAAACCGUACACUCUCUUAGUUAUUGAGGGCUACGGUGGGUAAGAAUCUUAAAAACUGGUUGAGUUGCUUUCCUUUCAUUGAGUUUGCUUAUAACCAUGAGAUCGUGUAUGGCUUUAGACCAGAGAUGCCCAUGGACCUAGCCGCAUUGCCACCAGCCAUGCAAGUCAGCCAGAGUGGUGACAAAAAGGCUGAGUUUGUGAAGAACAUGCACCGGCAAGUCAAGGAGACUUUGGAGAAGAAGGCUGAAAGGAACCGGAUUAAGCUCAACAAGGGGAGCACAGAAGUUAUCUUCCAACCAGGCGACUGGGUGUGGCUCCACAUGAGGCCAACGCGGUUUCCGGAAGAGAGGAAGAGAAAAUUAUCCCCACAAGGGGAUGGACCAUUCCGAGUGCUCGACCGGAUCAAUGACAAUGCCUACCGGCUAGAACUGCCAGGUGAGUUCCAAGUUUCCCGAACGUUCAAUGUGUCUGACUUGUCUCCUUAUAUUGUAGAUGACGGAGAUGUUCUGAGGACAGAACCUGUUCAAGAGGGAGGGGAUGUUGUAGUACCCACGACUGAGGUUCCCAUUAUCCGCAAAGGUCCUACCACAAGGUCCGGUUCAAGAGUUAUAAGAGCUGGGUUUGCCAAAGCUGUCCAGGAGUUGCUUGCACAGGAACAAACCGGGUUCAAGCAACUAUUGAUCCAGGAUUUGUCUGACUUAAAGCUGGAAGACACCGGUGAACCACUAGAGGUUCCAGACCCUUUCCAUUCGAGCCAGUUCUCCUCCAUCGGCCAGAGUGAAGCCGGCCUGACCAUUUCCACCUUCAUGCUCAAUCCAUCCAACUAACUUGCUUCCGAUACAGAGAUAUAGCCAACCAUCAGAAGGAGUAGUAUGUGUUGUACUCUUUUUCCUUAUCGGGUUUUGUCCCACUGGGUUUUCCCGAAAGGUUUUAAUGAGGCAACAAGCAAGCAUACUAUGAGUUCUGAUCCGGACAUCUCAAACCGCGACCGGUCUAUUGUUUUCUUUAUUUUUAUUUCGGUUAAGACUUUGGCCAUUUGUCUAGGCCUUUUUUUUUAUCUUUAAAGUCCAGUAAGGAACACCUAUUUAAACCCUUGUAGUUGCCAACUUUUCGGCUAAGUCUUUUAUGAAAACGUUUUUGCUUUAGCAAAGAAACCCUAAGUCUUUCAGUUGUGCGAAACCAUUGAGAGCAGCGGUGUGACAUAUCAAAGAGCCGAUCCAUUGUUCUUUGUGGCGUCCAUCGAUCCAUUCCAUUCCUUGUCCGAAUCUUGAGAGACAUACGUCCAGCAAGAGCCGGAUCCAUAUCAAUCUUCCUAACCGACCUUGGCAUCUUGUUGAGAGAGACAUACGUCCAGCAGCAGAUCCCAUCCGCCAAUCUAUUCUUUCUCUAUCUUUUAUUUUAGAUUUCAUUCAUCCAAACCAUAAAAACCAAAAGAAUCAUAUCUUGUUUUUGUUCUUGUUCCUAUUGAAAACAAGUUCAUAUUUGUUUCAGGUACGAACACAAGCAAGAGGCGACCGAACACAAGCAAGAGAUAAGCCGGCCAGUACCAUCCAUCCGAGGCAAGACUGACUGAACCGCGGAACGGCCAUCCGUCCGUCCGUCCGUCCGUUCGACCCUCCGACCCAUGCCUACAACACACAGGAUAUCCAUGUGUGUCCGUCAGCACACACAGGACGUCCGUGUGUGUCUGUGUGUGUCCGUCAACACACACGGGACGUCCGUGGCUGUCCAUCAGUACACAUAUCAGCACGCUGGUCCUUGGACUCAGCACGCUGGCCCUUCCCGUGGACUGUUUGGGUGAUUUUGGCCCACGUGGGCUGUCUGUUCAGUACACACAUGACGUCUGUUGGUGUCCGUCAGCACACACAGGAUGUCCGUAUGUGUCCGUCAGCACACACAGGACGUCCGUGGCUGUCCGUGUGUGUCUGUGUGUGUCCGUAAGCACAGACAGGACAUCCGUGGCUGUCCAUCAGUACACAUAUCAGCACAUUGGUCCUUGGAUUCAGCACGCUGACCCUUCCAGUGGAAUGUUCGGGUGAUUUUGUCCCUUGUGGGCUGUCUGUUGAGUACACACAGGACGUCUGUGGGUGUCCGCUAGCACACACAGGACGUCUAUGGCUGUCUGUUUGUGUCCGUGUGUGUCCGUCAGCACACACAGGACGUCCGGGGCUGUCCGUGUGUGUCCGUCAGCACACACAGCAUACUGUCCAUCAGUACACAUAUCAGCAUGUUGGUCAUUGGACUCAGCACGUUGACCCUUCCCGUGGACUGUUCGGGUGAUUUUGGCCCACGUGGGCUGUAUGGUCUGUACACUCAGGACGUCCGUGGGUGUCCACCAGCACACACAGGACGUCCGUGGCUGUCCAUGUGUGUAUGUGUGUGUUCCUCUGUGUCUGUCAGCACACACAAGACGUCCGUGGCUAUCCAUCAGUACACAUAUAAGCACGUUGGUCCUUGGACUCAGCAAGCUGGCCCUUCCCGUGGACUGUUUAGGUGAUUUUGGCCCACGUGGGCUGUCUGUUCAGUACACAUGACGUCCGUGGGUGUCCGCCAGCACAAACAUGACGUCUAUGGCUUUCUGUGGCUGUCCGUCAGCACACAUAGGACGUCUGUGGCUGUCUGUGUGUGUCUGUGUGUGUCUGUGGCUGUCCGCCAGCACACACAAGACGUCCGUGUGUGUCCAUCAGCACACACAAGACGUCCGUGUGUGUCUGUCUGCACACACAGGACGUCCGUCGCUGUCCAUCAGUACACAUCAGCACACUGGUCCUUGGACUCAGCACGCUGGCCCUUCCCGUGGAUGGUUCGGGUGAUUUUGGCCCUCGUGGGCUGUCUGUUCAGUACACAUAGGACGGCUGUGGGUGUCCAUCAGCACACACAGGACGUCCGUGGAUGUUCGUCAGUACACACAGGACAUCCGUGGCUGUCCGUGUGUGUCUGUGUGUGUCCGUCAGAACACACAUGACGUAUGUGGCUGUCCAUCAGUACACAUAUCAGCACAUGAAGUCUGUUGCUGUGCAUCAGUAUAUGCUAACCCUUCCCGUGGACUGUUCGGGUGAUUUUGGCCCAUGUGGGCUUUCUGUUCAGUACACACAGGAGGUCCAUGGGUGUCUGUUAGCAGUCAGCACACACAGGACGUCUGUGGGUGUCCGUCAGCACACACAGGACGUCUGUGUGUGUCUGUCAGCACACACAGGACGUCCGGGGCUGUCUGUGUGUGUCCGUGUGUGUCCGUCAGCACACACAGGACGUCUGUGGCUGUCCAUCAGUACACAUAUAAGCAUGUUGGUCCUUGGACUCAGCACGCUGACCCUUCCCGUGGACUGUUCGGGUGAUUUUGGCCCACGUGGGCAAUCUGGUCAGUACACACAGGACGUCUGUGGGUGUCCGCCAGCACACAUAGGAUGUCUGUGGCUGUCCGUGUGUGUCCGUCUGUGACCGUCAGCACACACAGGACAUCCGUGUCUGUCCAUCAGUUCACAUAUCAGCACGUUGGUUCUUGGACUCCGCACGCUGGCCCUUCCCGUGGACUGUUUGGGUGAUUUUGGCCCACGUGCGCUGUCUGUUCACUACAAACAGGACGUCUGUGGGUGUCCGCCAACGCACACAGGACGUCUAUGGCUGUCCAUGGCUUUCCGUCAACACACACAGGACGUUCGUGGCUGUCAGUGGCUGUCCGUCAGCACACACGGGACGUCCAUGUGUGUCCGUCAGCACACACAGGACGUCCGUGUGUGUCUGUGUGUGUCCAUCAGCACACACGGGACGUCCGUGGCUGCCCAUCAGUACACAUAUCAGCACGCUGGUCCUUGGACUCACGACGCUGGCCCUUCCCGUGGACUGUUUGGGUGAUUUUGGCCCACGUGGGCUGUCUGUUCAGUACACACAUGACGUCUGUUGGUGUCCGUCAGCACACACAGGAUUUCCGUGUGUGUCCAUCAGCACACACAGGACGUCCGUGACUGUCCGUGUGUGUCUGUGUGUGUCCGUCAGCACACACAGGACGUCCGUGGCUGUCCAUCAGUACACAUAUCAGCACAUUGGUCCUUGGAUUCAGCACGCUGACCCUUCCCGUGGACUGUUCGGGUGAUUUUGUCUCUGUUGAGUACACACAAAACGUCUGUGGGUGUCCGCUAGCACACAUAGGACGUCCGUGGCUGUCUGUGUGUGUCCGUGUGUGUCCGUUUGUGGCCGUCAGCACACACAGGACGUUCGUGGCUGUCCAUCCACAUAUCAGCACGUUGGUCCUUGGACUCAGCAUGCUGGCCCUUCCCGUGGACUGUUUGGGCCAUUUUGGCCCACGUGGGCUGUCUGUUCAGUACACACAGGACGUCUGUGGGUGUCCGCCAGCACACAAAGGACAUUUGUGGCUGUCCGUGACUGUCCGUCAGCACACACAGGACAUCUGUGGCCUUUCGUGUGUGUCCGUGUGUGUAUGUGGGUGUCCCCCAGCAUACACAGGACGUUCGUGGCUGUCCGUGGCUGUCUGUCAUCACACACAGGACGUCAGUGUGUGUCAGUCAGCACACACAGGACGUCUGUGUGUGUGCGUGUGUGUCCGUCAGCACACACAGGACGUCCGUGGGUGUCCUUCAGCACACACAGGACGUCCGUGGUUGUCCAUCAGUACACAUAUCAGCAUGCUGGCCCUUCCCUUGCACUGUUCGGGUGAUUUUGGCCCAUGUGGGCUGUCUGUUCAGUACACACAGGACGUCCGUGGGUGUUCGUCAGCACACACAGGACGUCCGUGGGUGUCCGUCAGCACACACAGGACAUCCUUGGCUGUCUGUGUGUGUCUGUGUGUGUCCGUGUGUGUCCGUGUGUGUCCAUCAGCACACACAUGACGUUAGUGGCUGUCCAUUAGUACACAUAUCAGCACGUUGGUCCUUGGGCUCAACACGCUGGCCCUUCCCGGGGACUGUCUGGGUGAUUUUGGCCCACGUGGGCUGUCUGUUCAGUACACACAGGACGUCAGUGGGUGUCCGCCAGAACACACAGGACGUCCAGGGCUGUCUGUCAGCACACAUAGGACGUCCGUGACUGUCCGUGUGUUUCCGUGUGUGUCCGUCCGCACACACCAGGACGUCCUUGGGUGUCUAUCAGCACACACAGGACAUCCGUGUGUGUCCGUCAGCACACACAGGACGUCCGUGGCUGUCCAUGUGUGUCUGUGUGUGUCCGUCAGCACACACAGGACGUCCAUGGCUGUCCAUCAGUAUACAUAUCAGCACGUUGGUCCUUGGGUGAUUUUGGCCCAUGUGGGCUGUCUACUCAGUACACAGAGGACGUCCAUGGGUGUCCGCCAGCACACACAGGACGUCCGUGGCUGUCCAUGGCUGUCCAUCAGCACACACAGGACGUCCGUGGCUGUCCGUGUGUGUCCUUGUGUGUCCGUGUCUGUCCGUCAGAACACACAGGACGUCCGUGGCUGUCCAUCAGUACACAUAUAAGCAUGUUGGUCCUUGGACUCAGCACGUUGACCCUUCUCGUGGACUGUUCGGGUGAUUUUGGCCCACGUGGGCUUUUUGUUCAGUACACACAGGAUGUCUGUGGGUGUUCGCCAGAACACACAGGACGUCUGUGGCUGUCCGUCAGCACACACAGGACAUCCGUGGCUGUCCGUGGGUGUCCGUGUGUGUCCGUCAACACACACAGGACGUCAGUGGCUGUCCAUCAGUACACAUAUCAGCCCGUUGGUCGACUAGGCCGCGGUCGAUGCCUCACGUCGCUCGGUCGAUACCCUGACCGAACCUUUCAAAAAUUUCGCCCUUUAUUUAAAACAUCGCUCAUAGGCGAGGGAUAACUCAGAUCUUAGCUCAAGACUACCGUAGUCUUUCCUAGCUUAGAUCGAUACAACACAUACGCAGCGGAAUAAUAUCAUCAUCCAUUGGUCUAUAACCAAUCUAAUACUUGUCCGGUAGAAUCACCUCAGCUUAUGGUUAGUAUACUCAACUACCAGCUAGCUCCCAGGUUGAUUCUGAACACGAACCAAGUCAUACAAAUCUGAGGUUCCGUUUCCCUAACCAUUCUAUCUAGAUCUAUGCAACAUUGCUAGAUCAUACCUUUGCCACAUCCACGGAGCUAGUUAGCUCAUCGGGCCAGCUACUCUAGCUGAAUGAACUCAUAGACCAGCUGAUCGAGCUGUCACACUCGAACUGAGCUAGGACCGAGCUAUGGCCAGCUGCCAUAUACUGCGGCCAGCUCCUUUACACACACAAAACAACUCCCUUAGGUACUUAGUCAUUCAGCCAACCAUCCCCACAGACAUAAGUAACCCUUGAGAAGUCUUCAAACGGCUAAGGACAUGCAUCUGGCCCUUACUGGCUCAUGCACUGUCCCACAUCCUUUUGCCUUAUCAACUUAUGAUACCAAGUCCAGCUCAUGGAAUAACAACGCCCUUCAGAUCCUGAGUCAAUCAACCAACCCCCCCACAUGACCCAGAACUGAUGAGUCUUCACACGUACCUAACCGGCCAUGGAACCAUGUCCUAACGAAGCCGAUCAAUCCUCCUAUUACCACCGGUGCAUCCUUUGAUCAAUCAGAUCAGACACCUUGAUCCAUCACCUAUGGAUCAGGUCAUCCAUCCUUGCCAAAGAUCAGAUUACACACGGCCUUCUUUAGAUAAACACACCGGCCCCAUACUUGUGGUCCAUGCCACUUAGUACUCGCCUCCACGGCUUGCUGCUGGUUCCAAAUGAAUUGGACCUUGCACCCCACAUGGUUCCUCAUGUACUAGGAUCCCCAUGUGUCUCCUCCAGGAUUCGGAUCAUUGAUUCACACCAUGAUCAGAACUAACACACACACCAUGAUCCACCAUGGAUCACUAACACACACACACAUGGAUGAGUUAGAUCAACUAAGAUCCGCCCCUUAUAUCAGGGUCCUGGAUCCUUAGUUUACAUCACAACAUAUGGUAUUCAAGGGGCGUGCCAUACUUGGCCUUAACCGCACCACAAGAGACAGAAACAUAACCUUGAAAGUAAUUAUAAAAUCAGUUACCUUAUAAAUGAUCUGAUUAGAUCAAGUCCCUUUCCUUAUUAUGUUCGGCCAUGCUCCUCCAGUGCACGACUCUAUCAAUCCUUAUCACAUACCUCCUGUAUUGAUAAGAUCCAUUCAUGGGUCGCACCCCUGAUCCCUUCCAUGGAACUUCCAUGAAACCAGUUUCUACACUGCAUCCACCUUCAAGGCUAUUCAUGCCAUUGUGAGGGAAGUCCGGCCUUCUCCCUUCUCCCCUGGGUAUUUGCGUGUGUUCCCAAGAUACAGGGGAAGCCUAGGACGUGGUCAUCCGUGGUGAAAACCUACCACAGGGUCGUUCAUACCUCCCCUUGCACUUCCAUGAAACUGCCCUCCCACACACCUCUCUCCUUAAGGCUGUCAUGGCCUUUGGGAAUGAAUUCCGGUCAUCUACCUUCUUUCCUCACCUUUUGCGUGUGUUCUCAGGCCCUGUAGGAUGCUUUCGGUGAUAACAUCACGGAUCAAAACCACCAUAAAGUCGUUCAUAACUUCCCCCCUUGAUCUCUCCCAAAACUGCCUCUUUAUGACCUUCACACCACCAUGGGUCUUGGAUUGGGAAUCCGACCAACUCUCUGUCUUUUCUCUGUGUUUCUUUGUGUUUCAGGGUGUAGGAGGAAGCCCUGGCGUGCCUGCAAAGGCACGGACUUCCCUGCCUUUUAUAGAAGAAGGGGCAGUUACCUUUCCAAAGGUUGCACCCUUUCGGUAUCAUUUCUGGCCAUUGAUUUAAUCAAUGGUCCAGAUCAUACCCAUUUGCCUCAGGCAGUUUCCAGACGCCCUGGGCUUGCCAAUCCACUCCUGCACAAGUCCAAACAAGCCCACACGGAUUGCCCAAGCUUCUGGCUCAAUCCCAAGAGCCAACCAGCCCAUCGGUACACCCGGGUCUCCCACUUGGCCCGGCCACUGUCCAGACCCGGCCCAACUGCCCAUGACUUGAACACUCAGUCCAGCUGAGUUGAGCUGAUCCCCAGCUGACCCAGCUGAGUGAGCUAGACCAUCCAGCUCAGGGAGAUGACCUACACUUCAGUGAGCUACAUUGAGCUGCACUACACUUCACCUAGCUGGUCGAGCUUGCUUACUGCAUCGCCCAGCUGUUAUACACUGUGUCCAGCUUGCUUCCUUUAUCUUCUUCAAUUCUUCUAAGUCCCUUGGUCUAUUUCCAGACCUAUACUUAGUUCUCCCAUGAUCCAUUCUGAUCACCCACUUCAAUCGAGCUUCACCUGGAUCUCGUCCAGCUACCAGCUCGCUUGUCCAGCUCCUUUGAGCUUGCAUCUGCCUUAUUUUGGUUAAGUUCCAGCUACCUGAUUCCCUUAACCACCUUUUGGACCAUGACACGCUUGUCUUUAGAUCAUGUGACCUGACUGGUGCGUCUCCUCGCACUAAAGUCUGUCCGGACGAUCCUAUCCAGGAUCGGGGACAUGACAAGUCUCCCCCACUUAGGAUGGAUUCGUCCUCGAAUCCUGUGGUGUUGCCGUCUUGUCUGAAGAAAAAAGAUUCCAACCGAAUGCAUCCAGAACAUAGAGCAUGCUCGAUUGGUUCUUCCAAACCAAUUUGCUGCAUCUCCCUCCUUGUCCCUCCUCACUGAUCACGUCUUGAUCACUAUCUACACAAGUCUCCCCCACUUGAUAGAGAUUUUACCCAAAAUCUUAUCAAGUGAUCCAUCAAGCACCCAUACAAAGACAUGACUUGUGUCACUGACCCAACUCUCCAGGUUGCGUUCCUAGUAGACACCAAGUCCAUGUAGAACACUUUAGUUCCAUGACUAGAUCAAAUUCAGCCGCUAGGAAAAUACUGCGUACUCAAGUCUUAGAAGAUUCAACCAAUCUCCAAGCCACUCGGUGCACCAGCCAAGUCCUAGCGAACAUGUUCCAAUCUUUAGGUUGAUCACUCUACCAUGAGUCCUAACAGAUUGUUUUGUUCCCUUAAGUCAUUCGCGGACAAUAAGGUUUAUGAUUCCAGCCCUCAAUUACUGGAUCAUUCCCGAACCAGCCACAGCCUCUCCCAGCUUGGCCAUAUUGCCAUCUUAGCCCAAGACUAAACCGCCUUAACUUUACUUCUGUCCAAACCGGACUUUGUCAUAUUACGAUCCUGGUCCAUUUAGGACGUGAUCACAUACCAGUCCUGGUCCACUCAGGGACUAGACCGUUACACCCCGACCAUAGGUCCAUCUCCGAGUAGGUCGUGUCCUGAUCCUCAUCCUUUGACGGACUUGAUCAUAUUGCGGUUCUGGUCCACUCCAGUACUCAACCGUCUCACCCCAACCAUAGGUCAAUCUCCGACAUGGUUGUGCUGCGAUCCUCAUCCCUCACUGGACUUGAUCGACUUCACCUCAGCCAUCUUAGCUGGUGCCAUUCUAUUUGGACUUUUAGAUAAUGGGGCCGUAGCAGGUUCCAAUUCAAUGAUGAAUGGGUCAGCCCUAUAAGGGGGAAUGCCCUGUAGUGCCCCAAACACUUCCUGAAAUUCCCGAACCAACGGUAUACCCUCUGGGUCACAGGCCCCUACAACCUCAUCAGUGUAAAUGGUAGCCAAAAAGGCCUCACAACCAUUUCCAAGUAUCCGUUCUACUUGGACUGCUGAAACCACCAAACUACAAGAGGUUGGCUUAAUUCCUUGGUACUUAAUCGGGGGUCCAAACUCGUUCUCAAGUUGCACCCUUCCCCGGUGACAAUCUAGAGUUGCCCGAUACUUUCCCAACCAGUCCAUGCCCAAGAUCCCCGAUACUUUCCCAACCAGUCAUCUAGAGUUGCCCGAUACUUUCCCAACCAGUCCAUGCCCAAGAUCACUUCAUGAUGCUUGAGGGGGACAACAAUCAGAUCUAUAGGCAUCGGCUUAUCCAAGAUCACCACAGGGAUGUCCUUAACCAGACCGAGUGAGUUCAUAACUUGUCCUACUCACUCGUUCAGGACCGUCCCAUGUUCCAUACUGGAACAAACCUUUUCCAAUCAUAGUUGGACUCACAAAACUAUGUGUAGCUCCAGUAUCAAAUAAUGUGUUUCCACACCACCGAUCAUUAAGUACUUAGAUGAGUAGGAUAUCGGUUUGAUCACACAUUUGGAAAAUGUCCCAUACCAUUCUCCAAAGCAUCACACAUCUGUGAACGUCCCAUACCAUUCUCCAAAGCAUCACACUUCUGUAUACCUCAAUCCUCAUCAUACUAAGAUACUUAACAUCGUGUUUCCAAUUCCUCUUGGAAUUGAUCCAUUCAAUUCACUCAAUCUUAAGGAAUCCUACCUUGACUUACACUGAGUCCAAGCUGAUCCAUCUGAUCACAAGCCCACUCAUGUACUAGCCAUGUAGCGUCUCCCUUAGACUAACAUGUACAUUGCAUAUGCUCACUUGUUUUGAACGGCCACCAAGGGAUAACAUUUACCUCCAAGAGAGUGCUGCACGUUUCUUUCAACGUAAGCCACUCUCUGGUCCAUGUUACUUCCCUUGUCCAGGUCGUCCAUACAAAGAUCUUGCAUUGCGUCCAUCAUCCAAUCCGUCUACUAUUCCCAAAUAAUUAGAUAAACUAACCUUUAUGUUUUCAGGGUCUUUCCGUGGAAGAGUGUAUCUUGGCUAAACCGGCUCAUGUUGGAACUUCCCCAUUCACAAGCAUGAAACCCAAUCUUACCUCAACUCUCGCUUGGCUCACCAAAGCUAAGGUUCCAAGUCAUCAUAGUUUUCAGAAAUAAUUUCGGUUUGGAACUCAGCAUCCUUGAGCACUGUCCGUAACAGGAUCAAGCAUGCUCUGAUACCAACUUGUAAGACCCGAUCCUGGCCGACUAGGCCGCGGUCGAUGCCUCACGUCGCUCGGUCGAUACCCUGACCGAACCUCUCAAAAUUUUCGCCCUUUAUUUAAAACAUCGCCCAUUGGCGAGGGCUAACUCAGAUCUUAGCUCAAGACUACCAUAGUCUUUCCUAACUUAGAUAAAUACAACACAUACGCAGCGGAAUAAUAUCAUCAUCCAUUGGUCUAUAACCAAUCUAAUACUUGUCCGGUCGAAUCACCUCAGCUAAUGGUUAGUAUACUCAACUACCAGCUAGCUCCAAGGUUGAUUCUGAACACGAACCAAGUCAUACAAAUCUGAGGUUCCAUUUCCCUAACCAUUCUAUCUAGAUCUAUGCAACAUUUCUAGAUCAUACCUUUGCCACAUCCACGGAGCUUGUUAGCUCAUCAGCCCAGCUACUCUAGCUGAAUGAACUCAUAGACCAGCUGAUCGAGCUGUCACACUCGAACUGAGCUAGGACCGAGCUAUGGCCAGCUGCCAUAUACUGCAUCCAGCUCCUUUACACACACAAAACAACUCCCUUAGGUACUUAGUCAUUCAGCCGACAAUCCCCACAGACAUAAGUAACCCUUGAGAAGUCUUCAAACAGCUAAGGACAUGCAUCUGGCCCUUACAGGCUCAUGCACUGUCCCACAUCGUUUUGCCUUAUCAACUUAUGAUACCAAGUCCAGCUCAUGGAAUAACAACGCCCAUCAGAUCCUGAGUCAAUCAACCAACCACCCCACAUGACCCAGAACUGAUGAGUCUUCACACGUACCUAACCGGCCAUGGAACCAUGUCCCAACGAAGCCGAUCAGUCCUCCUCUUACCACCGGUGCAUCCUUUGAUCAAUCAGAUCAGACACCUUGAUCCAGAACCUAUGGAUCAGGUCAUCCAUCCUUGCCAAAGAUCAGAUUACACACAGCCUUCUUUAGAUAAACACACCAGCCCCAUACUUGUGGUCCAUGCCACUUAGUACUGGCCUUACUCGCCUCCACGGCUUGCUGCUGGUUCCAAAUGAAUUGGACCUUGCACCCCACAAGGUUCCUCAUGUAAAAGGAUCCCCAUGGGUCUCCUCCAUGAUUCGGAUCAUUGAUUCACACCAUGAUCAGAACUAACACACACACCAUGAUCCACCAUGGAUCACUAUCCAAUGAGUGGCCUCUAACUUCAAUCCCACAUGGAUGAGUUAGAUCAACUAAGAUCCGCCCCUUAUCUCAGGGUCCUGGAUCCUUAGUUUACAUCACAACAUAUGGUCUUCAAGGGGCGUGCCAUACUUGGUCCUGGAUCCUUAGUUUACAUCACAACAUAUGGUCUUCAAGAGACAGAAACAUAACCUUGAAAGUAAUUAUAAAAUCUGUUACCUUAUACAUGAUCUGAUUAGAUCAAGUGCCUUUCCUUAUUAUGUUUGGCCAUGCUCCUCCAGUGCACGCCUCUAUCAAUCCUUAUCACAUACCUCCUGUAUUGAUAAGAUCCGUUCAUGGGUCGCACCCCUGAUCCCUUCCAUGGAACUUCCAUGAACCCAGUUUCUACACUGCAUCCACCUUCAAGGCUAUUCAUGCCAUUGUGAGGGAAGUCCGGCCUUCUCCCUUCUCUCCGGGUAUUUGCGUGUGUUCCCAAGAUACAGGGGAAGCCUAGGACGUGUUCAUCAGUGGUGAAAACCUACCACAGGGUCGUUCAUAACUCCCCUUGCACUUCCAUGAAACUGCCCUCCCACACACCUCUCUCCUCAAGGCUGUCUUGGCCUUUGGGAAUGAAUUCCGGUCAUCUACCUUCUUUCCUAACCAUUUGUGUGUGUUCUCAGGCCCUGUAGGAUGCUUUGGGUGAUAACAUCACGGAUCAAAACCACCAGAAAGUCGUUCAUAACUUCCCCCCUUGAUCUCUCCCAAAACUGCCUCUUUGUGACCUUCACACCACCAUGGGUCUUGGAUUGGGAAUCCGACCAACUCUCUGUCUUUUCUCUGUAAUUCUUUGUGUUUCAGGGUGUAGGAGGAAGCCCUGGCGUGCCUUCAAAGGCACGGACUUGGGAGGAAGCCCUGGCGUGCCUGCAAAGGCACGGACUUCCCUGCCUUUUAUAGAAGAAGGGGCAGUUACCUUUCCAAAGGUUGCACCCUUUCGGUAUCAUUUCUGGCCAUUGAUUUAAUCAAUGGUCCAGAUCAUACCGAUUCACCUCAGGCAGUUUCCAGACGCCCUGGGCUUGCCAAUCCACUCCUGGACAAGUACAAACAAGCCCACACGGAUUGCCCAAGCUCCUGGCUCAAUCCCAAGAGCCAACCAGCCCAUCGGUACACCCGGGUCGCCCACAUGGCCCGGCCACUGUCCAGACCCGGCCCAACUGCCCAUGACUUGAACACUCAGUCCAGCUGAGUUGAGCUGAUCCCCAGCUGACCCAGCUGAGUGAGCUAGACCAUCCAGCUCAGGGAGAUGACCUACACUUCAGUGAGCUACAUUGAGCUGCACUACACUUCACCUAGCUGGUCGAGCUUGCUUACUGCAUCGCCCAGCUAUUAUACACUGUGUCCAGCUUGCUUCCUUUAUCUUCUUCAAUUCUUCUAUGUCCCUUGGUGUAUUUCCAGACCUAUACUUAGUUCUCCCAUGAUCCAUUCUGAUCACCCACUUCAAUCGAGCUUCACCUGGAACUCUUCCAGCUACGAGCUCGCUUGUCCAGCUCCUUUGAUCUUGCAUCUGCCUUAUUUUGGAUAUGUUCCAGCUACCUGAUUCCCUUAACCACGUUUUUACCUGAUUCCCUUAACCACGUUCCAGCUACCUGAUUCCCUUAACCACGUUUUGGACCAUGACACGCUUGUCUUUAGGUCAUGUGACCUGACUGGUGCGUCUCCUCGCACUAAAGUCUGUCCGGACGAUCCUAUCCAGGAUCAGGGACAUGACAAGUCUCCCCCACUUAGGAUGGAUUCGUCCUCGAAUCCUGUGGUGUUGCCGUCUUGUCUGAAGACAAAUGAUUCCAACCGAAUUCUUUGCAUCCAGAACAUAGAGCAUGCUCGAUUGGUUCUUCUUAACCAAUUCGUUGCAUCUCCCUCCUUGUCCCUCCUCACUGAUCACGUCUUGAUCACCAUCUACACAAGUCUCCCCCCACUUGAUAGAGAUUUUACCCAAAAUCUUAUCAAGUGAUCCAUCAAGCACCUAUACAAAGACAUGACUUGUGUCACUGACCCAACUCUCCAGGUUGCGUUCCUAGUAGACACCAAGUCCAUGUAGAACACUUUAGUUCCAUGACUAGAUCAAAUUCACUCGCUAGGAACAUACUGCGUACUCAAGUCUUAGAAGAUUCAACCAAUCUCAAAGCCACUCUAUGCACCAGCCAAGUCCUAGCGAACAUGUUCCAAUCUUUAGGUUGAUCACUCUACCAUGAGUCCUAACAGAUUGUUUUGUUCCCUUAAGUCCUUCCCGGACAAUAAGGUUUAUGAUUCCAGCCCCCAAUUACUGGAACAUUCCUUAACCAGCCACAGCCUCUCCCAGCUUGGCCAUAUUCCCAUCUUAGCCCUUACAAGACUAAACCGCCUCAACUUGACUUCUGUCCAAACUGGACUUUGUCAUAUUUUGAUCCUAGUCCAUUUAGGACGUGAUCAUAUUCCAGUCCUGGUCCACUCAGGGACUAGACCGUUACACCCCGACCAUAGGUCCAUCUCCGAGUAGGUCAUGUCCUGAUCCUCAUCCUUUGACGGACUUGAUCAUAUUGCGGUUCUGGUCCACUCCAGGACUUAACCGUCUCACCCCAACCAUAGGUCAAUCUCCGACUUGGUUGUGCUGCGAUCCUCAUCCCUCACUAGACUUGAUCGACUUCAGCUCAGCCAUCUUAGCUGGUGCCAUUCUAUAUGGACUUUUAGAUAAUGGGGACGUUCCAGGUUCCAAUUCAAUGAUGAAUGGGUCAGCCCUAUCAGGGGGAAUACCCUGUAGUGCCCCAAACAUUUCCUGAAAUUCCCGAACCAACGGUAUACCCUCUGGGUCACAGGCCCCUACAACCUCAUCAGUGUAAAUGGUAACCAAAAAGGCCUCACAACCAUUUCCAAGUAUCCGUUCUAAUUGGACUGCUGAAACCACCAAGCUACAAGAGGUUGGCUUGAUUCCUUGGUACUUAAUCGGGGUCCAAACUCGUUCUCAAGUUGCACCCUUCCCCGGUGAUAAUCUAGAGUUCCCCGAUACUUUCCCAACCAGUCCAUGCCCAAGAUCCCCGAUACUUUCCCAACCAGUCGAGUUCCCCGAUACUUUCCCAACCAGUCCAUGCCCAAGAUCACUUCAUGAUGCUUGAGGGGGACAACAAUCAGAUCUAUAGGCAUCGGCCUAUCCAAGAUCACCACAGGGAUGUCCUUUACCAGACCGAGUGAGUUCAUAACUUGUCCUACUCACUCGUUCAGUACCGUCCCAUGUUCCAUACUGAAACAAACCUUUUCCAAUCAUACUUGGACUCACAAAACUAUGUGUAGCUCCAGUAUUGGACUCACAAAACUAUGUGUAGAAAACUAUGUGUAGCUCCAGUAUCAAAUAAUGUGUUUCCACACCACCGAUCAUUAAGUACUUAGAUGAGUAGGAUCUCGGUUUGAUCACACAUUUGGAAAAUGUCCAAUACCAUUCUCCAAAGCAUCACACAUCUGUGAACGUCCCAUACCAUUCACAAAAGUGUUUAUAGUAUACCUCAAUCCUCAUCAUACUAAGAUACUUAACAUCGUGUUUCCAAUUCCUCUUGGAAUUGAUCCAUUCCAUUCACUCAAUCUUAAGGAAUCCUACCUUGACUUACACUGAGUCCAAGCUGAUCCAUCUGAUCAUAAGCCCACUCAUGUACUAGCCAUGUAGCGUCUCCCUUAGACUAACAUGAACAUUGCAUAUGCUCACUUGUUUUGAACGGCCACCAAGGGAACAUUGCAUAUGCUCACUUGUAUGAACAUUGCAUAUGCUCACUUGUUUUGAACGGCCACCAAGGGAUAACAUUUACCUCCAAGAGAGUGCUGCACGUUUCUUUCAACUUAAGCCACUCUCUGGUCCAUGUUACUUCCCUUGUCCAGGUCGUCCAUUCAAAGAUCUUGCAUUGCGUCCAUCAUCCAAUCCGUCUACUAUUCCCAAAUAACUAGAUAAACUAACCUUUAUGUUUUCAGGGUCUUGCUGUGGAAGAGUGUAUCUUGGCUAAGCCGGCUCAUCUUGGAACUUCCCCAUUCACAAGCAUGAAACCCAAUCUUACCUCAACUCUCGCUUGGCUCACCAAAGCUAAGGUUCCAAGUCAUCAUAGUUUUCAGAAAUAAUUUCGGUUUGGAACUCAACAUCCUUGAGCACUGUCCGUAACAGGAUCAAGCAUGCUCUGAUACCAACUUGUAAGACCUGAUCCUGGCCGACUAGGCCGCGGUCGAUGCCUCACGUCGCUCGGUCGAUACCCUGACCGAACCUCUCAAAAUUUUCGCCCUAUAUUUAAAACAUCGCCCAUAGGCGAGGGCUAACUCAGAUCUUAGCUCAAGACUACCAUAGUCUUUCCUAGCUUAGAUCAAUACAACACAUACGCAGCGGAAUAAUAUCAUCAUCCAUUGGUCUAUAACCAAUCUAAUACUUGUCCGGUAGAAUCACCUCAGCUUAUGGUUAGUAUACUCAACUACCAGCUAGCUCCAAGGUUGAUUCUGAACACGAACCAAGUCAUACAAAUCUGAGGUUCCGUUUCCCUAACCAUUCAAUCUAGAUCAAUGCAACAUUGCUAGAUCAUACCUUUGCCACAUCCACGGAGCUUGUUAGCUCAUCGGCCCAGCUACUCUAGCUGAAUGAACUCAUAGACGAGCUGAUCGAGCUGUCACACUCGUACUGAGAUAGGACCGAGCUAUGGCCAGCUGCCAUAUACUGCGUCCAGCUCCUUUACACACACAAAACAACUCCCUUAGGUACUUAGUCAUUCAGCCAACAAUCCCCACAGACAUAAGUAACCCUUGAGAAGUCUUCAAACAGCUAAGGACAUGCAUCUGGCCCUUACCGGCUCAUGCACUGUCCCACAUCCUUUUGCCUUAUCAACUUAUGAUACCAAGUCCAGCUCAUGGAAUAACAACGCCCAUCAGAUCCUGAGUCAAUCAACCAACCACCCCACAUGAACCAGAACUGAUGAGUCUUCACACGUACCUAACAGGCCAUGGAACCAUGUCCCAACGAAGCCGAUCAUUCCUCCUUUUACCACCGGUGCAUCCUUUGAUCAAUCAGAUCAGACACCUUGAUCCAUCACCUAUGGAUCAGGUCAUCCAUCCUUGCCAAAGAUCAGAUUACACACGGCCUUCUUUAGAUAAACACACCGGCCCCAUACUUGUGGUCCAUGCCACAUAGUACUAGCCUUACUCGCCUCCACGGCUUGCUGCUGGUUCCAUGAUCUAAGUUAGCUCUCGCCCAUGUGUCUCCUCCAUGAUUCGGAUCAUUGAUUCACACCUUGAUCAGAACUAACACACACACCAUGAUCCAACAUGGAUCACUAUCCAAUGAGUGGCCUCUAACUUCCAUCCCACAUGGAUGAGUUAGAUCAACUAAGAUCUGCCCCUUAUCUCAGGGUCCUGGAUCCUUAGUUUACAUCACAACAUAUGGUAUUCAAGGGGCGUGCCAUACUUGGCCUUAACCGCACCACAAGAGACAGAAACAUAACCUUGAAAGUAAUUAUAAAAUCAGUUACCUUAUACAUGAUCUGAUUAGAUCAAGUGCCUUUCCUUAUUAUGUUCGGCCAUGCUCCUACAGUGCACGCGUCUAUCAGUACUUAUCACAUACCUCCUGUAUUGAUAAGAUCCAUUCAUGGGUCGCACCCCUGAUCCCUUCGAUGGAACUUCCAUGAAACCAGUUUCUACACUGCAUCCACCUUCAAGGCUAUUCAUGCCAUUGUGAGGGAAGUCCGUCCUUCUCCCUUCUCUCCUGGGUAUUUGCGUGUGUUCCCAAGAUACAGGGGAAGCCUAGGACGUGUUCAUCCGUGGUGAAAACCUACCACAGGGUCGUUCAUAACUCCCCUUGCACUUCCAUGAAACUGCCCUCCCACACACCUCUCUCCUUAAGGCUGUCUUGGCCUUUGGGAAUGAAUUCGAGCUCGGUACCCGGGGAUCCUCUAGAGUCGACCUGCAGGCAUGCAAGCUUGAGUAUUCUAUAGUCUCACCUAAAUAGCUUGGCGUAAUCAUGGUCAUAGCUGUUUCCUGUGUGAAAUUGUUAUCCGCUCACAAUUCCACACAACAUACGAGCCGGAAGCAUAAAGUGUAAAGCCUGGGGUGCCUAAUGAGUGAGCUAACUCACAUUAAUUGCGUUGCGCUCACUGCCCGCUUUCCAGUCGGGAAACCUGUCGUGCCAGCUGCAUUAAUGAAUCGGCCAACGCGAACCCCUUGCGGCCGCCCGGGCCGUCGACCAAUUCUCAUGUUUGACAGCUUAUCAUCGAAUUUCUGCCAUUCAUCCGCUUAUUAUCACUUAUUCAGGCGUAGCAACCAGGCGCUUCCUCGCUCACUGACUCGCUGCGCUCGGUCGUUCGGCUGCGGCGAGCGGUAUCAGCUCACUCAAAGGCGGUAAUACGGUUAUCCACAGAAUCAGGGGAUAACGCAGGAAAGAACAUGUGAGCAAAAGGCCAGCAAAAGGCCAGGAACCGUAAAAAGGCCGCGUUGCUGGCGUUUUUCCAUAGGCUCCGCCCCCCUGACGAGCAUCACAAAAAUCGACGCUCAAGUCAGAGGUGGCGAAACCCGACAGGACUAUAAAGAUACCAGGCGUUUCCCCCUGGAAGCUCCCUCGUGCGCUCUCCUGUUCCGACCCUGCCGCUUACCGGAUACCUGUCCGCCUUUCUCCCUUCGGGAAGCGUGGCGCUUUCUCAUAGCUCACGCUGUAGGUAUCUCAGUUCGGUGUAGGUCGUUCGCUCCAAGCUGGGCUGUGUGCACGAACCCCCCGUUCAGCCCGACCGCUGCGCCUUAUCCGGUAACUAUCGUCUUGAGUCCAACCCGGUAAGACACGACUUAUCGCCACUGGCAGCAGCCACUGGUAACAGGAUUAGCAGAGCGAGGUAUGUAGGCGGUGCUACAGAGUUCUUGAAGUGGUGGCCUAACUACGGCUACACUAGAAGAACAGUAUUUGGUAUCUGCGCUCUGCUGAAGCCAGUUACCUUCGGAAAAAGAGUUGGUAGCUCUUGAUCCGGCAAACAAACCACCGCUGGUAGCGGUGGUUUUUUUGUUUGCAAGCAGCAGAUUACGCGCAGAAAAAAAGGAUCUCAAGAAGAUCCUUUGAUCUUUUCUACGGGGUCUGACGCUCAGUGGAACGAAAACUCACGUUAAGGGAUUUUGGUCAUGAGAUUAUCAAAAAGGAUCUUCACCUAGAUCCUUUUAAAUUAAAAAUGAAGUUUUAAAUCAAUCUAAAGUAUAUAUGAGUAAACUUGGUCUGACAGUUACCAAUGCUUAAUCAGUGAGGCACCUAUCUCAGCGAUCUGUCUAUUUCGUUCAUCCAUAGUUGCCUGACUCCCCGUCGUGGAGAUAACUACGAUACGGGAGGGCUUACCAUCUGGCCCCAGUGCUGCAAUGAUACCGCGAGACCCACGCUCACCGGCUCCAGAUUUAUCAGCAAUAAACCAGCCAGCCGGAAGGGCCGAGCGCAGAAGUGGUCCUGCAACUUUAUCCGCCUCCAUCCAGUCUAUUAAUUGUUGCCGGGAAGCUAGAGUAAGUAGUUCGCCAGUUAAUAGUUUGCGCAACGUUGUUGCCAUUGCUACAGGCAUCGUGGUGUCACGCUCGUCGUUUGGUAUGGCUUCAUUCAGCUCCGGUUCCCAACGAUCAAGGCGAGUUACAUGAUCCCCCAUGUUGUGCAAAAAAGCGGUUAGCUCCUUCGGUCCUCCGAUCGUUGUCAGAAGUAAGUUGGCCGCAGUGUUAUCACUCAUGGUUAUGGCAGCACUGCAUAAUUCUCUUACUGUCAUGCCAUCCGUAAGAUGCUUUUCUGUGACUGGUGAGUACUCAACCAAGUCAUUCUGAGAAUAGUGUAUGCGGCGACCGAGUUGCUCUUGCCCGGCGUCAAUACGGGAUAAUACCGCGCCACAUAGCAGAACUUUAAAAGUGCUCAUCAUUGGAAAACGUUCUUCGGGGCGAAAACUCUCAAGGAUCUUACCGCUGUUGAGAUCCAGUUCGAUGUAACCCACUCGUGCACCCAACUGAUCUUCAGCAUCUUUUACUUUCACCAGCGUUUCUGGGUGAGCAAAAACAGGAAGGCAAAAUGCCGCAAAAAAGGGAAUAAGGGCGACACGGAAAUGUUGAAUACUCAUACUCUUCCUUUUUCAAUAUUAUUGAAGCAUUUAUCAGGGUUAUUGUCUCAUGAGCGGAUACAUAUUUGAAUGUAUUUAGAAAAAUAAACAAAUAGGGGUUCCGCGCACAUUUCCCCGAAAAGUGCCACCUGACGUCUAAGAAACCAUUAUUAUCAUGACAUUAACCUAUAAAAAUAGGCGUAUCACGAGGCCCUUUCGUCUCGCGCGUUUCGGUGAUGACGGUGAAAACCUCUGACACAUGCAGCUCCCGGAGACGGUCACAGCUUGUCUGUAAGCGGAUGCCGGGAGCAGACAAGCCCGUCAGGGCGCGUCAGCGGGUGUUGGCGGGUGUCGGGGCUGGCUUAACUAUGCGGCAUCAGAGCAGAUUGUACUGAGAGUGCACCAUAAAAUUGUAAACGUUAAUAUUUUGUUAAAAUUCGCGUUAAAUUUUUGUUAAAUCAGCUCAUUUUUUAACCAAUAGGCCGAAAUCGGCAAAAUCCCUUAUAAAUCAAAAGAAUAGCCCGAGAUAGGGUUGAGUGUUGUUCCAGUUUGGAACAAGAGUCCACUAUUAAAGAACGUGGACUCCAACGUCAAAGGGCGAAAAACCGUCUAUCAGGGCGAUGGCCCACUACGUGAACCAUCACCCAAAUCAAGUUUUUUGGGGUCGAGGUGCCGUAAAGCACUAAAUCGGAACCCUAAAGGGAGCCCCCGAUUUAGAGCUUGACGGGGAAAGCCGGCGAACGUGGCGAGAAAGGAAGGGAAGAAAGCGAAAGGAGCGGGCGCUAGGGCGCUGGCAAGUGUAGCGGUCACGCUGCGCGUAACCACCACACCCGCCGCGCUUAAUGCGCCGCUACAGGGCGCGUACUAUGGUUGCUUUGACGUAUGCGGUGUGAAAUACCGCACAGAUGCGUAAGGAGAAAAUACCGCAUCAGGCGCCAUUCGCCAUUCAGCGGGUGUCGGGGCUGGCUUAACUAUGCGGCAUCAGAGCAGAUUGUACUGAGAGUGCACCAUAUGCGGUGUGAAAUACCACACAGAUGCGUAAGGAGAAAAUACCGCAUCAGGCGCCAUUCGCCAUUCAGCUGCGCAACUGUUGGGAAGGGCGAUCGGUGCGGGCCUCUUCGCUAUUACGCCAGCUGGCGAAAGGGGGAUGUGCUGCAAGGCGAUUAAGUUGGGUAACGCCAGGGUUUUCCCAGUCACGACGUUGUAAAACGACGGCCAGUGAAUUGUAAUACGACUCACUAUAGGGCGAAUUCAAUUUCAAAGGAAAUCCAACUCACCAAGGAUUCACUGAGGAUUGGAAUCACUUGAAAAGCAUCACGGAGGAAGGAGUUAUGAAUUUUCCAAACCGGAGAUUCUCCAGUCUGUCUAUCCUCGAGUACCAGACUUCUAAAGGAGAUUGAGGCUCAAGAAAGGAGCGGCCUAAGCCAAAACCGAUCCUCAAUGAACCAAAGGUCUUUCCUCAGUUAACCUCCUGUCCAAACCAAAAGCACUGUAAGGAUCAUGGGUUGAUUGUCUCUGCUCAUCUUGAAAAUGUUUUAAAACCGAGAAUUUCUAAGCAAAAACAAAUCUUACUUGGUUGAAAAACGUUUUGCUUAAACAUUUUCUUGAAUUGUUUUCAUUGAGCUGUGGUUUGAAAGAUAUUUGGUUUAAGAAAAGGAAUGAACCAAAAUUGCUUAGGCCAAAAAAUCAAUUUGAUUUCAUUCAUGAUGACGAUAGAGAAACCCUUUGAUUAUUUCUUUCGCAGAUUUGAUGUGGUUUCUCUAGUUGUUUUGAAUGAACAUGAUAAGCAUAUCAGUUUCCAAGGAGAGCAAGCCCUGGUGAAUGCCAAAGGACUUGUGUUCGUGGAACAUGAAACCGCACAUACCUGAGGGAAACGAGUUCAAACAUCCAAAGAAGUUUCUGUCCAAACUUUUCAUUCAUUGAAUUUUCCAUGAAUUUAAAAUCCUUUGUAUCUGAUUUAUUCGCUUUUGAUACAUGUACAAUGGAUUUGAGGACACGAGGACCAAAGGGUGCAUCGUGAUCAAAGGUUGCGUGUUGCCAAAGAUCAUGUCGUGAUCCAAGAGGUACGAACGUGUCGUGAUCCAAGAGGUACGAACGUGUCGUGAUCCAAGAGGUUCGAACGUAUCAUGAUCCAUCGGAUGUGAACGGUUCGUGACCGAAAGGGUACAAACGGGUUGGGACUGAAAGGGUACAAACGGAACGGGACCGAAAAGGGUACGAGUGGUUCAAUGGUCACAAGGACACCAAAUGCAUUAUGUUGGGCGUGGACCCACAUGAUAGCAAUAGGUUGUCCUACAGGUCAAUACAUGAGUGUAAGGAAAUAGCGAAGGCCUUAAGGCUAGUGCAAUCCGUACAACAUGAUUGAUGUAUGAACCAUAAUCCAUGGUCAAUGGAUGAAGGUUCGGGCAGCAAAGGCUAAGUGGGAUAUCUUACGAUAAACCUUUGCUUGGUGAGUAAGAUAGGGGCCAUAUGCCUCAUGUAGGGCAUAGACCCACAUGAUGGCAAUGGAAGGCCGGUUAUAUCAGUACAUGCUAAGUGGACGAUGGCUUAUCAAGUCUAGUGGUCGGAUCAUGUUUCAUGACAAUGGUUCGAUGGCCGAACACUAGUAUGGAUAGUCACGUUGCUGGAGUAAGAGUAUUGAUGUGAUGCUUCUAGAUAUCAACGUUGGUGUUAAUAGCUUCGAGAUUGGCUAAGAGUCAUGACGAAGUGUGUGGUUAGUACUAUGUGUCGUAGACCAUAGAUACUGAGCCUAAGUGUUUCAAGAAAGGCCGUGUAAGAUCUGAUCAUGAUUGAGUAUGGAAGACCUUACCUCUGAAUGAUGGUUCAAGGUGUCAGUCCUAACCUCAUUAAUUAAUGCAUCGGUUGGUAUGAACAAAUCAUAUAUGUUGUCUGGGUUAAGUCCCAAGGCCGGUCAGGCCAGAUGAAGACUCAUCAGUUCCAAGUCAUGUGAGGAUGGUUGGUUGAUGGACUUAGGAUCUAAUGAGCUUUGUCAGUCCAGAAGAUGGACUUGGUACUAUUGCCUAUAAGGCAAAAGGAUUUCGGAUUGUGCAUGAGCUGAGAAAGGCCUUAUGCAAACCCUUAUCCUUUCAAAGACUUCUCAAAGGUUAUUUAUGUCUAUGGGGAUGGUUGGUUGAAUGACUAAAUACCUAGGGGAGCUGUUUGACGCAGGAGUCAAGAUAAGGACCAUAAGUAAGAUCAUUGAGUGAUCAUGGUCCAGCUGUUAAGCAAGAGCAAUUCGAGUCAAUGGAGGACCGAUGAGCUAAUAAGCUCCAUAGAUGUGGCAAAGGUAUGAUCUAGCAUUUACUGAUGUAGAUCUAGAUAGAAUGGUUUAGGGGAAUGGAACCUCAGAAUCGUAUGGCUUGGUUUUGGUUUAGGAUUGACCUUUAAGCUAAUUGGUAGUUGAGUAACCUGACCAAGGCUAAGGUGAUUCGACCAGACAAGUGUUAGAUUGGUUUUAGACCAAUGGUUAACUAGAGAAUAUUCCGCUGCGUAUCUGUUGAAAGGAUCUAGGCUAUUAAUGACUAGGUAAGUCUUUAGCUAAGGUCUAAGUUAGCCCUCGCCUUUAGGCGAUAUUAUAAAUAAAGGGCAGAAAUUAAGAGGUUCGGCCAGGAAGUGGACCGAGCGACAUGAGGAAUCGACCGCGGCCUAGGCGGCCGGGAUCGGGUCUUACAGAGUCCAAGGGACACGUCCCUAGGCUUUGGCCGAACAUAACCAAACCGCUAGCCUAGACACGGGUCGGUUAGUCGGAUGAUCCGAUCGCACCAAGACUGGAAGGUUAGGACGAACAGUUGGGAAUGACCCAAAGGGCACGAGUUGUCAAGAGUCAUGAGUGUCCAAAAGGCACGAAUGGCCAAAGGGUGCAUGUUCCAAACGGUGUCUUUCGGGACAGGUUAGGACCGAUCCUUAUGGAUCAGCCUAUGGCUUGUCUAGUUAAGACAAGGUCACGGUUUGUCUAAGCCAAGGUAGAGUCGCAAGGUCUGACCGGUUGCUAAGCCUUCCGGAUUAGGCUGGAGGCUUACUCGGCCGAUUGGAUCCAGGGCUAAGGCCGGAUCAGGUAAGGGAGUCCGUUGGGCCAUUGAGCCGGACUCCAUUGGCCGGUCGCACCUAGAUUCUAUCCGGUUAGACGGAUUGGUCUUUGGGGACGAUCCGGAUCUGUUUGUGUGUUCUGUUUAUCUAUUCUGGACUAUCUAUCUGAUUCUAAGUCAAGGGGUGGUUGGUUGAAUGACUUAGGAUACGGUAGGUAGGUUCAUACGUUUUAUGAUUAUGUCCGUGUGUGUCCGUGUGGGUCCGUCAGCACACACAAAACGUAUGUGUGUGUCCAUCAGCACAAACAGGACGUCUGUGGCUGUACGUCAGCACAGAUAGGACAUUCGUGACUGUCCACCAGUACACAUAUCAGCACGUUGGUCCUUGGACUCAGCAAGAUGACCCUCCCCGUGGACUGUUUGGGUGAUUUUGGCCCACGUGGGCUGUUUUUUCAGUACACACAUGACGUUCGUGGGUGUCCGCAGCACACACAGGACGUCCGUGGCUGUCUGUCAGCACACACAGGACGUCCGUGGCUGUCUGUCAGCACACACAGGACGUCCGUGGCUGUCUGUCAGCACACACAGGACGUCCGUGGCUGUCUGUCAGCACACACAGGACGUCCGUGGCUGUCUGUGGCUGUCCGUGUGUGUCCGUUAGCACACACAGGACGUCUGUGGCUGUCCAUCAGUACACAUAUCAGCACACUGGUCCUUGGACUCAGCACGCUGGCACUUCCCGUGGACUAUUCGGGUGAUUUUGGCCCACGUAGGCUGUCUGUUCAGUACACACAGGAUGUCCGGGGGUGUCCGUUAGCAUACACAUGACGUCUGUACCUGUCUGUGGCUGUCCGUUAGCACACACAAGCACACACAGGACGUCCGUGGCUGUCUGUCAGCACACACAGGACGUCCGUGGCUGUCUGUGGCUGUCCGUGUGUGUCCGUUAGCACACACAGGACGUCUGUGGCUGUCCAUCAGUACACAUAUCAGCACACUGGUCCUUGGACUCAGCACGCUGGCACUUCCCGUGGACUAUUCGGGUGAUUUUGGCCCACGUAGGCUGUCUGUUCAGUACACACAGGAUGUCCGGGGGUGUCCGUUAGCAUACACAUGACGUCUGUACCUGUCUGUGGCUGUCCGUUAGCACACACAGGAAGUCUGUGGCUGUCCGUGUGUGUCUGUCAGCACACACAGGACGUCCGUGUGUGUCCGUCAGCACACACAGGACGCCUGUGUGUGUCCGUCAGCACACACAGGACGUCCGUGUGUGUCCGCCAGCACACACAGGACGUCAGUGGCUGUCCAUCAGUACACAUAUCAGCACGCUGGUCCUUGGACUCAACACCCUAGCCCUUCCCGUGGACUGUUUUGGUGAUUUUGGCUCACGUGGGCUUUCUGUUUAGUACACACAGGACGUCUGUGGGUGUCCGUCAGCACACACAGUACGUCUGUGUGUGUCCGUCAGCACACAUACAUGACGUUCGUGGCUGUGCGUGUGUGUCCGUGUGUGUCCGUCAGGACAGACAUGACAUCCAUGGUCCUUGGACUCAGCAUGCUGACCCUUCCUGUGGUCUGUUCGGGUGAUUUUGGCCCUCGUGGGCUGUCUGUUCAGUACACACAGGACGUCCGUGGGUGUCCACCAGCACACACACGAGGUCUGUGGCUCUCUGCGUGUUCGUGUGUAUUCGUCUGUGUCCGUCAGCACACACAGGACGUCCGUGGCUGUCCGUGUGUUAGUGUGUGUCCGUCUGUGUCCGUCAGCACACACAGGACGUCCGUGGCUGUCCGUGUGUUAGUGUGUGUCCGUCUGUGUCCGUCAGCACACACAGGACGUCCGUGGCUGUCCCUCAGUACACAUAUCAGCACAUUGGUCCUUGGACUCAGCACGCUGACCCUAUCCCGUGGACUGGUCGGGUGAUUUUGGCCCACGUGGGCUGUCUGGUCAGUACACACAGGACGUCCGUGGGUGUCCGUCAGCACACACAUGACGUCCGUCUGUGUCCGUCAGCACACACAAGACAUCCCGGGCUAUUCGUGUGUGUCCAUCAGCACACACCGGACGUCCGUGGCUGUCCAUCAAUACACAUAUCAGCACGUUGGUCCUUGGACUCAGCAUGCUGACCCUUCCCGUGGACUGUUCGGGUGAUUUUGGCCCCCGUGGGCUGUCUGGUAAGUACACACAGGACGUCCGUGGGUGUCCACCAGCACACACAGGACAUCCGUAGCUGUCCGUGUCUGUCCGUCUGUGGCCGUCAGCACACACAUGACGUCCGUGGCGGUCCAUCAGUACACAUAUCAGCACGUUGGUCCUUGGACUCAGCACGCUGGCCCUUCUCGUGGACUGUUUGGGUGAUUUUGGCGCACGUGGGCUGUCUUUUCUGUACACACAGGACAUCUGUGGGUGUCCGCUAGCACAAACAGGACGUCUGUUGCUGUCUGUGGCUGUCCGUUAGCACACGCAUGAUGUAUGUGGCUGUCCGUGUGUGUCUGUGGGUGUCCACCAGCACACACAGGACGUUCGUGGCUGUCUGUGGCUGUCCUUCAGCACACACAGGACGUCUGUGUGUCUCCGUCAGCACAAACAAGACGUCUGUGUGUGUCCGUCAGUACACACAGGACGUCCGUGUGUGUCCGUCAGCACACACAGGAAGUCCGUGGCUGUCCAUCAAUACACAUAUCAGCACGCUGGUCCUUGGACUCAGCACGCUGGCCCUUCCUGUGGACUGUUUGGGUGAUUUUGGCCCACGUGGGCUGUCUGUUCAGUACACACAUGACGUCAGUGGGUGUCCGUCAGCACACACGGACAUCCGUAGCUGUCCGUGUGUGUCCGUCAGCACACACAGGACGUUCGUGGCUGUACGUGUAUGUCCGUGUGUGUCUGUGUGUGUCCGUCAGCACACACAUGACAUACGUGGCUGUCCAUCAGUACACAUAUAACCACGUUGGUCCUUGGACUCCGCACGCUGACCCUUCUUGUGGACUGUUCGGGUGAUUUUGGCCCUCGUGGGCUGUCUGUUCAGUACACACAGGACGUCUGUGGGUGUCUGCCAGCACACACAGGACGUCCGGGGCUGUCCGUGUGUGUCCGUCUGUGUCCGUCAGCACACACAGGACGUCCGUGGCUGUCCCUCAGUACACAUAUCAGCAUGUUGGUCCUUGGACUCUGCACGCUGGCCCUUCCCGUGGACUGUUUCGGUGAUUUUGUCCCAAGUGGGCUGUCUGUUCAGUACACACAGGACGUCCAUGGGUGUCCGCCAGCACACACAGGACGUCCGCGGCUGUUUGUGGCUGUCCGUCAGCACACACAGGACAUCCGUUUGUGUCCGUGUGUAUCUGUCAGCACACACAGGAUGUUUGCGGGUGUCGGUCAGCACACACAGGACGUCCGUGUGUGUCCGUAAGCAUACAAAGGACGUCUGUGGCUGUCCGUGUGUGUCCGUCAGCACACACAGGACGUCUGUGGCUGUACAUCAGUACACAUAUCAGCACGUUGGUCCUUGGACUCUACACGCUGGCCCUUCCCGUGGACUGUUUGGGUGAUUUUGGCCCACGUGGGCUAUCUGUUCAGUACACACAGGACGUCCGUGGGUGUCCGCCAGCACACACAGGACGUCCGUGGCGGUCCAUGUGUGUCCGUCAGCACACACAGGACGUCCGUGGCUGUCCAUCAGUACACAUCAGCACACUGGUCCUUGGACUCAGCAUGCUGGCCCGUCCCGUGGACUGUUUGGGUGAUUUUGGCCCACGUGCGCUGUCUGUUCAGUACAUACAGGACGUUUGUGGGUGUCCGUCAGCAGACACAGGACGUCCGUGUGUGUCCGUCAGCACACACAGGACGUUCGUGUCUGUGCGUGUGUUUCCGGCAGCACACACAUGACAUCUGUGGCUGUCCAUCAGUACACAUAUCAGCACGUUGGUCCUUUGACUCCGCACACUGACCCUUCCUGUUGACUGUUCGGGUGAUUUUGGCCCUCGUGGGCUGUGUGUUCAGUACACACAGGAUGUCUGUGGGUGUCCCCCAGCACACACAGGAUAUCCGUGGCUGUCCGUGUGUUUCCGUCUGUGUCCGUCAGUACACACAGGACGUCUGUGGCUGUCCCUCAGUACACAUAUCAGCACGUUGGUCCUUGGACUCAGCACGCUGGCCCUUCCCGUGGACUGUUUGGAUGAUUUUAUCCCACGUGGGCUGUCAGUUCAGUACACACAGGAUGUCCGUGGGUGUCCGCCAGCACACACAGGACGUCCUGUGUGUGUCCGUCAGCACACGCAUGACAUACGUGGCUGUCCAUCAGUACACAUAUAACCACGUUGGUCCUUGGACUCCGCACGCUGACCCUUCUUGUGGACUGUUCGGGUGAUUUUGGCCCUCGUGGGCUGUCUGUUCAGUACACACAGUACGUCUGUGGGUGUCCGCCAGCACACACAGGACGUCUGGGGCUGUCCGUGUGUGUCCGUGUGUGUCCGUCUGUGUCCGUCUGCACACACAGGACGUUCGUGGCUGUCCCUCAGUACACAUAUCAGCACGUUGGUCCUUGGACUCUGCACGCUGGCCCUUCCCGUGGACUGUUUCAGUGAUUUUGUCCCAAGUGGGCUGUCUGUUCAGUACACACAGGACGUCCAUGGGUGUCCGCCAGAAGACACAGGACGUCCGGGGCUGUUUGUGGCUGUCCGUCAGCACACAAAGGACAUCCGUUUGUGUCAGUGUGUGUCUGUCAGCACACACAGGAUGUUUGCGGGUUUUGGUCAGCACACACAGGAUGUCCGUGUGUGUCUGUAAGCAUUCAAAGGACGUCUGUGGCUGUCCGUGUGUGUCCGUCAGCACACACAGGAUGUCUGUGGCUGUACAUCAGUACACAUAUCAGCACAUUGGUCCUUGGACUCUACACGCUGGCCCUUCCCGUGGACUGUUUGGGUGAUUUUGGCCCACGUGGGCUAUCUGUUCAGUACACACAGAACGUCCGUGGGUGUCGGCCAGAACACACAGGACGUCCGUGGCGGUCCGUGUGUGUCCGUCAGCACACACAGGACGUCCGUGGCUGUCCAUCAGUACACAUAUCAGCACACUGGUCCUUGGACUCAGCAUGCUGGCCCGUCCCGUGGACUGUUUGGGUUAUUUUGGCCCACGUGCGCUGUCUGUUCAGUACAUACAGGACGUUUGUGGGUGUCCGUCAGCAGACACAGGACGUCCGUGUGUGUUCGUCAGCACACACAGGACGUUCGUGUCUGUGCGUGUGUUUCCGUGUGUGUCCGGCAGCACACACAUGACAUCUGUGGCUGUCCAUCAGUACACAUAUCAGCACGUUGGUCCUUUGACUCCGCACACUGACCCUUCCUGUUGACUGUUCGGGUGAUUUUGGCCCUCGUGGGCUGUGUGUUCAGUACACACAGGACGUCCGUGGGUGUCCGCCAGCACACACAGGACAUCCGUGGCUGUCCGUGUGUUUCCGUCUGUGUCCGUCAGCACACACAGGACGUCUGUGGCUGUCCCUCAUUAGACAUAUCAGCACGUUGGUCCUUGGACUCAGCACGCUGGCCCUUCGCGUGGACUGUUUGGAUGAUUUUAUCACACGUGGGCUGUCUGUUCAGUACACACAGGACGUCCGUGGGUGUCCGCCAGCACACACAGGACGUCCGUGGGUGUCCGCCAGCACACACAGGACGUCCGUGGCUGUUUGUGGCUGUCCGUCAGCACACACAGGACGUCCGUGUGUGUCCGUGUGUGUCUGUCAGCACACACAGGAUGUCCGUGGGUGUCCGUGACCACACACAGGACGUCUGUGGAUGUUCGUCAGCACACACAGGACGUCAGUGGCUGUCCGUGUGUGCCCGUCAGCACACACAGGACGUUCGUGGCUGUACGUGUAUGUCCGUGUGUGUCUGUGUGUGACGUCAGCACACACAUGACGUUCGUGGCUGUCCACCAUUACACAUAUCAGUACGUUGGUCCUUGGACUCCGCACGCUGACCCUUCUUGUGGACUGUUUGGGUGAUUUUGGCCCUCGUGGGACGUCUGUUCAGUACACACAGGACGUCUGUGGGUGUCUGCCAGCACACACAGGACAUCCGUGGCUGUUCGUGUGUGUCCGUCUGUGUCCGUCAACACACACAGGACGUCCGUGGCUGUCCCUAAGUACACAUAUCAGCACGUUGGUCCUUGGACUCAGCAUGCUGGCCCUUCCCGUGGACUGUUUGGGUGAUUUUGUCCCAAGUGGUCUCUCUGUUCAGUACACACAGGACGUCCAUGGGUGUCCGCCAGCACACACAGGACGUCCGUGGCGGUCCGUGUGUGUCCGUCAGCACACACAGGACGUCCGUGGCUGUCCCUAAGUACACAUAUCAGCACGUUGGUCCUUGGACUCAGCAUGCUGGCCCUUCCCGUGGACUGUUUGGGUGAUUUUGGCCCACGUGGGCUGUCUGUCAGCACACACAGGACAUCCGUGUGUGUCCGUGUGUUUCUGUCAGCACACACAGGACGUUCGUGGGUGUCGGUCAGCACACAAGGACGUCCGUGUGUGUCCGUAAGCAUACACAGGACGUCCGUGGCCGUCUGUGUGUGUCCGUCAGCACACACAGGACGUCUGUGGCUGUCCAUAAUUACACAUAUCAGCACGUUGGUCCUUGGACUCUGCACGCUGGCCCUUCCCGUGGACUGUUUGGGUAAGUUUGGCCAACGUGGGCUAUCUGUUCAGUACACACAGGACGUCCGUGGGUGUCCGCCAGCACACACAGGACGUCCGUGGCGGUCCGUGUGUGUCCGUCAGCACACACCGGACGUCCGUGGCUGUCCAUCAGUAUACAUAUCAGCACGCUGGUCCUUGGACUCAGCACGCUGGCCCUUCCCGUGGACUGUUUGGGUGAUUUUGGCCCACGUGGGCUGUCUGUUCAGUACAAACAGGACAUCUGUGGGUGUCCGUCAGCACACACUGGACGUCCGUGUGUCUCCGUCAGCACACACAGGACAUUCGUGGCUGUGCGUGUGUGUCCGUGAGUGUCUGUCAGCACACACAUGACGUCUGUGGCUGUCCAUCAGUACACAUAUCAGCACGUUGGUCCUUUGACUCCGCACGCUGACCCUUCCUGUGGACUGUUCGGGUGAUUUUGACCCUCGUGGGCUGUCUGUUCAGUACACACAGGACGUGCGUGGGUGUCCGCCAGCACAAACAGGACGUCCGUGGCUGUUCGUGUGUGUCCGUCUGUGUCCGUCAGCACACACAUGACGUCCGUGGCUGUCCUUCAGUACACAUAUCAGCACAUUGGUCCUUGGACUCAGCACGCUGGCCCUUCCCGUGGACUGUUUGGGUGAUUUUAUCCCACGUGGGCUGUCUUUUCAGUACACACAGGACGUCCGUGGGUGUCCGCCAGCACACAGGACGUCCGUGGCUGUUUGUGGCUGUCCGUCAGCACACACAGGACGUCCAUGGGUGUCCGUCAGCACACACAGGAUGUCUGUGGGUGUUCGUCAGCACACAUGACGUAUGUGGCUGUCCGUGUGUGUCCGUCAGCACGCACAGGACGUUCGUGGCUGUACGUGUAUGUCCGUGUGUGUUCGUGUCUGUCCGUCAGCACACACAUGACGUCCGUGGCUGUCCAUCAGUACACAUAUCAUCACGUUGGUCCUUGGACUCCGCAUGCUGACCCUUCUUGUGGACUGUUCUGGUGAUUUUGGCCCUCGUGGGCUGUCUGUUCAGUACAAACAGGACUUCCGUGGGUGUCCGUGUGUGUCCGUCUGUGUCCGUCUGUGUCCAUCAGCACACACAGGACGUCCGUGUCUGUCCCUCAGUACACAUAUCAGCACGUUUGUCCUUGGACUCAGCAUGCUGGCCCUUCCCGUGGACUGUUUGGGUGAUUUUGUCCCAAGUGGGCUGUCUGUUAAGUACACACAGGACGUCCAUGGGUGUCCGCCAUGUAAGACCCGAUCCCGGCUGCCUAGGCUGCGGUCGAUGCCUCACGUCGCUCGGUCCACUUCCUGGCCGAACCUCUUAAUUUUCGCCCUUUAUUAAUAAUAUCGCCUAAAGGCGAGGGCUAACUUAGAUCUUAGCUAAAGACUUCCCUUGUAAGGCCCGUUCCCGGCUCUUAAGCCCAACCAUGAACUGCGGCCUUAACAUCCGUUCUUAUACAAUGAUUCCGAGUUCCUUUAGGUGAGGUUCGAGUAUAACAUUCAAGACAAACAAACAUAAGGGGCAAACAGAUUGUAUAUAUAUAACAUAAUGAGAUCCAUACAUCAUUCAUAAGUUCAUCUACUAGUUUACACACUUAGUCUAUCAUAAGUUCACAAGUUGCACAAUAGGCUAUCAAUACUACACUCUUAUCAGCAAGGACCCAUUCACCACACAUCUUCCCAUGGCCUGAGACUUCACGGUACCUUUCCUUUACCACGGUCCAAGUCUGGUCCUGAAACCACAUAAAUCACAUCAUGAACACAUAUGGCCGAUAACCUAAGCAACAAGUCUAGAAUGGCAUGGUUCGGCCCUUAAGAACUAGGAUCUGUCCAAUUUGGACAUACACAGAUAAAUUCCCAAAAACUAAAUAAAAUGCAUGACAAUUCAUGAGAAUUCCCAACUAAGAGAUUCCCAUAGUCAGAUCUCAACGGAACCGACCCGGAAUGUGAGAUCCGACCAUAGAUCAGUCCGGCCAAUGCCUAGGACUUUAUCCCUGGACCGGCCAUGGCCUUGGACCAGUGUUCCCUGUCUGAAUCAAUCCAAUAACAUCACAACACACUGUAGAACAGGCGAUCCAGAAGAAGUAAAGAGAAUGGAUGCAUCUGCCAAGAGAACCGGCCGCAAGGCCGCACGGAUCAUCCGCAGGCCCGGGGCCAUUCCUUGCAGUCUACACCACUAACCUUAGGCGUUCUCUCCCCUGGAGGCAAGUCCUUCUCCUUCUCCUUCUCCUUGUCUUUUUGUCUGGUAUCCAUCUUCACGGCCUGGCCUUCCCACACUCAGAACACGCCGGCAAGCCAACACCACCACACACGGUUCUCUUCUCUAACCGCCGGUCUCUCUCUUUCUUUCUUUCUUUUAAGUGUUUGGCAGAGCUUUGCCUAAGGAAUUUCGUGCCAUUUUCUGUGCCAGGGACUCUCUAUUUAUAGAGAAAGCCAACCCCAACUGCCCUGGAGAAAUCGACCAAGCAGUUAAAGAGAAAGGGCACAAAACUGCCCCUUUGCACCUUUUCGGGAGUAACCGCCCAACUGCUCUUCCUUUCCUUUGGGCUGUUCGAAAAUCAGGCCCAUAAUCUUUUCCAGAGUCCCUUGCCCAAGGCCAAGACCCCACGGACCCUGGGUGGUUCAGGCCAAGACCCCUCCAGCCCAUAACCGCCCAUGACCCGGCCAAGCCGGUCCGGACCAUAACACUUCACCGAGCUGAGUUGAGCUGGCCACUAGCUGGCCUCAGCUGAGUAAGCUAACCUAUCAGCUCCAGUGAGCUACCAAGGACCGUAUGAUCUGGUUUCACACUGUCCCCAGCUGGUUGAGCUUGUACCCGACCUUAUCCAGCUGCUAGAUUACUCGGCAAGUCUCCUAAGCUUUCUUCCAUCCAUCCUGGUUAAGGCUCAGCUUCCUGAUAUCCUUAACCUUCUUAUUUGAGCCAUGAUACGCUUGUCAUUAGGCCAAAUGACCUGUCUGGUGCGUCUCCUCGCACCAUGGCUCGUCCCAACGAUCCUACCUAGGAUCGGCGAUGCUACAUCCCUAGUCAUUAAUAGCCUAGAUCCUUUCAACAGAUACGCAGUGGAUUAUUUUGUAGUUAACCAUUGGUCUAAAACCAAUCUAACACUUGGCUGGUCGAAUCACCUUAGCCUUGGUCAGUUUACUCAACUACCAAUUAGCUUAAAGGUCAAUCCUAAACCCAAACCAAGCCAUACAAUUCUGAGGUUCCAUUCCCCUCAACCAUUCUAUCUAUAUCUACAUAAGUAAAUGCUAGAUCAUACCUUUGCCACAUCUACGGGCUUAUUAGCUCAUUGGUCCUCCAUUGACUCGAAUUGCUCUUGCUUGACAGCUGGACCACGAUCACUCAAGGAUCUUACUUAAGGUCCUUAUCUUGAUUCCUGGAUCAAACAACUCCCCUAGGUACUUAGUCAUUCAACCAACCAUCCCCACAGACAUAAGUAAUCUUUGAGAAGUCUUUGAAAGGAUUAGGGUUUGCAUCUGGCCUUUCUCGGCUCAUGCACACUCAAACAUCCCCUUGCCAUAUAGGCAAUAGUACCCAAUCCAUAUUCUGGACUGACAAAUCUCAUUAGAUCCUAAGUCAAUCAACCAACCAUCCUCACAUGACUUGGAACUGAUGAGUCAUCAUCUGGCCUGACCGGCUUUGGGACUUAACCCAAACAACAUAUAUGAUUUGCUCAUACCAAACGAUGCAUUCCUUAAUCAGAUUAGUUCCGACACCUUGAACCAUCAUUCAGAGUUCAGGUCGUCCAUACUCAACCAUGAUCAGAUCUUACACGGCCUUCCUUGAACAAUCACACUUAGGCUCAGUAUCUAUGGUCUACGACUCAUAGUACUAGCCAUACACUGCGUCAUGACUCUUAGCCAAUCUCGAAGCUAUCAACACCAAGGUUGAUAUCUAGAAGCAUCACAUCAAUACUCUUACUCCAGCAACGUGACUAUCCAUACUAGUGCUCGGCCAUCGAACCAUCAUCAUGAAACAUGAUCCGACCACCAGACUUGAUAAGCCAUCGUCUACUUAGCAGGUACUGAUAUAACCGGCCUUCCAUUGCCAUCAUGUGGGUCUACGCCCUACAUAAUGCAUAUGGCGCCUAUCCUACUCACCAACCCAAGGUUUAUUGUAAGAUAUCCCACUUAGCCUUUGCGGCUAAAGCCGUCCAACCAUAGCCGGAUCAUCCAUAGUGUUGUCUAACCGUCUGGUUAAGAUCUAGGUGCGAUCGACCAGUUAUAAGUCGAGCCCAAAGGCUCACGGACCUUCUUACCUGAUCCGACCCAAAGCCUGGAUCCAUACCAGAGAGUAAGGCCCAAGACCAAACCGGAUUGCCUUGCAACCAAUCAGACCUUGCGACACAACACUCCGGUUAAACUAACCGUCCGUCCGUUCGACUAUGCAGCCGCGGACUGUCCACUUGGUUCGGCCUAAGCCUUGAACCAAUGGCACCGUUUGGAACUCACACCCUUUGGGAACUAGUACCCUUUGGACACUCGUGCCUCUUGGCAACUCAUGACCCUUGGCAUCUCGCACCCAUUCAGAUGCUCCAACCGUUCGACCUAACCGUCCAUAUGGACUGUCUGGUCCGUGCGUGUGUCCGGCCUAUGGCCAAAGGACCACGCCUUAACAUACACAAGUCAUGAACCAUUGUGACUGUUCACUGAAGGGUUGAAACCGUUCAGAACAGAACCGCCCCUAUCCAAUCGGAUCACCUGAGGCCGGUUUAGACCAUGCGCGCGCCUAACUUAACGGUUAUGGACCGCGACUUCAUUACUCAACCAGAACCACGGUUAUAACCAAACCCAACACAUCAACAAGGCCAAGCCAAUGUACAGAAGGAGUAGAAGAAGAAUUGGAUGAAACGAAUAAGAAGAAUAGGACACAAUCCAAACGCCCAUGGCUAGACCCGGUUCAGACUGUCCGAUUGUCUUAGCCGAUGAGUCGGUGGUUACCCCACUGACCCUAUCAGACUGAACCACGGCUUUCGAGUCCUUCUACAGACCCUUCUCUACGCCUUGGGUAUUCAUGACACACGGCCUCCUCUCUCCUAAACCGUUCUCCUUGCCGGACAUACAAAACCACCACGACCGGCCCUUUUUCGGCCGAUCUCUUGGCCAGAACUCUCUCUCUCUCUCUCUCUCUCUCUCUCUCUCUCUCUCUCUCUGUCUCUCUACGUUUUUCCAUGAGUAUUUUACUCUGGAAUUGGAUAAUGAAAUCGACCAGAGAGCCCCCAUAUUUAUAUAAAACGAGGGGGUAAGUCUUGCCCCACGAACAGGUAGACUUGCUAGCGAAUGGGCACCAUCGGCCAAGGGUUGUCCCCUUUCGGCCACUUCCAUCCCUUCGCCCUUUCUGAUUGGGUUUGGGGUCGUUCAUAAGCCCAACCCACGCCCCAAGCCUCCUGGACUUAGCCCACGGCCUUGCCCAAAGACCCAACAGCCCAUGGCCUCAUGGCCGGACCUCACAGCCGGCCACUGACCCGGACCCGGACCAUCGGCCUAAAGCCCGAACAGUCCGUCUAGCUGAGGUGAGCUGACUCUCAGCUGCCUCAGCUGGGUGAGCUAGUAGUCCAGAUAGUGGAGCUGACUUAGUAGGGACUGAGCUGGAGUGAACCAAACCUAGCUUCAUUGAGCUGGCCGAGCUACUCGUCUACUUCGUCCAGUUACCGUCUUACUCGUCCUAGCUGUCUCUUAGCUUGUAUAAGGUUAAGUCUAAGUUUCCUUAUGUCCUUAACCAUCUUUCUCGACCAUGGAACGCUUGCCUUGAUGUCCUAAGACUGGCUUGUACGUUUCCUCGAACCAUGGCCGUCCCGACAAUCCUUUCCAGGAUUGGGGGCGUGACAAGUCUCCCCCACUUGUAAUGGAUUCGUCCUCGAAUCCGGUGAUGAUUAUACCUUGUCCCAAGACAAAAUAUUCCAAACAAAAUUAUUCUAGUCUUGAUCAGAGAAUAGAACAAGCUUGAUUAAAACCACCGAAUCACCACUUCGUUGAUCAAUUUUCCUUUGACCAUCGUUGUACAAGUCUCCCCCACUUGAUAAGGAUUUAACCACAAAAAUCCUAUCAAGUGGUCCUUUCUGGUUUCGCUGAUGGCACCCUUACUUGUCUACUUUGCCACAGUCGAGGGUCCAUCAAGCACCCAUUCAAGUGAUACUUGAAAAUCCAUCCAAAGACAUUCCUUGUGUCACUGGCCGAAAUCUCCAGGUUUCGGUCCUAGUAUCCAACAAGUCUAUGUCUUUCCUUUGAAUAGCAUCUUCUUCAGAUUUUAUUCUUUCUCUGAUCAUAGUCCAAGACUAGAUCAUAAUCAGUCCCUAGGAACAUGCUGCAUACUCGAGCCUUAGUAGACUUGGCCAAUCCCCACACCACUCGAUGUACCAGUCAAGUCCUCACGAACUUGUUCUAAUCUUUAGGCUGCUCGUCCUACAACGAGUCCUAACAGAUUAUUAUGGUUCUUUUGUCCUUCAUGGACAAUAAGGCUCAUAACCUCAGCCACAACGUACUGGAUCAUCCCCUUAACCGGCCACAACCUUUUCAGGCUUGGCCACAUUGCGAUCUUUGUCCCUCCAGACUAAAAACGCCUCAGACUUGAUUUCUAUCCUUCACUGGACUUUGUCAUAAUUCGAUCCUGGUCCUUCCUUGGACUCGAUCGUACUCUGGUUCUGGUCCACUCAGGGACUCGACCGUUUCACCCCGACCAUAGGUCAAUCUCCGAAUAGGUCGUGGGCUGAUCCUCGUCCUUUUUUUUUUGGACUUGAUCAUUCUCAACCUUAGGUCAAACUCCGACUUGGUUGUACUGCGACCAUGGUCCUCUCUCGGACGUGGUCAACUUCGGCUCUGCCAUCUCAGUCGGAGCCGAAAGAAACAGACUCUAGGACAGUGGUGCUGUCCCUGGUUCCAGUUCAAUCAUAAAUGGAUCCGACCUACCAGAGGGGAGACUCUGUAGCGAACGGAACACAUCUGGGAACUCAGACACCAAUGGGUCCUCAAACAGAUCUUUUAGAUCACCAGAAUUUGCCGCGCUCCAUAGUGGUAAUUGUGGUCAAAAAAAUACUUCACAAUCCCGUCUAAGCAUCUGAUCCACACGGAAUGCUGACACCACUACUUUCCUUAAAGCCGGACUCAGACAAUGGAUCUCGAUACCAACGAGAUCCCAGACAGAUCAACAGAAUUGCCGUGCUCCGUAGUGGUAGUUGUGGUCAAAAAUACUUCACAACCUGUCUAAGCAUCCAAUUCACUUGGACUACUGACACCCCUACUUUCCUUAGAGCCGGACUCAGACUCAGACUUUGGUACUGGAUCGGGUGAGCUCCAGUCUCCAAUUGCACACGAACUUUGUGGCAAUCGAGAGUGGUCCGAUACUUUCCCAACCAGAUUCAUGCCUAGGAUCAUCUCGUGAUUCUGUAGGCGCAUGGAUAUUUUUCUCGAUCAGAUAUACAGGCAGAUUUCUCUCCUGGAUCCACACCGGGAUAUUUUUCAUGAGCCCUAGUGAAUGCAUAAUUUGCCCACCGGCUGCCCUCACUAGUCUCGAAUAAUCCCAAGAACUCAGACAGAACAGACUCUUUCCGACCAGUCCCGGACUCACAAAACUAUGUGUAGCCUCUGUGUCGAAAAGUACGUGUGUUUCCACACCACAAAUCCACUUGUGGAAACUAUCUCAGUGCAUGACCACACCACAAAGAACGUCCCAUAACAUCCCUCAUGGCAUUGCCAAUAACUUCAAUACUUCCAGUUCCAGUGGAUACCUAGAUGAGUAAGAUCUCGGUUUGACCACACACUUGGAAAACGUCCCAUACCAUUCUCCAAGGCGUCUUACUUUUGCGAAUGCUCACACCAUUCACAAGAGAAAUUUUAAUAUACCUCAAUCCCCAUUAUACUAAGGUAGUUAAGAUCAUGUUCUUACAUUGAUUGGAACGAACAUCAUGAGUUUCCUCAUUCUUUCCUUGGACAGAUUCAGAUUGGAAUUGAUUCAUUCCAUCUUACUAGAUCUAAGGAAACCUACCUUGACUUAUACCGAGUCCUAGCUGAUCCAUCUGAUCACAAGUCCACUCGUGUACUGGUCAUGUAGUGUCUCCUUUGAGUCAGAUAUAACAUUGCAUAUGCUUUAUUUAUUAUGAACGGCCAUCAAGGGAUAACACUUAACUUCAGUAGAAUGCUGCACCUUUAUUUCAACCUAAGCCACUCUCUGGUUCAUGUUACUUCCCUUGUUUAGGUCAUCCAUAAACAAGUCUUGCAUUGCUUCCAUCCCUUCCAACCCGUCUAUUACUUAUAAAUACUAGAUCGACCAACCUUUCUGUUUUUAGGUUCUUGGCCUUGGAAAAUGUAUCUUGGCUAAGCUGGUUCAUCUUAGAAUUCCCACAUUUACAAGCAUGAUACCCUAGCUAACCUCAACUGUUUCUUGGCUCACCCCAACUAAGGUUUCAUAGUCAUCAUAGUUUUGGAAAUAACUUCGGUAUGGAACACAACAUCUUAGAGCGUUGUCCUAAACAGGAUCAAGCAUGCUCUGAUACCAACUUGUAAGACCCGAUCCCGGCAGCCUAGGCCGCGGUCGAUGCCUCACGUCGCUCGGUCCACUUCCUGGCCGAACCUCUUAAUUUUCGCCCUUUAUUUAUAAUAUCGCCUAAAGGCGAGGGCUAACUUUGAUCUUAGCUAAAGACUUCCCUAGUCAUUAAUAGCCUAGAUCCUUUGAACAGAUACGCAGUGGAUUAUUUUGUAGUUAACCAUUGGUCUAAAACCAAUCUAACACUUGUCUGGUCGAAUCACCUUAGCCUUGGUCAGUUUACUCAACUACCAAUUGGCUUAAAGGUCAAUCCUAAACCCAAACCAAGCCAUACAAUUCUGAGGUUCCAUUCCCCUAAAACAUUCUAUCUAGAUCUACAUAAGUAAAUGCUAGAUCAUACCUUUGCCACAUCUACGGAGCUUAUUAGCUCAUUGGCCCUCCAUUGACUCGAAUUGCUCUUGCUUGACAGCUGGUCCACGAUCACUCAAUGAUAUUACUUAAGGUCCUUAUCUUGAUUCCUGGAUCAAACAACUCCCCUAGGUACUUAGUCAUUCAACCAACCAUCCCCACAGACAUAAGUAAUCUUUGAGAAGUCUUUGAAAGGAUUAGGGUUUGCAUCUGGCCUUUCUCGGCUCAUGCACACUCAAACAUCCCCUUGCCAUAUAGGCAAUAGUACCCAAUCCAUAUUCUGGACUGACAAAUCUCAUUAGAUCCUAAGUCAAUCAACCAACCAUCCUCACAUGACUUGGAACUGAUGAGUCAUCAUCUGGCCUGACCGGCUUUGGGACUUAACCCAAACAACAUAUAUGAUUUGUUCAUACCAAACGAUGCAUUCCUUAAUCAGAUUAGUUCCGACACCUUGAACCAUCAUUCAGAGGUCAGGUCGUCCAUACUCAACCAUGAUCAGAUCUUACACGGCCUUCCUUGAACAAUCACACUUAGGCUCAGUAUCUAUGGUCUACGACAUACACUUCGUCAUGACUCUUAGCCAAUCUCGAAGCUAUCAACACCAAGGUUGAUAUCUAGAAGCAUCACAUCAAUACUCCUACUCCAGCAACCUGACUAUCCAUACUAGUGCUCGGCCAUCUAACCAUCGUCAUGAAACAUGAUCCGACAACCAGACUUGAUAAGCCAUCGUCUACUUAGCAGGUACUGAUAUAACCGGCCUUCCAUUGCCAUCAUGUGGGUCUACGCCCUACAUAAUUCAUAUGGCGCCUAUCCUACUCAUCAACCCAAGGUUUAUUGUAAGAUAUCCCACUUAGCCUUUUCGGCUAAAGCCAUCCAACCAUAGCCGGAUCGUCCAUUGUCCCGUCUAACCGUCUGGUUAAGAUCUAGGUGCGAUCGACCAGUUAUAAGUCUGGACCAAAGGCUCACAGACCUUCUUACCUGAUCCGACCCAAAGCCUGGAUCAAUACCAGAGAGUAAGGCCCAAGACCAAACCGGAUGUCCUUGCAACCAAUCAGACCUUGCGACACAACACUCCGGUUAAACUAACCGUCCGUCCGUUUGACUAUGCAGCCGCGGACUGUCCACCUGGUUCGGCCUAAGCCUUGAACCAACGGCACCGUUUGGAACUCACACCCUUUGGGAACUAGUACCCUUUGGACACUCGUGCCUCUUGGCAACUCAUGACCCUUGGCAUCUCGCACCCAUUCAGAUGCUCCAACCGUUCGACCUAACCGUCCGUAUGGACUGUCUGGUCCGUGCGUGUGUCCGGCCUAUGGCCAAAGGACCACGCCUUAACCUACACAAGUCAUGAACCAUUGUGACUGUUCAGGGAAGGGUUGCAACCGUUCAGAACAGAACAGAACAGAACCGCCCCUAUCCAAUCGGAUCACCUGAGGCCAGUUUAAACCAUGUGCGCGCCUAACUCGACGGUUAUGGACCGCGACUUCAUUACUCAACCAGAACCACGGUUAUAACCAAUCCCAACACAUCAACAAGGCCACGCCAAUGUACAGAAGGAGUAGAAGAAGAAUUGGAUGAAAAGAAUAAGAAGAAUAGGACACAAUCCAAACGCCCAUGGCUAGACCGGUUCAGACUGUCCGAUUGUUUUAGCCGAUGAGUCGGUGGUUACCCCACUGACCCUAUCAUACUGAACCACGUCUUUCGAGUCCUUCUCCAGACCCUUCUCUACGCCUUGGGUAUUCAUAACACACGGCCUCCUCUCUCCUAAACCGUUCUCCUUGCCGGAGAUACAAAACCACCACGACCGGCCCUUUUCCGGCCGAUCUCUUGGCCAGAACUCUCUCUCUCUCUCUCUCUACGUUUUUCCAUGAGUAUUUUACUCUGGAAUUGGAUAAUGAAUGACACGUUCAGUACACACAGGACGUGUCACGCCCCCAAUCCUUAAUAGGAUUGUUGGGACGGCCAUGGUUCGAGGAAACGUGCAAGCCAGUCUUAGGACAUCAAGGCAAGCGUUGCAUGGUCGAGAAAGAAGGUUAAGGACAUAAGGAAACUUAGACUUAACCUUAUACAAGCUAAGAGACAGCUAGGACGAGUAAGACGGUAUCUGGACAAAGUGGACGAGUAGCUCGGCCAGCUCAAUGAAGCUAGGUUCAGUUCACUCCAGCUCAGUCCCUACUAAGUCAGCUCCACUAGCUGUACUACUAGCUCACUCAGCUGAGACAUCUGAUAGUCAGCUCAUCUCAGCUAGACGGACUGUCCGGGCUUUAGGCCGAUGGUCCGGGUCCGGGUCAGUGGCGGGCUGUGAGGUCCGGCCAUGAGGCCAGGGGCUGUUGGGUCUUUGGACAAGGCCGUGGGUUAAGUCCAGGAGGUCUGGGGCGUGGGUUGGGCUUGUGACUGACCCCAAACCCAAUCAGAAAGGGUGAAGGGAUGCAAGUGGCCAAAUGGGGACAACCCUUGGAUGAUGGUGCCCACUCGCUAGCAAGUCGUGCCUGUUCGUGGGGCAAGACUUACCCCCUCGUUUUCUAUAAAUGUGGGGGCUCUCUGGUCGAUUUCAUUAUCCAAUUCCAGAGUAAAAUACUCAGAGAAAAACGUAGAGAGAAAGAACGAGAGAAAGAGAGAGUUCCGGCCAAGAGAAAGGCCGAUUGUGGUGGUGUUGUGUUCCGGCGACUCUGAUCAUUUGAGAACUAACUCCGGUCAAGAAUGGGAGAUCAAGACAAGGAGAAGAGCAUGGAGAACCCAGACGUGGUUCACAAGGUAUGUGAUGGGCCGUGGCUCCAUCAGACCGAACGGACGGUCCAUGCGACCGCACCGCGGCUCUGCUCGGUUCCUAAGUCCCAUCCGGCUCUCCUUAUCUGUUUCAAUUCGUUUCUCUUCUCUUCUCUCUGGUUAAACACGAAAGGUUGUGUUGGUUGAGUCCAAGGGACACGUCCCUAGACUUUGGCCGGACAUAAUCAAACCGCUAGCCUAGACACGGGUCGGUUAGUGGGAUGAUCCAAUCGCACCAUGACUGGGCGGUUAGGACGAACGGUUGGGAAUGACCCAAAGGGCACGAGUUGUUAAGAGUCAUGAGUGUCCAAGAGGCACGAAUGGCCAAAGGGUAAAUGUUCCAAACGUUGUCUUUCGGGACAGGUUAGGACCGAUCCUUAUAGAUCAGCCUAUGGCUUGUCUAGUUAAGACAAGGUCACGGUUUGUCUAAGCCAAGGUAGAGUCGCAAGGUCUGACCGGUUGCUAAGCCUUCCGGAUUAGGCUUGAGGCUUACUCGGCCGAUUGGAUCCAGGCCUAAGGCCAGAUCAGGUAAGGGAGUCCGUUGGGCCAUUGAGCCGGACUCCAUUGGCCGGUCGUACCUAGAUUCUAUCCGGUUAGACGGAUUGGUCUUUGGGGAUAAUCCGGAUCUGUUCGUGUGUUCUGUUUAUCGAUUCUGGACGAUCUAUCUGAGUCUAAGUCAAGGGGUGGUUGGUUGAAUGACUUAGGAUACGGUAGGUAGGUUCAUACGUUUUAUGAUUACGUUGACUGAGGUUUAUCUAAGUUCUAGGAACCAAGCGAAGCAUUGUAGAAUCAAUCCGUUCUAUUCUCGGUUAUGAUUAAUGCUUAUCUGGUUGUGGUUUCAGGAACUAAGGAUGGUUCUGGUCAAGCCAAGGAGCCGUGAAUGCUCGUUCAGUGAGAGGCUGUGUAACGUGUGGUUAGAUGAUGCUAGGGAUGAACUAGUGAUUGUCUAUGAGACUGUUAAGAAGUUGUGUAUUGAAUCUCAUGUUUCUAAGUAAUACAAAGUUUAUACAUUAUUAUUCCGCUGUGCAAUCUAUCCCUUUGCUUAUGAACCUCAUAUUCGAAUAUGACUUAGUAAAGAAAAGACUUAGAAUUAAUCAGACAAGCAAAGAAAUUAAUAAGUAAGCAUUCGUAUCCUGUUGGGUCAAGAGACCAGGAACGGGUCUUACAAGUUGGUAUCAGUCCAUGCUUGAUUCUAGGAUAGUUGGGUUAUGUAGUCCACACACACACACACGCAGCCAGCUGAUUAUGUCUCACGGUGAGGUUUGAUUGCUUAGUCUAGGGAUUGUUUUGUUCUGUUUUUGGUUAGUAUGUUUUGUACUAACAUUGUCUGAAUCCUUAGGCUGGAAAAAGCAAAUCGGGAAAGCCCGAAGAAGUAAGAGAAUGGCCGGUCAGUCUAGCCAAGUGGCCAUGGACGGAACUAAUCUGUCCGGUUUGCAAACCGAUCCGGCCGCGGCUAACGCUGAAGAUGUGUUGCCAACUGAUCAGGCUAACCUUACGGGGACGCAACGGGAUGGUCAGGAACAUCAGGAGAGUGAUGAGGAAGUGGAAUCCUCGAAUGCUAACCGUGAUGGUGGCCAGCGUGAGAAAGUGGCCAAUGGUACGGCCAAUGUAACCGCAACACUGUCCAAAGAGGACUUGUUAGAGGCCAUGAAGGUAAUGGGGACUCAAGUGGCGGCUAUGGCCCAACUGUUCACGCCAAGAGUGAACUCCUCGGUUGGCCAAGCUAUGCCUGUGGCUACGACCGCCCCCAACACCAAUGGUCCAGUUGUGGAAACGGUCGAGGUGAUCGAGAUUGAUCCACCAGAAAGGACUGGGAAAAAGGUGGACUAUCUGAGUUUGCUUCAGCACAUCUCCCGUCUAGGGACGAAUCAUUUCUCAGGAAGCACCGAUCCUAUUGAGGAAGACGAGUGGAGGAGUAGGCUAGUCCGAAACAUCAGCUCAACUCGUUGUCCCAAGGAUUACAAGAGAGACAUUGCGGUUCACCUCCUGGAAGGGGACGCGCAUAAUUGGUGGCUGGCUGUGAACAAGCGCACCAAUGGAUGUCUCCAGAGUUUUGCGGAUUUUGAAGAUGAAUUCAACCGCAAAUACUUUCCUGCAGAGGCUUGGGACCGUCUGGAACGUAGAUUCCUAGACCUUACCCAAGGCCGCAGGGCCGUACGUGAGUACGAAGAGGAGUUCAACCGGCUCCGACGGUUUGUUGGAAGGGAACUUGAGGACGAGACAGUCCAGGUUCGUCGGUUCAUUCGAGGCUUAAGGCCGGAGCUGAGAACCCACUGUUCAAUCCGCACCUUCAGCACCGUCGGAGAGCUGGUUGAACGUGUAGCUCUUUUGGAGUCUAACUUGGCUGAAGAAGCCAAGCAUAAGACGAAGUCGCAGUCUGUCCCGACGGGUAAGACUAACGACCGAAAGAGGAAGUGGGACCAGGUUGACGGAGGCAAGGCCUCUAGUGGACGACUUGAAUGUCCCAAGUGUGGUAAGAACCAUCCAGGUGAAUGCUGGAAAGCCAUGGGAGCUUGUGUGAGAUGUGGCAGCUUGGAUCAUUCCAUCCGAGAUUGCACUCGACCAAGCCGGACUCAGGGCCAAUCCAGUGGCAGCGACUCUCGGACUUGUUUCCAUUGCGGCCAAAACGGACACUUCCAAAGUGAAUGCCCUAAGCGGCAAGGAGGACAAAGGAAGGGUCGUGGAGACACGGGAAAGUCGACCCAGAGCAGGCCGACCACAACACCAAGGGUGUAUGAGCUGUCCCGAGACGACGACGCUUCUGGAUCUUUUGAUUCGAUCUCUGGUAAUUUCUGAAUUUAUCUAUUACAUUCAAUAGAAUGCUUGGUCUGGAACCUAGAGUGGCUAGGGGAUUCUGAUGUGGGUCUCUUAUAGGGACCAUCAUGACUGGUGGUGUUGAAACCCACGUACUUUUCGACACAGGGGCUACACAUAGUUUUGUGAGCCCGGAACUGGUCGGAAAGGGUCUGUUCUGCCUCUGUUCUGGGGAUAAUUCGAGACUAGUGAGGGCGGCCGGUGGGCAAAUCAUGCACUUACUAGGGCUCAUGACUAAUAUCCCGGUAAUGAUCCAGGAGAAAAAUCUGCCUGUAGAUCUGAUUGUGUUGUGCCUACAGAAUCACGAUGUGAUCCUAGGCAUGGAUUGGUUGGGAAAGUAUCGGGCCACUCUCUACUGCCACAGAGGAUGUGUACGGUUGGAGACUGGACCUCACCCGAUCCAGUACCAAAGUCUGAAUAUGAGUCCGGCUCUGGAUAGAGUAGUGGUGUCAGCAAUCCGAGCAUAACGGAUGCUUAGACAGGGUUGUGAAGCAUAUUUGACCACAAUUACCACUAUGGAGCACGGCAGGUCUGAUGAUCAGAAAGAUCUAUCUGAGGACCCGUUGGUGUCUGAGUUCCCAGAUGUGUUCCGUUCGCUACAGGGUGUCCCCCCUGAUAGGUCGGAUCCAUUUACGAUUGAACUAGAACCAGGGACAGCUCCGCUGUCCAAGAGUCCGUAUCGAAUGGCUCCGGCCAAGAUGGCCGAGCUAAAGAAGCAAUUAGAAGAAUUGCUAAACAAGGGGUUCAUACGUCCAAGUAGCUCUCCUUGGGGUGGACCAGUCCUCUUUGUGAAAAAGAAGGAUGGUAGCAUGCGUCUGUGUAUUGACUAUCGAGGGUUGAACUGGGUUACUGUGAAGAACAAGUACCCGUUGCCCAGAAUAGACGAGUUGUUGGAUCAACUCAAAGGAGCCAAGUAGUUUUCUAAGAUUGAUUUGGCCUCAGAGUAUCAUCAGAUCCCUAUAGAGCCAAACGAUAUUAGAAAGACAGCAUUCCGGACCAGGUACGGCCACUACGAGUUUGUGGUUAUGCCAUUCGGUCUGACCAAUGCGCCUGCUGCAUUCAUGAAAAUGAUGAACAGUGUGUUCCGAGACUUCCCGGACGAAUCAGUGAUCAUCUUCAUUGAUGAUAUCCUGAUUUACUCCAAGGAUGAGGAAUCUCAUCGGAAACACCUGAGAGCCGUGCUGGAACGAUUAUGGGAACGCAAGCUCUAUGCAAAACUCAGUAAAUGCAGUUUUUGGCAGAAGAGCAUUGGGUUUCUCGGCCACAUUGUGUCCGGUGAGGGCGUCUCGGUGGAUCCAGAGAAGAUCAGGGCAAUCAAGGAUUGGCCUCGACCACGCAGUGCCACGGAAGUCAGAAGCUUCCUAGGGCUGGCAGGUUAUUAUAGAAAGUUUGUGAAAUGAUUCGCAAGCUUGGCUCAGCCUAUGACACGGUUGACCGGGAAGGACGUUAAGUUCACAUGGUCUGAAGAGUGUGGGAAAUGUUUUUCCGCGCUUAAGAAAAAGCUGAGUAGCGCACCCAUUUUGGUUCUUCCAGAGGCUGGCCAACCCUAUGAAGUUUAUACGGACGCGUCCAUAACAGGACUAGGUUGGUAUUAACCCAGCAUGGGAAGGUCAUCGCCAAUCCGUCAAGGCAGUUGAGAAAACAUGAGGGAAAUUACCCCACCCAUGACCUUGAAAUGGCUGCAGUAGUGUUCGCCUUAAAUAUUUGGCGAUCAUACUUGUAUGGUGCCAAGGUUCAGAUACUUACGGACCAUAAGAGUCUUAAGUAUAUAUUCACCCAGCCUGAGUUAAACUUAAGGCAGAGAAGGUGGAUGGAGUUUGUAGCUGAUUACGAUCUGGAUAUCACCAAUCAUCCGGGAAAGGCUAAUCUGGUCGAAGAUGCCUUGAGCCGGAGAAGGGCCGACGUAUCAGCCGAACGAGAAGCGGACGACCUGGACGGUACGGUUCGUGCCCUACGGUUGAACGCAUCAACCAAAGAGUCUGAACCACUCGGAUUAGAGGCGGUCAAUCAGGCUGACCUGCUUACCCGAAUUCGGUUGGCUCAAGGUCAGGACGAGAACCUGAACAAGGUUGCUCAGAAUGAUAGGACGGAGUACGAAACUGCAAAGGAUGGUACCAUCCUAGUAAACGGUCGGAUCAGUGUUCCUAAUGAUAGAAGUCUAAAGGAAGAGAUUAUGAGGGAGGCUCAUAAGUCCAGAUUCUCGGUUCAUCCUGGUGCGACCAAGAUGUACCAGAACAUUAAGAAGUUCUAUCAUUGGAUCCGUAUGAAGGCAGAUGUCGCGGAGUGGGUGGCCAAGUGUUCCACUUGCCAACUCAUCAAAGCAGAACAUCAAGUGCCUAGUGGGUUAUUGCAAAGGUUUCCUAUUCCGGAAUGGAAAUGGGAUCACAUCACAAUGGACUUUGUGACUGGGUUCCCAACCACGAGGAGUAAGAAAGAUGCGGUUUGGGUUGUGGUUGAUCGCCUGACCAAAUGAGCACACUUCCUGGCAAUCAAAAAGUCAGCUGAGGUAGAUCAGAUUGUACGUAAGUACAUUGAUGAGAUCGUCCGACUACAUGGUGUGCCGGCAAGCAUAGUUUCAGAUAGGGAUUCAAGGUUCACAUCUUACUUCUGGAGGGCUUUCCAAAAGGCUUUAGGAACAUGAGUGAACAUGAGUACAGCCUAUCACCCACGGACGGAUGGACAGUCUGAACGAACGAUCCAGACAUUGGAAGAUAUGGUGCGAGCAAGUGUUCUAGACUGGGGUGAUUCCUGGGAGAAACAUCUACCUCUGGUAGAAUUUGCUUACAACAAUAGCUUCCAUAGUAGUAUUUGCAUGUCGCCAUACAAAGCUCUGUAUGGGCAUCAAUGCAGGACACCCUUAUGCUGGACCCAAGUUGGGGAACGUAGCAUGAUUGGUCCGGAGAUUGUCGAAGAGACAACCGACAAGAUCAAGUUCUUGAGGGACAAGAUGAGACAGGCACAAGACCGCCAAAAGAACUAUGCAGAUCAAAAAAGGAAAGAUCUCGAGUUUCAAGUAGGUGACUUGGUGUAUCUAAAAAUGAUUACCUUCAAAGGACGAGUCCGGAUUUCCGGAAGACGGAAGUUAGAUCCGAGAUACUUGGGGGUGUUCAAGGUCAUUGAAAGAGUUGGGAUGGUGGCCUACAAGUUGGACUUGCCGACCAAGAUGGACGCAUUUCAUAAUGUGUUCCACGUCUCCCAACUUCAGAAAUGUUUGAUGGACCAAGACAUCGCUCUUCCUGCCAUUCCAGACGAUCUUGGUAAGAACCUAACCUUGGAAACGAGGCCAGUUUGAAUCAUAGAUAGGAUGGAAAAAGCAAUAAGGAAGAAGACGGUCCAGAUGGUCAAGGUCGUCUAGGACUGUAAUGGUCAGGAUAUAAUCACUUGGGAAACCGAAGCUAGAAUGAAAGCAAAGUACCCAGAGUGGUUGGAUCAGUUUGUUUCCGAGGAAGCAUUCGAUUCGGAUUCAAGGACGAAUCCAUCCUAAGGGGGGGGAGACUUGUCACGCCCCCAAUCCUGAAUAGGAUUGUUGGGACGACCAUGGUUCUAGGAAACGUGCAAGCCAGUCUUAGGACAUCAAGGAAAGCAUUCCAUGGUCGAGAAAGAAGGUUAAGGACAUAAGGAAACUUAGACUUAACCUUAUACAAGCUAAGAGACAGCUAGGACGAGUAAGGCGGUAACUGGACAAAGUGGACGAGUAGCUCGGCCAGCUCAAUGAAGCUAGGUUCAGUUCACUCCAGCUCAGUCCCUACUAAGUCAGCUCCACUAGCUGGACUACUAGCUCAUUCAGCUGAGACAGCUGAGAGUCAGCUCAUCUCAGCUAGAUGGACUGUCCGGGCUUUAGGCCGAUGGUCCGGGUCCGGGUCAGUGGCGGGCUGUGAGGUCCGGCCAUGAGGCCAUGGGCUGUUGCGUCUUUGGACAAGGCCGUGGGCUAAGUCCAGGAGGCCUGGGGCGUGGGUAGGGCUUGUGACCGACCCCAAACCCAAUCAGAAAGGGCAAAGGGAUGCAAGUGGCCGAAAGGGGACAACCCUUGGCCGAUGGUGCCCAUUCGCUAGCAAGUCGUGCAUGUUCGUGGGGCAAGACUUACCCCCUCGUUUUCUAUAAAUAUGGGGGCUCUCUGGUCGAUUUCAAUAUCCAAUUCCAGAGUAAAAUACUCAGAGAAAAACGUAGAGAGAAAGAAAGAGAGAAAGAGAGAGUUCCGGCCAAGAGAAAGGCCGAUUGUGGUGGUGUUGUGUUCCGGCGACUGAUCGUUUGAGAAGUAACUCCGGUCAAGAAUGGGAGAUCAAGACAAGGAGAAGAGCAUGGAGAACCCAGACGUGGUUCACAAGGUAUGUGAUGGGCCGUGGCUCUUUCAGAACGAACGGACGGUCCAUGCGACCGCACCGCGGCUAUGCUCGGUUCCUAAGUCCCAUCUGGCUCUCCUUAUCUGUUUCAAUUCGUUUCUCUUCUCUUCUCUCUGGUUAAACACGAAAGGUUGUGUUGGUUGAGUCCAAGGGACACAUCCCUAGACUUUGGCCGGACAUAAUCAAACCGCUAGCCUAGACACGGGUCGGUUAGUGGGAUGAUCCGAUCGCACCAAGCCUGGGCGGUUAGGACGAACGGUUGGGAAUGACCCAAAGGGCACGAGUUUUCAAGAGUCAUGAAUGUCCAAGAGGCACGAAUGGCCAAAGGGUACAUGUUCCAAACGUUGUCUUUCGGGACAGGUUAGGACCGAUCCUUAUGGAUCAGCCUAUGGAUUGUCUAGUUCUUUCGGGACAGGUUAGGACCGAUCCUUUGUCUAGUUAAGACAAGGUCACGAGUUAAGACAAGGUCACGGUUUGUCUAAGCCAAGGUAGAGUCGCAAGGUCUGACCGGUUGCUAAGCCUUCCGGAUUAGGGUUGAGGCUUACUCGGCCGAUUGGAUCCAGGCCUAAGGCCGGAUCAGGUAAGGGAGUCCGUUGGGCCAUUGAGCCGGACUCCAUUGGCCGGUCGCACCUAGAUUCUAUCUGGUUAGACGGAUUUGUCUUUGGGGACGAUCCGGAUCUGUUCGUGUGUUUUGUUUAUCUAUUUUGGAUGAUCUAUCUGAUUCUACGUCAAGGGGUGGUUGGUUGAAUGACUUAGGAUACGGUAGGUAGGUUCAUACGUUUUAUGAUUAUGUUGACUGAGGUUUAUCUAAGUUCUAGGAACCAAGCCAAGCAUUGUAGAAUCAAUCCGUUCUAUUCUUGGUUAUGAGUAAUGCUUAUCUUGUUGGGGUUUAAGGAACUAAGGAUGGAUUUGGUCAAGCCAAGGAGCCGUGAAGACUCGCUCAGUGAGAGGCUCUGUAACGUGUGGUUAGAUGAUGCUAGGGAUGAACUAGUGAUUGUCUAUGAGACUGUUAAGAAGUUGUGUAUUGAAUCUCAUGUUUCUAAGUAAUACAAAGUGUAUACAUUAUUAUUCCGCUGUGCAAUCUAUCCCUUUGUUUAUGAACCUCAUAUUCGAAUAUGACUUAGUAAAGAAAAGACUUAGAAUGAAUCAGACAAGCAAAGAACAGGAAUCAAGUUAGGUUGAGAGACCAGGAACGGGUCUUACAGGACGUCCGUGGAUGUCCGCCAGCACACACAGGACGUCUGUGGCUGUCCGUGUGUGUCAGUCUGUGUCCGUGUGUGUCCGUCAGCACAGCACACACAGGACGUCUGUGGCUGUCCGUGUGUGUCCGUCAGCACACACAGGACAUCCAUGGCUGUCUGUGUGUCCGUCUGUGUCCGUCAGCACACACAGGACGUCCGUGGCUGUCCCUCAGUACACAUAUCCGCACGUUGGUUCUUGGACUCAGUAUGCUGGCCCUUCCUGUGGACUGUUUGGGUGAUUUUAUCCCACGUGGGCUGUCUGUUCAGUACACACAGGACGUCCGUGGGUGUCCGCCAGCACACACGGGACGUCCGUGGCUGUCCGUGUGUGUCCGUCUGUGUCCGUCAGCACACACAGGACGUCCAUGGCUGUCCCUCAGUACACAUAUCAGCUCGUUGGUCCUGGGACUCAGCAUGCUGUCCCUUCCUGUGGACUGCUUGGGUGAUUUUGUCCCAAGUGGGCUAUCUGUUCAGUACUCACAGGACGUCCGUGGGUUUCCACCAGCAAACAGGACGUCCGUGGCGGUCCGUGUGUGUCCGUCAGCACACACAGGACGUCCGUGGCUGUCCAUCAGUAUACAUAUCAGCACGCUGGUCCUUGGACUCAGCACGCUGGCCCUUCCCGUGGACUUUUUGGGUGAUUUUGGCCCAUGUGGGCUGUCUGUUCAGUACACACAGGAUGUCUGUUGGUGUCCGUGAGCACACACAGGUCGUCCGUGUGUGUCUGUCAGCACACACAGAACAUUCGUGGCUGUGCGUGUGUGUCCGUGUGUGUCUGUCAGCACACACAUGACGUCUGUGGCUGUCCAUUAGUACACAUAUCAGCACGUUGGUCCUUUGACUCCGCACGCUGACCCUUCCUGUGGACUGUUCGGGUAAUUUUGGCUCUCGUGGGCUGUCUGUUCAGUACACACAUGACGUCUGUGGGUGUUCGCCAACACACACAGGACGUACGUGGCUAUCCGUGUGUGUCCAUCUGUGUCCGUCAGCACACACAGGACGCCCGUGGCUGUCCCUCAGUACACAUAUCAGCACGUUGGUCCUUGGACUCAGCACGCUGGCCCUUCCCGUGGACUGUUUGGGUGAUUUUAUCCCACGUGGGCUGUCUGUUCAGUACACACUGGACGUCCGUGGGUGUNNNNNNNNNNNNNNNNNNNNNNNNNNNNNNNNNNNNNNNNNNNNNNNNNNNNNNNNNNNNNNNNNNNNNNNNNNNNNNNNNNNNNNNNNNNNNNNNNNNNNNNNNNNNNNNNNNNNNNNNNNNNNNNNNNNNNNNNNNNNNNNNNNNNNNNNNNNNNNNNNNNNNNNNNNNNNNNNNNNNNNNNNNNNNNNNNNNNNNNNNNNNNNNNNNNNNNNNNNNNNNNNNNNNNNNNNNNNNNNNNNNNNNNNNNNNNNNNNNNNNNNNNNNNNNNNNNNNNNNNNNNNNNNNNNNNNNNNNNNNNNNNNNNNNNNNNNNNNNNNNNNNNNNNNNNNNNNNNNNNNNNNNNNNNNNNNNNNNNNNNNNNNNNNNNNNNNNNNNNNNNNNNNNNNNNNNNNNNNNNNNNNNNNNNNNNNNNNNNNNNNNNNNNNNNNNNNNNNNNNNNNNNNNNNNNNNNNNNNNNNNNNNNNNNNNNNNNNNNNNNNNNNNNNNNNNNNNNNNNNNNNNNNNNNNNNNNNNNNNNNNNNNNNNNNNNNNNNNNNNNNNNNNNNNNNNNNNNNNNNNNNNNNNNNNNNNNNNNNNNNNNNNNNNNNNNNNNNNNNNNNNNNNNNNNNNNNNNNNNNNNNNNNNNNNNNNNNNNNNNNNNNNNNNNNNNNNNNNNNNNNNNNNNNNNNNNNNNNNNNNNNNNNNNNNNNNNNNNNNNNNNNNNNNNNNNNNNNNNNNNNNNNNNNNNNNNNNNNNNNNNNNNNNNNNNNNNNNNNNNNNNNNNNNNNNNNNNNNNNNNNNNNNNNNNNNNNNNNNNNNNNNNNNNNNNNNNNNNNNNNNNNNNNNNNNNNNNNNNNNNNNNNNNNNNNNNNNNNNNNNNNNNNNNNNNNNNNNNNNNNNNNNNNNNNNNNNNNNNNNNNNNNNNNNNNNNNNNNNNNNNNNNNNNNNNNNNNNNNNNNNNNNNNNNNNNNNNNNNNNNNNNNNNNNNNNNNNNNNNNNNNNNNNNNNNNNNNNNNNNNNNNNNNNNNNNNNNNNNNNNNNNNNNNNNNNNNNNNNNNNNNNNNNNNNNNNNNNNNNNNNNNNNNNNNNNNNNNNNNNNNNNNNNNNNNNNNNNNNNNNNNNNNNNNNNNNNNNNNNNNNNNNNNNNNNNNNNNNNNNNNNNNNNNNNNNNNNNNNNNNNNNNNNNNNNNNNNNNNNNNNNNNNNNNNNNNNNNNNNNNNNNNNNNNNNNNNNNNNNNNNNNNNNNNNNNNNNNNNNNNNNNNNNNNNNNNNNNNNNNNNNNNNNNNNNNNNNNNNNNNNNNNNNNNNNNNNNNNNNNNNNNNNNNNNNNNNNNNNNNNNNNNNNNNNNNNNNNNNNNNNNNNNNNNNNNNNNNNNNNNNNNNNNNNNNNNNNNNNNNNNNNNNNNNNNNNNNNNNNNNNNNNNNNNNNNNNNNNNNNNNNNNNNNNNNNNNNNNNNNNNNNNNNNNNNNNNNNNNNNNNNNNNNNNNNNNNNNNNNNNNNNNNNNNNNNNNNNNNNNNNNNNNNNNNNNNNNNNNNNNNNNNNNNNNNNNNNNNNNNNNNNNNNNNNNNNNNNNNNNNNNNNNNNNNNNNNNNNNNNNNNNNNNNNNNNNNNNNNNNNNNNNNNNNNNNNNNNNNNNNNNNNNNNNNNNNNNNNNNNNNNNNNNNNNNNNNNNNNNNNNNNNNNNNNNNNNNNNNNNNNNNNNNNNNNNNNNNNNNNNNNNNNNNNNNNNNNNNNNNNNNNNNNNNNNNNNNNNNNNNNNNNNNNNNNNNNNNNNNNNNNNNNNNNNNNNNNNNNNNNNNNNNNNNNNNNNNNNNNNNNNNNNNNNNNNNNNNNNNNNNNNNNNNNNNNNNNNNNNNNNNNNNNNNNNNNNNNNNNNNNNNNNNNNNNNNNNNNNNNNNNNNNNNNNNNNNNNNNNNNNNNNNNNNNNNNNNNNNNNNNNNNNNNNNNNNNNNNNNNNNNNNNNNNNNNNNNNNNNNNNNNNNNNNNNNNNNNNNNNNNNNNNNNNNNNNNNNNNNNNNNNNNNNNNNNNNNNNNNNNNNNNNNNNNNNNNNNNNNNNNNNNNNNNNNNNNNNNNNNNNNNNNNNNNNNNNNNNNNNNNNNNNNNNNNNNNNNNNNNNNNNNNNNNNNNNNNNNNNNNNNNNNNNNNNNNNNNNNNNNNNNNNNNNNNNNNNNNNNNNNNNNNNNNNNNNNNNNNNNNNNNNNNNNNNNNNNNNNNNNNNNNNNNNNNNNNNNNNNNNNNNNNNNNNNNNNNNNNNNNNNNNNNNNNNNNNNNNNNNNNNNNNNNNNNNNNNNNNNNNNNNNNNNNNNNNNNNNNNNNNNNNNNNNNNNNNNNNNNNNNNNNNNNNNNNNNNNNNNNNNNNNNNNNNNNNNNNNNNNNNNNNNNNNNNNNNNNNNNNNNNNNNNNNNNNNNNNNNNNNNNNNNNNNNNNNNNNNNNNNNNNNNNNNNNNNNNNNNNNNNNNNNNNNNNNNNNNNNNNNNNNNNNNNNNNNNNNNNNNNNNNNNNNNNNNNNNNNNNNNNNNNNNNNNNNNNNNNNNNNNNNNNNNNNNNNNNNNNNNNNNNNNNNNNNNNNNNNNNNNNNNNNNNNNNNNNNNNNNNNNNNNNNNNNNNNNNNNNNNNNNNNNNNNNNNNNNNNNNNNNNNNNNNNNNNNNNNNNNNNNNNNNNNNNNNNNNNNNNNNNNNNNNNNNNNNNNNNNNNNNNNNNNNNNNNNNNNNNNNNNNNNNNNNNNNNNNNNNNNNNNNNNNNNNNNNNNNNNNNNNNNNNNNNNNNNNNNNNNNNNNNNNNNNNNNNNNNNNNNNNNNNNNNNNNNNNNNNNNNNNNNNNNNNNNNNNNNNNNNNNNNNNNNNNNNNNNNNNNNNNNNNNNNNNNNNNNNNNNNNNNNNNNNNNNNNNNNNNNNNNNNNNNNNNNNNNNNNNNNNNNNNNNNNNNNNNNNNNNNNNNNNNNNNNNNNNNNNNNNNNNNNNNNNNNNNNNNNNNNNNNNNNNNNNNNNNNNNNNNNNNNNNNNNNNNNNNNNNNNNNNNNNNNNNNNNNNNNNNNNNNNNNNNNNNNNNNNNNNNNNNNNNNNNNNNNNNNNNNNNNNNNNNNNNNNNNNNNNNNNNNNNNNNNNNNNNNNNNNNNNNNNNNNNNNNNNNNNNNNNNNNNNNNNNNNNNNNNNNNNNNNNNNNNNNNNNNNNNNNNNNNNNNNNNNNNNNNNNNNNNNNNNNNNNNNNNNNNNNNNNNNNNNNNNNNNNNNNNNNNNNNNNNNNNNNNNNNNNNNNNNNNNNNNNNNNNNNNNNNNNNNNNNNNNNNNNNNNNNNNNNNNNNNNNNNNNNNNNNNNNNNNNNNNNNNNNNNNNNNNNNNNNNNNNNNNNNNNNNNNNNNNNNNNNNNNNNNNNNNNNNNNNNNNNNNNNNNNNNNNNNNNNNNNNNNNNNNNNNNNNNNNNNNNNNNNNNNNNNNNNNNNNNNNNNNNNNNNNNNNNNNNNNNNNNNNNNNNNNNNNNNNNNNNNNNNNNNNNNNNNNNNNNNNNNNNNNNNNNNNNNNNNNNNNNNNNNNNNNNNNNNNNNNNNNNNNNNNNNNNNNNNNNNNNNNNNNNNNNNNNNNNNNNNNNNNNNNNNNNNNNNNNNNNNNNNNNNNNNNNNNNNNNNNNNNNNNNNNNNNNNNNNNNNNNNNNNNNNNNNNNNNNNNNNNNNNNNNNNNNNNNNNNNNNNNNNNNNNNNNNNNNNNNNNNNNNNNNNNNNNNNNNNNNNNNNNNNNNNNNNNNNNNNNNNNNNNNNNNNNNNNNNNNNNNNNNNNNNNNNNNNNNNNNNNNNNNNNNNNNNNNNNNNNNNNNNNNNNNNNNNNNNNNNNNNNNNNNNNNNNNNNNNNNNNNNNNNNNNNNNNNNNNNNNNNNNNNNNNNNNNNNNNNNNNNNNNNNNNNNNNNNNNNNNNNNNNNNNNNNNNNNNNNNNNNNNNNNNNNNNNNNNNNNNNNNNNNNNNNNNNNNNNNNNNNNNNNNNNNNNNNNNNNNNNNNNNNNNNNNNNNNNNNNNNNNNNNNNNNNNNNNNNNNNNNNNNNNNNNNNNNNNNNNNNNNNNNNNNNNNNNNNNNNNNNNNNNNNNNNNNNNNNNNNNNNNNNNNNNNNNNNNNNNNNNNNNNNNNNNNNNNNNNNNNNNNNNNNNNNNNNNNNNNNNNNNNNNNNNNNNNNNNNNNNNNNNNNNNNNNNNNNNNNNNNNNNNNNNNNNNNNNNNNNNNNNNNNNNNNNNNNNNNNNNNNNNNNNNNNNNNNNNNNNNNNNNNNNNNNNNNNNNNNNNNNNNNNNNNNNNNNNNNNNNNNNNNNNNNNNNNNNNNNNNNNNNNNNNNNNNNNNNNNNNNNNNNNNNNNNNNNNNNNNNNNNNNNNNNNNNNNNNNNNNNNNNNNNNNNNNNNNNNNNNNNNNNNNNNNNNNNNNNNNNNNNNNNNNNNNNNNNNNNNNNNNNNNNNNNNNNNNNNNNNNNNNNNNNNNNNNNNNNNNNNNNNNNNNNNNNNNNNNNNNNNNNNNNNNNNNNNNNNNNNNNNNNNNNNNNNNNNNNNNNNNNNNNNNNNNNNNNNNNNNNNNNNNNNNNNNNNNNNNNNNNNNNNNNNNNNNNNNNNNNNNNNNNNNNNNNNNNNNNNNNNNNNNNNNNNNNNNNNNNNNNNNNNNNNNNNNNNNNNNNNNNNNNNNNNNNNNNNNNNNNNNNNNNNNNNNNNNNNNNNNNNNNNNNNNNNNNNNNNNNNNNNNNNNNNNNNNNNNNNNNNNNNNNNNNNNNNNNNNNNNNNNNNNNNNNNNNNNNNNNNNNNNNNNNNNNNNNNNNNNNNNNNNNNNNNNNNNNNNNNNNNNNNNNNNNNNNNNNNNNNNNNNNNNNNNNNNNNNNNNNNNNNNNNNNNNNNNNNNNNNNNNNNNNNNNNNNNNNNNNNNNNNNNNNNNNNNNNNNNNNNNNNNNNNNNNNNNNNNNNNNNNNNNNNNNNNNNNNNNNNNNNNNNNNNNNNNNNNNNNNNNNNNNNNNNNNNNNNNNNNNNNNNNNNNNNNNNNNNNNNNNNNNNNNNNNNNNNNNNNNNNNNNNNNNNNNNNNNNNNNNNNNNNNNNNNNNNNNNNNNNNNNNNNNNNNNNNNNNNNNNNNNNNNNNNNNNNNNNNNNNNNNNNNNNNNNNNNNNNNNNNNNNNNNNNNNNNNNNNNNNNNNNNNNNNNNNNNNNNNNNNNNNNNNNNNNNNNNNNNNNNNNNNNNNNNNNNNNNNNNNNNNNNNNNNNNNNNNNNNNNNNNNNNNNNNNNNNNNNNNNNNNNNNNNNNNNNNNNNNNNNNNNNNNNNNNNNNNNNNNNNNNNNNNNNNNNNNNNNNNNNNNNNNNNNNNNNNNNNNNNNNUCCGUGGCUGUUUAUGGCUGUCCGUCAGCACACACAGGACGUCCGUGUGUGUCCGUGUGUGUCUGUCAGCAGACACAGGAUGUCCAUGGGUGUGCGUCAGCAGUCACAGCACGUCCGUGUGUGUCCGUCAGCAUACACAGGACGUCCGUGGCUGUCCGUGUGUGUCCGUCUGCACACACAGGAAGUUCGUGGCUGUCCAUCAGUACACAUAUCAGCACGUUGGUCCUUUGACUCUGCACGCUGGCCCUUCCUUUGGACUGUUUGGGUGAUUUUGGCCCACGUGGGCUAUCUGUUCAGUACACACAGGACGUCCGUGGGUGUCCGCCAGCACACACAGGACGUCUGUGGCUGUGCGUGUGUGUCCGUCAGCACACACAUGACGUCUGUGGCUGUCCAUCAGUACACAUAUCAGCACGUUGGUCCUUGGACUCAGCACGCUUACCCUUCCCGUGGACUGUUCGGGUGAUUUAGGCCCACGUGGGCUGUCUGUUCAGUACACACAGGACGUCUGUGGGUGUCCAUCAGCANNNNNNNNNNNNNNNNNNNNNNNNNNNNNNNNNNNNNNNNNNNNNNNNNNNNNNNNNNNNNNNNNNNNNNNNNNNNNNNNNNNNNNNNNNNNNNNNNNNNUUUGUGUGUUGUGAGGAAGAGAGUUGUGGGAAAUGACAUAUAUAUAGAGAAAUUUUCGAGUUGGGUAGUUGAAAAAUAACAACGAUUUUACAAGGAAUAUUUUACAUGGAUUUUACAUGGUUUUAACAUAUUAUUUACAACGAAUUUACGACGAAAUUAGGUAAGUUAAAGCACAUUGAAUACACGUUUUCACCUAAAUAUAACGGUAACAUGAUUCGUUGUAAUGUCGAUGUAAAGUUUACUUUUCGACGUACUUGCGUCGUAAUAUUACAUGGCGUUUACGACGAAAUUUGGUUUCGUUGGUUUCGUCGUAAUUGCGUUGUUAAGCCACCAGUUACUAUUUCUAAGACGACGAUAAGGAACCUGUGUCGUUCGUCUGUCUGCCAAUUCAGUGGAAUGACAAGGAGAAAGUGGACGGAAGUGCAGCUGGUUUGUACUUGAGAGGAACCUUUGACGAUGGUUGGAGGUUCCUUUCAAGUAUAAACCAACUGCACUUCCGUCCACUUCUCCUUGUCGCUCCACUGAAUUGGCAGACAGACGAAUGACUCAUGUUCCUUAUCGUCAUCUUCGAAAUAGUAAUUGGUGGCUGAAUGAGGAACAUAGUCUAAACGCCAUCAGGUUCGAGAGGAAGAGAGUUGUGUGUUGUGAAGAAGAGAGUUGUGGGAAAUGACAUAUAUAUAUAGAGAAAUAUAACAAUGAUUUUACAAGGAAAUUUUUACAUGGAUUUUACAUGGAACAUUUACAACGACUUUACAACGAAUUUAGGUAAGUUAAAGCACAUUGAAUGCACGUUUUCACCUUUAUAUAACGGUAACAUGAUUCGUUGUAUUGUCGAUGUAACGUUUACAACUAUUUCGCAUUCCACGUACUUUCGUCGUAAACUUACAUUGACUUUACGACGAAAUUUUUUCGUCGUAAAUUACCAUGGAGUUUACGACGAAAUAAUGUCUCGUCGUAAUUGCGUUGUAAAGCCCAUGUAAAGUUACGAGGAAAUAAUUUCGUCGUAAACCGCCGUUGUUACUGCUACGUUUUCUUGUAGUGCAUUUCCUAUAAACAUAAAAUAAUGAUAGUAUUACAUUACAGGAUAUAAGGUUUGGAAUUUUUAAUAAUGAUAUAAUUGGAAAAUACUUCACCAAUUAGGCCACCAAUCCACCAUUAUAAUACUUUUACUAUAUUUUUCUAACAAUUAAUCUAUGAAUGAUUCUUUUACGUAGUGGCCCGUACAACAUGGCCUUUAUCACAGAUUCACAAUUCACGUUCUUCUUUUUCUUGUACGCAUUAGUAGAUUAUUAUUUUCUGUUUAUUUAUGCCAGCAGUUAUAAGUUUUUUUCUGUACCAAAUUCAAAUGAUUGAUUACUUUUUCCUUCCUAAAAAAGACAUCCAGAGUAUUUUUCAGGGAUAAGUAGGUUUGUAUAAAUCCGUACAUUUUCAUGAUUUAAUAUAAAUAAAUUCAUAGAAAAAAUCAUAUAAAAUUGAAUUGCUACUAACUUCCCUGGAGAGAAACAAACAUGUAUGAUUGAGCCCCUAUGAAUACUUGAGAAAAUAUAAUUAACCGGAAUAAAACAAGCUGGCUUUUAUUCCCUGAUCUUCUACAACAUGCCUCUGAUCAAUAAUGAUGUUCAUGAUUGUAAUUAGUUUUAGAUGAUUAUUCGAUAAUAGUAUAUUACAUCUAUAAUAUAUAUUUAUAUAUGUGAUACACAUCCCCAAUCUAUUUAUUAUAUAUUUACAUAUAUGAUACACAUCCCCAUUUCCGUUUUAUUUUAAUCUGAUCCUGCGUUUGCUUUUGCUUGAUCUGAUUUCCAAUGUCUUCAAGAUUUGAUUUGCUGUUUUACAAAAUGGAUAGAUGCGUUAAAAGUUGUGACAAGAUAGGAUGAUGCAUUAAGUGGCUACAAACUAAGAAAAUCAUCUCUUUUAGUUUAUACUAUUAUUCCACUAAGUUCACAACUCUCAAGCCCAAAUUAUCUUAUAAUGUAUAUUGGGCUACUAAUACUUUGAGACCAACACACAUUUUCUAGUAAUGGUUGUGGAAAUGGAUAGCUCAAAUGGUAACUAAUGGAUAGAUCAAAUGGUAACUAAAUCAAAUAGUCUGCAAGUGUCUUUUUUCUUUAGCUAUUUAUCUCCAGGUUUCCCUCUCUUUCAUCUGGCUAAGCACGAUUAUUAGGGGUUCUUAGAUUGGAGUUUUUAGCGGAAUAUAAGAACCCGUCUCUUAACUUUUAACUAAAAAAAUUAAGAACCGGUUCUUAAAAGUCUUAUUUAAGAACGGUUCUUAAGUUUUUUUAGUUAAAAGUUAAGAGACGGAUUCUUAUAUUCCGGUAAGAGCUCCAUCUUAAGAACUCGCAAUAAUCAUGCUCUAGCGACGUCGUCUGUCCUUGCAUGUGACGGAAGUUUCUAAAUAUAGUACAUUAUUGAUGUUUCAUGAUCUUUCUAUUGUUUGAUUUUGGUGUUUUGUGAUUCAAAAGAUGAAGACUUUGUUCUGUAGAGCGAUUUUUUUAAAUUAAAAAUCGUUACAUACAGAUAUGACCAGUUAUGGGCAUAGUCGGAUGAGAAUACGUCUUGACUUUCCAAAUUUUAAACACUAUUAUACAUAUGUCGCAUGGAUAUCAAAUUAUUUAAAAUAAUUUUAAAAUGUCUAUGAUCUUUUAAAUCUCAGAUCUAGCUCUGUACAGAUUCAAUAAACUUGCGUUGAUACUUCACAUUUUUGUUAGUUUUUUGGUAUUGUUUCUUUAGCCACGCAUACGUUUUCCAAAAAAUGGCUCAACGACGUUCAUGGUAUGUCUUUUGUUCUAUGUUAUAUCUUAUGAUAUGUAUAAAAAAUAAUCAGUGUAUUUUUAUAAAAAAAAUAAUAUUGCCCAAGAAAGCUUUACUCAAGCAGAUUUUUUUUUUUUGUUACCAGCUCAACAGAGACAUUUCUAAAAAAUGGGUUCCACGAAUGAGAGUUUAUUCCACAUGUGGGAAACAUGAUUCGAACAUCAACGCCUGAAGAUGAUGUCGGAUCUAUGGCGAAUGACUAAGCUAAACAACACUGACAUUGAAAGUCACGAUAUACAUUAUCAUUAAGUCGAUCUCCAAGCGACAUACAAAUAAAAUUAGUAGCUAAUGUACAGUGUUUCAUGGAAUGGAAGAGUUGAUAUUGAUCAUUAAUUAAGGGUCGACAUACAAAAAAGAAAUUAAAGGUUCUAAUUAAUUUUGCUUUGAAUAUAUGCUAUGUUUAGAGCUGUCUUGUAUUAAAAUAAACCAAAAUAUAGUUCACAGCCAUCAAAGAGAAAGAAACCACUCAGAAAAGCCAAUAAUUUCGGUGUAAUUAAGCUCUAGCAAAUUGAUAUUACUGCUGUGUUUUUUUCUAUAGAAAAAAAUACAUUGAACCAAUGAUAUUUUGUCGUCACUAUGGAAUCCAUGUCAUAGACAUAAGCUAAUACGGAUUUAGCAAAUUCUCUCUUGAUUUCAAAGCUAGUUAUGAUUCAUACUCUCUAUCCAAGAAGGUUUUUGUUAUUUGUCAGAUCACCAAUCGAGUCUAUAAGAUUUUGGAAAUUAUAUUUUGUUUUCUUUUAGUUUUGGAAUGUAUAUAUACAUGUAAACCAAUGAAUCUGCCGAGAUAAAAAGAUAUUUAGGAGCACAUCCCUUGUGGGACGAGGCAGCAUAAUAAUUUGUCUGGUGAAGUAUUUUAAAAUGCAAACAGCCACAUAACUUUUCGUUAACAUAUCUUCACGAUUUUAUUCCGCACAUCUUCAAAUCUGAUGCGUCUUUGAUAUAAGUUAUUCUUAUGCUUGAUAGUGAAAAUUAUAGACAUGUUCUAUAACUCGUGUGUUCUAAACAUAUAUGAGUUGCUUAAUACACAAAAAUAUACUACGUACAUGCAUGUAUAUAUAUAUGCGAAUUUACGUAUACAAUUUAAAUUUUCUUUAACAUUUCCAUCCUGCUUUGUUUUCAACUUUCAAUUAAUUGAAAUGGUUUGAAAACUAGCUAUACUAUUGUUUUUUACUUAUUGAUCUGCUAUGGCUAUCCAUCCUUAUAUAUAUAUAUGAUGGUUCUACUACUGAAUUUGAAAUUGAGUGUAUUUAAAUGUUCAAAUUUACCAUAAUAAGUUAAUAACAGUCUCUUGAUUAUUUUAUUUAUUAUGUGAUGUAUAAACUGUAUACAUUUAUUAAUGAAUUCAAUAUAUUGCUCGAUGAUUGAUUCAGCUUUUUGAAGUUCCUUUCAGUAGUAACUAAUAAGAAUAUAAAGGAGCACUAAAAAGUCUCGAGUUAUGUAUUUGAUUCAAAGUUCCUUUUAGUAGUAACUAAUAAAUGAACUCAAAAUACGAACCAAGCCACACUUCCCGUCUAAGAACGUCGCGACCAAAGUUUGACUCUGUUAAGCAAUUCUUGUCGAUAUAUCUAUUUUACUUUAUUAUCGAUCGUUUUGUAUUUGAUUCCUCAAAUAUUAGCAAGGAAAGAUUCAAAGUAGUUAUUCUUCUAAAGCAUAUAUUUACUUUGCAAUAGAAUUAGAAUGAUAGACUCAUGCAUUGAUGGUAAAAUAGAAACUGAGCCAUCGAUUCAAAUUGAUGAAGCUGUUAUUUUUUAUUGUCUGAAACAAACCGCGUUAUUUCAUAUGAUCUUAAAAAUAUGUAAUUUUGUUGAACAAAAAAGAAGAAGUAAAUUUGUGUUUUUUUUUUGAAACAUAAGUAACUUUGUAUACAGUAAACAUACUAAAUAAAAAAGGUUAUAGAUAUACCUAACUUAUAUCAUGUGUUUUUCAUGCUUAUUGGUUGUAAUUUGUAAAUAGUUGUUGAUUGUAUUGUUCUGUACAUGAUCAGGUUGUAUAUAACAUCUAAAUUGAUAUACUAUAAACUAGUAUAAAGUAUUUGGUUCAGCCUCUGGUUUAAGACUAUCUUACAAUGUGUAUAUAAACUCCCAGUUGUACAUUUUGCCUAAUUAAUGAAAACAAGAUUUAUUUGGUAAAAUGUAAUAAUUGAGGGUUUAUGUUAAAGUAGAAGUAAAAAAAGUUUAUGAGAAGAAUUCUGAAAGUAAUAGCUAGGACUCCAACGUUUUGGAAGAUAAGUGGAGUGGGUGAAAUGAACACACAAAAACCUAAUAAAUAAGUAAUGACAAAGGAUUGAAAUGGUUAAAGGUCGGCCUCAUGUCCUCUCUUGUCUCAUAUGAUAUGGUCCUCGUCAGAUUUCACUCAUUUUAUUUUUGCUAAAUCAUUAUGUAUAAGUUAUGUAAAAAAAAAGACUUAUUGCGCUAUGUUCGAGUUUUUUUUAUUGUUUAACUUUUUAGUAGUAUCUCAUAAAUUGAAGAAACUUGAAGUUAUUCAUAAAUAAAUACCAAUGGUCUGAUUUCGUGUUUGAAAAUACUUAUUUGUAAGGAUAGAAGGAAAAUUAUGGUUUUCGAUGACAUCAAUCAGUGUAAGAAAUAACAAGGAUUGAAAUAUCUAUAAGAAAAUUUGGAUUUUGAUUAUAAUUUCAGAAUAAUCCUUCAAAUACUAAAUCAUUGUUACAUUACAGCAUUUUCCAAUCGAUUAUUUUUUACUUCCUAACCCGAUGAAACUUUGUGGAAACAUUUUAGCAAAAAAUAAAACAUUGUGAAAUUUUUUUUUUUUUCAUUGUGAAAACUUUAUCCAAAUAAGAAGCAUUGAGAUAAAACAACAGUAUAUGUCGGAGUCAGCGGAUAUUAGGAAAGUAAAUGCGACUUUGAAUAAAUUUCAAAGCUUUAAUUUAGAAAACAGUUAUACGUACGUGUCGUGCAGUGUUGCAUGUACUAAUGUAUACAUACAUACAUCAUAUCUCUACUCUCUGAAAUUUCAACAUAAACAACGUAUAUAUUUAAAUUAGAAGUUUAGAAUAUAUAUAGCUAGCUAGAGAGUGAAAUAAUCAACAAUGUUAGAGACAAUUUUAAUAAAAUGUUCUUAUAUUAAAACAAACAGUUGUAGUGUGAUUUUCUUAUCGUUACCUUACUUGACUGCAUAUACGUGAUUAAUAUAGGCCUUAAUUAUUCAAAAUUACGACUAAAAAUAAAUGAUCGAAGAUAGAAAUCAAAAGCGUGCAAGAUUUAUAAAAGUAUGAUGGGCUCCAACUAGAAAUCACUUAUUAACAAGAUAAAAAAGAAGAAGAAGAGAGAUCAGAUAACUUUAGAAACCAACAAUGGCGAACAAAAGGACAAACUAUCAACGUCAUCCCUCUUCUUCAUUUCCCACGUGCUUCAAAUUUUCAUUUCAAUAAUUUUUUUUUGUAUUUAUCAUUUUUUCUUAUAAAUAGGGUAUUUUUCUUCUCCAAAUCUUCGAACAAGUCAUACAUAAAGAGGCGUUAUAAAACCUACCAAAAAUAUUUCGAGCUUUGAUAUAAGUCUUGAACUAAUAAUGGAAUGGAGAGAGUGUUAUUUAGAUGUGAUCUUGGUGCCGCCAGGGAUAAUGGUAUAUGCUACUUACCACGUUUACUUGUGGUACAAGUUACGUACACAGCCUCUCACCACCAUCAUCGGUACCAACGCUAGAGCUCGCCGUUUCUGGGUCGCUUCUAUCAUCAAGGUAAUAUUUAAACAUGUAUACAUCUAUACGUAUCCAUACACGUAUAUGUAACUAUAUGUAUUUGGAUAAAUUAGGACAACGAGAAGAAGAACAUCUUGGCCGUUCAGACGCUAAGAAACUGCAUAAUGGGAUCAACAUUAAUGGCCACAACGUCGAUUCUUCUCUGCGCGGGUCUAGCCGCGGUUAUAAGCAGCACGUACGCAGUAAAGAAGCCUCUAAACGACGCCGUUUACGGAGCUCACGGGGAGUUCAUGGUGGCUCUCAAGUAUGUCACAAUCCUCACCAUCUUCCUCUUCUCCUUCUUCUCUCACUCUCUCUCGAUCCGGUUCAUCAACCAAGUCAACAUCCUCAUCAACACUCCUUUUCCUCCAGAGGAGUUGGAUGAGGAGAUGAUGGUAACGCCGGAGGAGUACGUGGCGGAGUUGCUGGAGAGAGGAUUUGUUUUGAACACGGUGGGUAAUAGGUUGUUCUAUGCGGCGUUGCCUUUGAUGCUUUGGAUAUUUGGACCGGUGCUUGUGUUCUUGUGCUCGGUCAUGAUGGUUCCUCUUCUUUAUAACCUCGAUUUUUUCUUCUUUGGUAAACAAAGGAAAAAAAUCGAUGGAAAAACUAGUUGUGGAAUUGUGUAGUACCGAGUUUGAGUUGGUCGAGCAAGUGAUGGUGAAUAAGUGAUCGAUGAUUCAAUAAAACAUGACACAAUUGCAGAUUUGGAAGAUUAGUUUAGUUUUCGACUUAAGAUCGUUUUGUUCAAGCGACUUUCUGAGUAUAUUAUGCGUAGAGUAGUGUAUUAAUCAUGGUCAUAUAGCAUUUGAUUAGGGCUUAUGGAGCGUUAGAUGAUGAAAGAGUAUGAGUUACAUCAUGGGAACUUUAAGAUAUAUUAUUGUAUUGGAGUAUGUUUGUUGUGUCACGUUUUGGUUUGUUGAGAUUUGAGCGUUAUUAUUGGCGUUUCCAUGUGGGUAACUUUAUAAUGUAUACGCGUAUGAUUAUGUUAUAUGUGUGCGUAUUUUCUGUUAUAAUUCACGUGACAUACGUCUAGCAAGAAAAUGUGAAGUGUACAUAUUGAUUCCGUGCAUUAGUAUCACUCUGAGUUAGUUGUCAUGUGUCGGGACCAGUCGUCACGAUCGAGCUAUAUAUAUCCUCACAAUAUACAACAGUUUUUUAAAAGGGUUAAUAUACAACAGUUUUUUCUGCAUAUAGUAUGAAACCAUAAUGAUUAAAACUGCUAACUACAUAGUAUCAGAGUUUUUUUUUCUUUUUUUAAUCAGCUCUUACCGAGUUGUGGAAGCCCAUGCAUGUUCAGAUGAAACUAAAAUUGUUUGUUAAUGAACUUUUUUUGUUCUUUAAAAAAAAAAUUAUAAGUUGGAUCAGUUCAGUCCAAGAAAAGAUGUUUCUCACAGCAAAAAUUUACAGUUUUGCAUUGGAAAAUUAUGUGGUUAUUGAUGUGCCUUAGUUUGAAUAGCCAAAGGGGGUCACUAAAUAUUAAUGUGGCCAAAAUAACCAGUCAUGGUAACACACUAUAUAUGGCUAAUUAGAAAGUAAUAAAAUAAUGUCAACUAAUCCACAAAAUAUAUACAAAUAAACAUUUGGCUGGACGACAGUAGAUUAUAUGUGGCCAUCCAUGGUCAAAGAGUUGCUUGGUAACACACAAGCUCCACGGCUAACAACCGCUAAUUCACAACUGAUAAAAAUUGAUGUCUAUUUAGAUACACAAACACAUACAAAUAAACAAUGAUUAUAAUUGGCAAUGAGCAUACCAUGAAAUAAUACGGCUAAAUUUGUCCUCAAAGUGGCAUGUUUGCAUUCUCAAGUAUGUGAUUGAUAUGAAUGUUUGCUUCUAAAUUUGUAACCUCAAGAUUAAAGAAUGAACAUCUUUCCUAGAGAAUACAAAAGCUAUAGCUAUAAGUCAAAUAUCAGAUAGUUGUCAUGUUCUGCAAUUAGAGUAACAAUGACAAAGUGACUAGCAUGUUCUGCAACUAAGGUCAUCCACAACACUUGGCAAAUUAAGAUUUACAAAUGUGAUAAAUCUCUCUCAUCCGAGAGCACAAUUCUCUCAUCUCUCCUUACUAUUAUGUUUUUUUAUGUUUUUAUUUUUAUUUUCUGAAAACAACAAUGAGAGGCUUACCCUUAUGGAUAGUCUAAGAAUCGAUAUGAAUAAUAUGUUAUUCAAUGUUCAUUUAUGGCUGAGUAUAUGAUUUCUUUUUUAUGUUGAGAUCAUGUUCAACUGUUGUUCAAAAAAGAUCAUAUUGUUCAAUUUAUUUUCGAAUCUGUUUUUGCAAUAGUAUUUGGAACUAAAUCUACUCAAAUUCAACUGUACUUAUUAGUAGAAUAAACAUAAUUUCUUUAUUUUACUUUUUAUUCAAAUGAAUGAUAUUUUAGAAAAAUAUAUGGAAAUAUUAUAAAAAAAUAUUUUGAAAAAUAGCAAAAUAAUUUUAUUCAAAAAUUUGAUAAGAAGAAAAAUAUGUUAUUCACUGUUGCAAAUUUAUAGAUCUUUAAUAUCGUCACUAAGAACAUGAUUAUUGGGAAGUUCUUAGGGUGAUGUUCUUGGCAGAAUAUAAGAACCCAUCUCUUAACUUUAACUAAAAAAAGCUAAGAACCGGUUUUUAAAUAUCUUAUUUAACUAAAAAAAGGAAAAAUCCGGCUCUUAACUUUUAACUAAAAAAAGCGAAAAACCCGGUUCUUAACUUUUAACGAAAAAAAUUAAGAACCGGCUCUUAAAUAUCCAAAAAACUAAGAACUGUUUCAAGUUAAAAACUUCACCCUAAAAAUUUUCCGAUAAUUAUGCUCUAAGAUUUGAUGUUUUAAUAUAGCCAUUUGGAUUUUUGCCACGUCAUUAAUGUAAAAAAAAAAACAUAGAAGUAGAUAUGGUGAUACCACGUGUCGAUCACGACAUCCCCACGAUGUCAACAACACAACACACAAACCUUCUUCCCCCGUCUCUGUCCUCUUUGCAAGGUGUUGGGUGAAAAAUAUAUUGUACGGUCCAUUGUCAAAAAAGGAAGGAUAUAUAACAGAGAGAGAGAUCGUGGAAACGUUUCUCUUUUGUUUUGUUGGAAUCUCCGCCCCUCUUGUUGAUCGUUCGCGAGGUUCAGUGGUGAAUAUUAGACAUGGCAGCCGCCAAGCUCGUGGCUUUCUUACUUCUUCUUGCCUUUGUUUUCACCACCACCACUGUCUUCGCCGAUGCUGGAAUCGACGGUGUCGAGCCUGUGAUUGCUGACGCCGCUGGAUCCGACAAGCUGGAUCAGCUUAACGCCAAGAUCCGUGCACUAGGUUAGUUAAGGAGUUGCAUUCUUUAAGACUCUUCUUCCCUUUUAAAUCAAAUUAUUGCAAGUUUUGAUUUUUGUUACUUGAGUUCUCGUAACUUCGUAUGUUAUUGUGACAUUUGAAAUCGGAUUCUGAUUUGACUUCGUAUGUUAUGCUGAUAGAAUUUUACUGUUUUAGUUCGUUGAUGUGUUGCUAUGAGUUUGUGGCAUUUGUGAAAAUUCAAAUCUUGGGAGCUUUGUUGAAUUGGUGGAUGUUAAUUUUUUUUGUUUUGUUUUCUGUUUUUGUUUGUUGUGAAGAGUCUCAAGUCGAUGAGAAAGCUCGCGAGGUUAAGAGCAAAGAUGAGUUGGUAGCAGAGAAGGAGAAGCUGCUUAAAGCAAAAGAAGACAAGAUUGCUUCCUUGCAGACUGAAGUCUCAUCACUACAAGUAUGGAUCUUUAUAUGAUUUUGAAUCAUAAAUGUUUUGAAUUUUUUUAACACAUUUUGAAAAAAUAGGGAACAUCAGAUUCUGCUAAACAGUUGGGGAAGGUUCAAGCACGAGUUGUUGAGUUAGAGAAGCAGGUUAGACUUUUUAAGCUCGAGAAAAUCAAAUCUGUUUAGAUGGCUAGAUUUUAUUUUGUGAUGCUACUUCUGUUAUUCAGGUGGAGGUACUCAGGAACUUCUUGGAGCAAAAGAACAAGGAGAAAACUUCCUCAGAAGCUCGGACUAAAGAGGCUGAGAAAAAACUAACCGAACUAAACUCAAGUCUAGACGAAGUAUGUGUUCUUUCCCUUGCUUCACUUUCUCUUUUAGGGACGUGGUGAAUGCUUGUUUAAAUUCUUUAUUUCAGCUCUAGCUAAGACUUCUUUUAGGCUGAGGUCAUGUAUCUUCAUGAUCUAGCCUCCUCAUUUAUGUUAUCUUCUUUCCCUGAAAGCUUCCAUUCUCAGCUAUACUAGAUCACUAUAGAACAGCUAUGUGAUGUGAUGUGAUGUCUUGCAGCUUGAGAAGACAAAUGAAGAGCAGAUGAAGAAAAUAGGCAAACUUGAACGUGCUAUUAAGACAGCUGAGGUAUAUAGUUUAGUUUUCUCUUACUAGAUUAAACUCCCUACCGGUUUUCGUUUCUGCUUCACCCAAAAUACAAUUUCAGGAAGAAAUAUUGAGGACCAAGCUUGAAGCAACCUCGAAGACUAGUGAACUCCUUGAGGUAAUGGUUCGACACUGUCUUUAACAUUUUCAUUAUUUGGAUAUCAGCAAAACGUAGACGCCAAAACUGAAACAUAAAGUUUAAAAUCAUUUGUGUUUUGGUCAGGCUCAUGGUUCAUGGCUUCCCCCUUGGCUUGCCGUUCACUGGAUUAGUAUUCAGGUAAGGUUUUUACUGGUCUUUUCUACUUUUCUGUUACAUGGCGGGUUUUUUUCCCUCAGUUAACUUGAGCAUUUAAUGUACUCAUAGGCUUAUACCGAGACACGUUGGGAGGCCCACGGGAAACCUGCUGUGGAUACAGUCAUUCUGAAGGUGUGCUUCUUUAGAUUUGAGUUAUAAACAGCAUAGGAGCAUCUGACUAAUGAAGUUUACUUAUUAUCUAACUAGGUGACGGAAGCAAAGACUCAAGCUGUGAAGUGGGCUGAACCACAUGUGAAAAACGCUAAAACUGUAAGCGUCUUAUUGGCAAUUUAUUUUGCAGUAAUUUUCUCUGGCAUAUUAGUUUAUUAUUGUCACAAGUCUCUAGAUUUAUGAGUGGCUUUUAUGUUCUGUGUGUUUAUGAUGCACUUCUUGCAGAAAUAUAUUCCAGCCAUCAAGGAAACUGUCGCUACACAUGUUGAGCCACACGUCCGAACACUAUCCAUCAAAGCAAAAGAGGCUUACCAUGCAUCCAAGAGUGCUGUUUCUCCUCACAUUGUCACGGUUCAAGAAAUUGUAGACCCUUAUUAUCAGGUAUAGUGUCUUUAUCAGUUUAUAUUUUUGAGCUUGUGUUUACGAUUGUAAACUUAUAGCGUGUUUAACCUUUUCCAGGAGGCUAAAAAGUUUAGCAAGCCAUACGUUGACCAAGUGGUAACGGCCACGAAACCACAUGUUGAUAAUGUCAAGGUUGCCAUGAAACCUUACACAACCAAGGUGAUCAUCGUUUAUACAGAGUUCCUUGAAUCGGCCACAACUUAUCACAAUCAGGUAUGAAUCAAGUUAUUGUCACUUUCUGGAUGAAUCAAUGAGUUUUCUUGAUUUUAAAAGCUAAAAUUCUCAUGUUGUCUGCGAAGGUCCAAGCUCAUGUUGAACAAAGACUAAAGAGCCAUGAGCUCACGGAGGCUUUUGCUACCAAUGAGUUUGUUUGGUUUGCGGUAUUUGUCUUUAACUUUCUUCCAGAACGUAUUAUUGAUAUUACAUUCUUUUAUUUAUCUCCACUCUUAAUAACUCAAAAUCUUUUCAUUCAGGCUUCUGCGUUGUUGGCGUUACCCAUCUUCUUUGCAUACAGAGUUCUCUCUUCCCUUUUCUGGUGAAUCUCGUAAUUAACUCACUAAAAUUUUUGAUGUAUAGUUGAUCUAAAAUCAUGUAAAUAUCUCAUAUUGUUGUUUAUUGCAGCACAAAGACAAAGAAAGCUGUUCAACACCCUCAUCACCAUGGUCGUCGCAAAACCAAAAGGAGUCAUCACUCUGACAAGUGAAAUUCAUUGUUCCACGCUAAGUGAAUUAAAAUUCAGUGUUACUAGAUUAAACAUUUGAUAGAUAUGUAAUUUGGAAUGAAUUAAAAUCACUUCUUAUAUAAUAUCCAUUUGAUUUUGUUAGAUUUCAGUUUACAUUGGAUUUUAUUGUACUUUUAUAUCUAAAUCAAGCUUUAAACAAGUAUUAUACCUUUCACCUGUUUUAAGGAUUUCAAAUAUCUCUCUCUUUAGCACAUGCAAAAUCCACCUUAGUUAUUGCUAGGCAAAAAACUUGAAUCCUGCUAUGAACCGAAACUUGUUGAAUAUCGGUUUAACACUUUGGUAUCUAGAGAACUAAAUCCGAUCUAAACUGAAAUUUUUUUGGUCUCCGAAUAUAUUCGAAUAAAUAUUCUCAAUUCAAAUAUUUAAACCAACCAAUUAAAAAUAAAUGCAAUAUUAUUAUUAAUUAUAUUACAUGUUCAAUUUUAUAUUUAUUAUAAUAGUAUACAUUUUAAAUUUAUGUAAGUAUUAUAUGAUAAUUUUAUUAAUUUAUCAUGAAGCCGCUAUUGUAUACGCUAUUUAAUUAGUCAAAAUUAUCCGGAAAACAUAAGUAUAAGUUAUAACAUGUAAAUGAUUAAAAGAUUUAACUAUUUUAUCUAUUUUGAAGAAUUAGUUAACAUAAUUUAAUGUUAAAGGAUUAUCUCUCUCGCUACACCAGCAUCAACUCAGAUUUUUUGAUUUAAGCUUUUGUUUUGUCUAAUGUUUCAAAGUUGAUCAAAUUGAUGAGAAGCCAAACAUGUCUCCUAUAUAUAUAUAAAUAAUAACUGGCAAAAAGUAAACAAUGAUAACAUGAAAGAAGAAACCAUUGGCACUAAGGGAGGCAGUGAGUUGAUUUGGGUUGAAUAUAUCCUCCAAACUGAAUCAAGCUCAAAAGACCCACACAUACCUUCUCCUUGAGCGAGUGAGCUUGCGAGAAAAAAAACUUUUAAGUGGGAAAGAGAUGAUUUGAGCCUAAGAGUUUUAAAAAGAAAAAAGAAGAAGAUAUCUAGCUAUAUAAAAAAGAAAUGUAAUAAUUAUUAUAAUAGAAAUGAAGUAGUAAAAUGAAAAGAUUUUAAUAACUAAGUAUAUAUUAAUAAUAGAAAAACUAAUUAAUAUUAAAAGGUUGUAUCUUUCAAUUGUGUAAUUAUUGAAAUAUUUAUUUUUUUAUGCACAAAAAAUGUUAUAGCCCACAUGACCCAGUUUUAGUCAACUAAUAACAAAAUCCAUCUUCAUCCGUACGAUAACGAAAAUAACAUAUAUAACACACCAUUUGUUUCAUCAAGUGAAUCAACCACAAAAGACACUAUCUCAUAAACAUUCACACAAUAAUCUCAAACACCAACAAAUAUAAAUAUAAUUCCCAUUCACUAGCUUAUCAAGUUAUACAACAAUCAAACAUCAAUUUUACUUUAUGUUUAAAUUCUAACUAAAUUAAUUUUGUCACGACUAUCAAUUUUUAUUCUACUUUUAUUAAAUCGAUUAGUCACACCCACUUAUACUAUUCCACUUUGAAUAUACUAUGGUCGCUAACCAUUAUCGUAUGGAUCCGAAAAUAUUAUUAUCUUUCAAUAUAUUUUAAUCUUUAUUAUUUUUAACAUGUUUUAUUUACUUAGACUAUAAAAUAAAUUUUAAAUUCAUUUAAAAAUAAAACAUACGAACCGAUGCGUAGCGCCGGAAUACCACUAGUCAUAUAUAAAACCGGAACUAACUAAAUUAUUCUACUUUCCUUGAAGAAGUUGUUGAGAUAAAUCUAUAGUUAUGAUAUUCCUAAAGAAUAUAAUCUCUUAUACUUGCUUGCAAAGUUAUGAAUAUAUAUGAUUGAGAAUACUAAUAAAAUCUAAAAUAAAAAGACGGGAGGAUAUAUAAAAUUAUUUAGUGGUUUUAGUUUUUGAGUGAAAACAAUAAAAUUUAUAUAAAAAAAAGAAUUAGAAAGUAACAAAAAAAUAAUUUUUGAGGGCUUUUUGGUUACAUUGUUAAUCAGAAAGGAAAAGGAAAUAUUUAUAUUGGUAUUUGUACCUUCUUUAUUUUGUUAGGACGCAAUUAUGUAUUUUAAUAUGCAAGUGAAACUUAACAAAAGUCAGUAUUAAAAGUUGUAAGAAACUGUCAGUUUCUGUUGGCUAUGCAGGUUUCAUUAGUGGCAUCAGAAAGUGCAUUCAACACAAGUGGGAGGAUAUUAGAGUCUUAUCGAAGCUGCUUAACUCACUACAUGAUAGAGAUUCUUAUGUGUACUGAGCAAUGGCUUCAUGCUGACAUCAAGCUUAAGGAAACCAUCAUCACAAAUGAGCAAAUCCUAGUUGAUGUUGAAGAGUUUGAUAAGCUUGAGAAAGGUAUGAAUUCAUUUGCACUUCUUUUCUAUUUGUUUGCUUUGUUUUAUUGGCCAUGUAACUGAUUUUCGUUUGCCUUUGUAUCAGAGUUUGAAGCUCACAAUCUUGAUGAUUGAAGUCUGGAUUUUGAAGGUUGAAGGCUGGAGAUUGAAGUUUCAAAGAGUUUUUUUUUAUUGAUCUAUGUUGCUUUCUUUUGGCUAUCACUUGGGUAAUGGUGAUCUUUGUUUUUGUUUUUCAUUUGAAUAAUGGUGAUCUUUGUAUCACUUCUAUCUUAAUAAAGUUUUAAUGUUGCUUUCAUCUUUGUCUUUCUUUUGUUUCGAGUUUGAAUGUGUCUUUAAUGUGCCUGUCUUUGUAAUGGAACUUUAGUAUGUUGUGUCUCGAGUUUGAAUGUGUCUUUGGUAUGUUGUCCUUUGUGUCUUUGUUUUGAGUUCAACGUUAAGCAGAGGUCUUGUAGAGUUCCUAAUAUUAAGCAGAGGUUUUGUAGAGUUUGUAUCAACGUUGGUUUGAUUUGUAUCAAGUGUAACCGAGUACCAAAUCGAGUUUAACCGCAUAAAAAUUAGUCAAACCGACUUCAAAUUAGUGCAUCCAUAACCGAAUAACCGAGUAAGAACCAAAACCUAUACAUAUUUCGGUUUCAAUCAAUUUUCGACACAGUUAUAAAAUCCGAACCGAACCCGACGACAUCCGAACCGAUACCGGACCAAACUUUUAUAAUAUCCGAAUGGGUUUGAUUUUCGACAAGACCUAAACCGAAGCCCGAUUGGUCUACCGAUUGCCCAGGCCUAGAAACUGGGACCAUUUGGUAACAAAUGAGCUUCUUUCUCUUUGGAAAUCCAGAACGACAAGUAGUCAUAACCCGUAGAAGUAAAACACCGAUCGAGGCGUCUCGAAUCUCUCUUUAUUAAUGGCUCCUGCUCCCUCCAGUCAAUCGAACGGUCACAUAUCUUUCUUAAUCCUUGUUAAUCUUUACGGUACAAGAAAAAAAGACAGUAAGAAAGAGCGGUAAGAGCACUGGUAAAAACAUGUAUAUAUUCGAUAGAUUUCAUGAGCAAAUGGAGAAAGUUAGGGCUUUUCCUCGACAAUGAAGCAAAAAGCUUUGGUGGCGUUCAUGUUAUUGAACUGUAUGUUGAGAAUCUUGUUUUCCGCGUACCACUUAUGUAGGAGAUGAAACGUCCAUUUGCUCCAAUGAAGGCUCUUGAUAUGGAACAAGACGUCAUAAUAAAGAAGAUUAAAUGAGAGACUGCAAAUAGGCUCUUCUUGUGCCUAUUCUGUUCUUUGUUUCUACCUUGCCCUUAGUUUAAUCACUAAUCAGUUAGGAUUAUAUGUAUAAGACUUUCUAGAGCAAUGUUGGUUGUUGGAUCAGUUAGGUUCACUUUUGUAAGUGCAGUCUCGUUGUUACGAUUAGCUUGGUUGAUCUGUUUUUUGUGCGACAGUGUGAGGAGGUUAACUCGUAUUUGUAAGGGCUCGCUUUAGUCAUCUCAUUGUUUGAAGCAAACAGAUGCAGAAGCGUUUUUCGUUGUGAUCAGGCAUGUUUUUCUAACAUUAAUGGCAUUGGUUAAUCUAUGUUUUAAACGUAACACACUUAGAAUUAGAACUGUGUAACAAGUUCAACAGGACAUUUGCAUGAUCACAGUGGUCUCUCUUCUUGGUAAAAAAAAACUACAAAAUGAAUAAAUGUUUUUGAAUCUCAUCUACCGUUAUUGUCAUCAGACCACAUGAUCUAACUCCAUCUUAAAACCAAGCAAAGCUAACAAAAAAUACUAUCAAGAGAACUACAACUUCAAAGCUAAAACGUGUCUUGCAAGCAGAAGAGGUCUUCCCAGCCUUAUCAGCAGCUUCAAUCUUCUCAUUAUCAGCGCUUGGAGUAGGUGCUGGAGAAUCAACCUCAGGUGUCUCUGUUUCAGGUGUAAGUUUUGGAACAUUACUAUCCGAGGCAUUGUCUUCAUCACCUGGUCCAGGAGCCGGAGCUGGAGCUGGAGCUGGAGGGGUUGCACCACUCAUGGGAGAUGGACUUGGAGCCAUUGCAGCAUCCAUAGGAGAUGGAGCAGGAGCUGGAGCUAAAGGAACGGGUGGUGGUGG